rnacentral:lncRNA from 1 species
GGAGAUUACCUGCCCGACGAUGUACAUUAUGAUUUCUUGGAGGUGGCCGAACACAGAUACGAGUACGGGAAGCCUCUCGUCAAAGAUGAAAAAUCUCUAACAACGAUGAUGCGAAGAUUCCAUAAUUGGUACAUGAAAACCUGCAGAGAGUCUGGGGGACAAAUACUUUGUAUCUGAGAGUUAAUGAGGAGCACGACCUCAUUGGAAUUGAUCUGUUGCAUGUUCCAUUUCAGGAGUUCUUCCAGUUCUUCAAUCAAAAGGCCCUCGAUAAAUUAACGGUCACUUGCUACUGUCUGUAAGUAAUACUUCUGUCAUUAAGUCUCUAUAUAUAGCUCAGCUCUUUCAUUGCAUGUAUUUAUAAUUAUCCUCACUAUAUUAUGCAGAUUGAAGAUCGUCCAGUGCAGAAAAGCAGAAAUGUAUGAUAUUGGGUUCAUUAAUACAAAUCUCAUAGAUGAAUUUCAGGUUAAAAAGAGCGCCGAAGAGGCCGAGGCCAACUUGCUCAAAUCAUUGCUAAUAAAUCAAAACAAAGAUUUAAUACUCUUUCCUUACAACUUCAAGUGAGUGUUACUGUCGUGUGCAUAUUCGGUUUCCCUUAUUACUCGAGCGAGGUUAUAGUAAUGUAAUUGACGAGUUAUGCAUGCGUGCCCAGCUUCCACUAUAUUCUCCUGGAGAUUAAGCUUGAGCGGGGACUAGUAACCAUCUUAGACUCGAGACGAAAAGAUCCCGAGACCUAUGCGGACAUGACUAAAAUUCUCAACAAGUAAGUUCAAUCGAUCAUUAUCGCACCAUAUCGGCAACUUUUUGUUCAUUUUCUGAUAUCUCAAGUAAUAAUUAUUUGUUUGGGCUGCCCCCUUUUUGCUUGAGAUAUCAGAAAAUGAACAAAAAGUUGCCGAUAUGGUGCGAUAAUGAUCGAUUGAACUUACUUGUUGAGAAUUUUAGUCAUGUCCGCAUAGGUCUCGGGAUCUUUUCGUCUCGAGUCUAAGACGGUUACUAGUCCCCGCUCAAGCUUAAUCUCCAGGAGAAUAUAGUGGAAGCUGCGCACGCAUGCAUAACUCACAAUUACAUUACUAUAACCUCGCUCGUGUAAUAAGGGAAACCGAAUAUGCACCCGACAGUAACACUCACUUGAAGUUGUAAGGAAAGAGUAUUAAAUCUUUGUUUUGAUUUAUUAACAAUGAUUUGAGCAAGUUGGCCUCGGCCUCUUCGGCGCUCUUUUUAACCUGAAAUUCAUCUAUGAGAUUUGUGUUAAUGAACCCAAUAUCAUACAUUUCUGUUUUCUGCACUCGACGAUAUUCAAUCUGCAUAAUAUAGUGAGGAUAAUUAUAAAUACAUGCAAUGAAAGAGCUGAGCUAUAUAUAUAGAGACUUAAUGACAGAAGUAGUACUUACAGACAGUAGCAAGUGUCCGUUAAUUUAUCGAGGGCCUUUUGAUUGAAGAACUGGAAGAACUCCUGAAAUGGAACAUGCAAUAGAUCAAUUCCAACGAGGUCGUGCUCCUCUUUAACUCUCAGAUACAAAGUAUUCGUCCCCCAGACUCUCUACAGGUUUUCAUGUACCAAUUAUGGAAUCUUCGCAUCAUCGUUGUUAGAGAUUUUUCAUCUUUGACGAGAGGCUUCCCGUACUCGUAUCUGUGUUCGUCCACCUCCAAGAAAUCAUAAUGUACAUAGUCGGGCAGGUAAUCUCCAAGAUUGCUAUAACCGGGCACCAUCCCCGGAGCAUUAGCGACGAUGUCGCUAGACACAUUGAGCGGGGGGCACGAUUGGUUCGCUUGUUCGCCGAGUUGGGCAAUUUUUUCCCAGCUGCUCGUCGUUCUUUUAACCUUUGAUCACUGACAGUACUUCCCGACCGCCCUGCUUCGAGAUAAGCCUUUUCAGUAAUGAGCUCAUAGUUGGUUUUCGGCGGAGACUUUGGUGGUUUCCUCAGGGCAUCAAUAGUGCGCUUUGCUUUCACCGGAUCUACCUUCUCCUCCGGAGGUGGAUGUCUCUCUGCUUUCGCCCCUUCAAAGAAGUCCUUUCACUUCUUUUUGCACGAUCUUCAUGUUUUCUUCCACGGUCAUCUCGUACGGUAACUUCUCUAGAGGCAUGAGAGGUGGACCGUAUCUCUAUUGCCUCCCGCCUUUGGCUGUACUGCUAGACGCCGGAGCAGACGGAGCGGCUGCGGCUGUCUUCUUUCGUGCUUGCUUACGAGGUAGAGGAGAAGGACUACGACGCGCUGGAGCAGCCGGGGCGGUGGCGGAUCUCUUCCGCCCUUGCUGGCGAGGCGGAGAAGGAGGAGGCUGGUGGCUGCUCGGGCGCGCCGGCGCAGUCGGAGAAGGAGGCGGAGUGCCGCCACGCGCCGGAGAAGGAGGCUGAGUGCCCUGAUCGUCACUCGCAGGAGGAGGAGGCGGUGGAGGAGGCGGAGUGCCCUGACUCGCCGGAGGAGGAAGAGGAGGCGGAGGCAUCCAGUUCGGAAGGUUGAUGAGCUCCUUCCGCCAUAGGCAUGGAGUCGUUAGACAAGAACCCAGCCGAGUCUCCCCUUCACCCGUAGGGUGGUCAAGCGGGAGGUCCUCAAAUCCUUCUGUGAUUUCAUCCACCAUCACCCUAGCAUAUCCUUCUGGAAUCGGCCGGCAGUGAAAAGUUGCGCCAGGUUCAGGAGGUGCAACAGAGCCAACAGCCGCCUUGACUUUCAAUUCCAUCCACUGCGUCAUAAGGUGGCAAUGCUGAGACUCCGUGAUAGCAUCUACAGGGUAGCUAGCAGGAGCCGUGAAGACAGGCUCCUGAAGCAGCUCCGUGGAAGCCACGCUGCUUCUCCGCCGAGAUGGCGGGGUAGCUUCGGGUGUAGGUUCGGCAGGUCGCGUGCUGCGAACCGCCUCUCGUUCCUCUAGCGCUUGUACCCUUGCGUGCCGCGCCUGUAGUUGGGUCAACUCCUUUUUCUUCUUCCUCUCCCGGCGUUUGUAACCGCCUGCGUCGGGAAAUCUAGCCUUCCAUGAAAGGGAGCCUGGCGUGCCUCGUGUCCGUCCGGGGUGCUCAGGAUUCCCGAGGGCCUCUAUGAGCUCGUCGUUCUCUCUGUCCAGAACGAAUGUCCCUUGCUGCGCCUUUUCGAUAUACUCCUGAAGCUUCUCGAUGGGUGUGUUUAGCUGCUCGUCGGUCCAAAUGCACUUCCCUGUUACAGGGUCCAAUUUUCCCCCAACCCCGAAGAACCAAGUCCUGCAACGGUCUGGCCAGCGUCACGUCUCUUGUUCGACCCCUUUAUCAAUGACGUCAUUCUCAGCCUUGUCCCACAACGGCCGGGCUUUCAGGUAGCCACCUGACCCCAUGCGAUGGUGAUGCUUCUUCUUUGCAGCAUUUUUCUUGUUUGUCGCUGACAUCUUCGCUGCUCUCUCAGAUUUCUUUUUGGUGACAAAUUCGGGCCACUGAUCUUUGAUCUUCUCAAAUCGGCCGAUGGAUUCUGGAGUCUUGUCUUGGUCAACAAACGAUGAUUUCAGCUCAUUCUUCCACCUCCUGAAUAGCUUAGCCAUCUUCUUAAGAGCAUAAGCCUUGAUCAUUGGCUUUUUAACUGGAUUCUCCGGAUCCUCCUCUGGCGGGAAGGUGAAAUUUUCCUGCAGCGCGGUCCAAAGAUCAGCUUUCUGCCUAUCGCUGACAUAAGAUACCUGAGAGUCUUUCUCCUUAGGCUUCAACCAUUGCUCGAUGCUGAUCGGGAUCAUGUCCCUCACUAGAACCCCACACUGAGCAUUAAAUUUUUGCUUGGUCCGGAGGGGUUCAAUCGGUUGGCCAGCGCGAUCAAUUUCGAUGAUCGUGUACCUUUCAUCCGCGCGCAACUUUCUCUUCGGGCCUCUCGUCUCGUGACCGAAGUGUUGCUCGAUCCGGAGGGCUAGAAAAUAAGAGAAAGAAGAGAGUUAAUAUGUGUACAUACCAAAAACAAUUAAUGCAUCAAUUAGCUAUAGUCAGCACAUGCUUAAUUAAUUAAUAUAUAUACCUGGCCGGACUCCGUUCGGUCACCGGAGCCGUCAUCACGGUGUCCUUCCCCCUGCAUUCGCUCACCGGAGCCGUCAUCACAGUGUCCUUCCCCCUCCAUUCGGUCACCGGAGCCGUCAUCACGGUGUCCUUCCUCCUUCAUUGUUUGAUCAUCGUCGUAGCCUGCUUCUUCAUCCUGUCUUUCUAGACCAUCGGUGCAUGUGUCGUUGAGAAACGACAAGACGGCAUCACUUCCGUGUGCGAUUAUCUCCCCGUACACCGCUUCUUUUGCUUCGUCUCGGGGGUGCGGAUCCAUAGUUUCUGCAAAUAUUUACAACAUGGCAAUUAUUAUGCAAACAUGACAGAUGGAUAUAUUAGUGGCAAACGUUGAACUAGCUAGCUAAGCACAAUAAGGAAUCAUAUUAGUGGCAUGGCCUCGACGCUUCUCUAGGGUUUGGGGUGGCCUCGGCAACGCUUCAAGGGUUCGGGUGGCCUCAACAAUCCUUCAAGGGUUCAGGGUGGCCUCGACGACAACGCUCUUUUAACUUGGUAAAUUUGGGUGGCCUCAAGACAGUUUGUCGAUCGGGUAGGGGUGCGGCGGGAGGGGAUAGGAGACCGACAUCGUUUUUUUCUAGGGUUUGGGUGUCCUCGAGAGUUUUGGUCGAGCGAGAGGGCUGGGGGGCGCUCCCGUGGUAUAAGUUAUCACGGUCGAGAGGGGGUAUAUAUAUCGACCGCCCCUCAUGUCGAAGUUAUCCGGGAGGGGGUUAUAUCAACAACGACGACAUACAUACAUGGGAAAAUAAUGUUAUCGGGGAGGGGGUAUAUCGACCCCCCCCCCUCGUGUUGAAGUUAUCGGCAUAGAUGAGAAGAAGAAAAAAUAGAAUUUUCUUAUUUUUUUCUUCAAUGUAACUUUUGCAUAUAUGAACAUACAUACAUAAAUUAUACAUACAUGGAAAAAAUUGCUAUGAACAAAAAAAACAUUAUAUAUGAAUAUUUUGUAUAUACAUCCAUAUCCAUCCAUCCAUUCAUACAUACAUAGAUGGACAAAAAAUUGCUAUGAACAAAAACAUCAGUAGAAUUUUCUUAUUUUUUCUUAAAUGUAAAUUUUUGCACUAGAACUAUUUCAAAUAAUUCCUUUCAAAUGCCACAAAAUUUUGGAGAAGUCCUCUCAUGCCUAUAGAUCAUUUUUAUUCAAAAACCCACUUCGGUCAUUUGAAAAUUUUGAGCACAACUUCCAUUUUUCAAUUUUGGUCCAAUCUUGGCAUUGAACUACAACCCUACCUUGCUAAAAAAAUUCUGAUUUUUUUACAUCUUGUAGUCCUUCCUACUAAACCCUUAAGUCCAGAAGGGCAGCCCCAAUUUCAUCUAGCAAGUCCACCAAAAAAAUUCAUGUAGUUUCUGUCCAGCACUAAAUUUUAAUAAAACUUGAACUAACAAGUUUUUCCUUCUAACAAACCAACUUGACCAUCUUCACCAACAUCCAAGGAGACAUCAUCCUGCCAAGUUUCACAUAAAACAAAGUUCCCUAGAAGCCCUAGCAUUUCAUCAAACACCUUGUGGACAUGGCUGAAAACAUGCAAUUCUCUAAAACUUUGCACUGAACCAACUUCACCAUCAUCACAUACAUGAAGGAAGGACAGAGGAGAGGGGUGGGAGGGAGGAGGGAGUACCGGCCUGUCCGGCGGGCAGUGGUGCGGCGGCGUUGACGGCAGGGCAGGGGCGUGGCGCAGCGUCGGGGCAGGGCAGGGGCGCGGCGGCGUUGGCGUCGAGGUCGAGGCAGGGGCGCACGNNNNNNNNNNNNNNNNNNNNNNNNNNNNNNNNNNNNNNNNNNNNNNNNNNNNNNNNNNNNNNNNNNNNNNNNNNNNNNNNNNNNNNNNNNNNNNNNNNNNNNNNNNNNNNNNNNNNNNNNNNNNNNNNNNNNNNNNNNNNNNNNNNNNNNNNNNNNNNNNNNNNNNNNNNNNNNNNNNNNNNNNNNNNNNNNNNNNNNNNNNNNNNNNNNNNNNNNNNNNNNNNNNNNNNNNNNNNNNNNNNNNNNNNNNNNNNNNNNNNNNNNNNNNNNNNNNNNNNNNNNNNNNNNNNNNNNNNNNNNNNNNNNNNNNNNNNNNNNNNNNNNNNNNNNNNNNNNNNNNNNNNNNNNNNNNNNNNNNNNNNNNNNNNNNNNNNNNNNNNNNNNNNNNNNNNNNNNNNNNNNNNNNNNNNNNNNNNNNNNNNNNNNNNNNNNNNNNNNNNNNNNNNNNNNNNNNNNNNNNNNNNNNNNNNNNNNNNNNNNNNNNNNNNNNNNNNNNNNNNNNNNNNNNNNNNNNNNNNNNNNNNNNNNNNNNNNNNNNNNNNNNNNNNNNNNNNNNNNNNNNNNNNNNNNNNNNNNNNNNNNNNNNNNNNNNNNNNNNNNNNNNNNNNNNNNNNNNNNNNNNNNNNNNNNNNNNNNNNNNNNNNNNNNNNNNNNNNNNNNNNNNNNNNNNNNNNNNNAGAGAGGCAGAUCGAAGAACUGAAUAAAAAAUUUCACAAGUCCAGCUUAUAUACACAGAGCAUUGGUCCCAGUUCGUGCCACCAACCGGUACCAAUGCCCCCCUCCCUUUAGUACCGGUUGGUGCCACCAACCGGGACCAAAUGUCUCUUUUCAGCAGUCCAAAGGGCGGGAAGCGGCGGCCUUUGGUCCCGGUUGGUGGAACCAACCGGUACUAAAGGAGGGGAAUUGGUUCCGGUUGGUGGGACGAACCGGUACCAAUGCCCACCUUUAGUCCCGGUUGGUGCCACCAACCGGGACCAAAGGCCGCGCACAGCGGCGUGGUGGUGGGAGUUUAGUCCCACCUCGCUAGUUGAGAAGGGCGCGCAGUGGUUUAUAAGCCCCACUGCCGCACCCCUCUCGAGCUCCUCUCUAUUGCAGGCUUACGGGCCUAAUUGUCACUGCUAUGCCAGAUGGGCCUACUGGGCCUUCUGCGGGCCUAAAUCCUGGCCCAUUGAUGGGUUUCUAGUCGUAUUCAGGCCGUGGUGGCCCAGUAAGUGGCAUUUUUUUUAUUUUUUCCCAGUUUUUUUGUUUUCUUUUUUGCUUUUUUGUUUUGUUUCUACUUACAACAAAAUACUUAUUUAUUUUAUUUUAUUUUGUUUCUACUUAUAUAUUUGCUAUUAAAGUUUCUAACAAACAAACUUCUUUAUGAAAAUUCUUUUUGCUUUUAAUGAUUUUGAACAGAAAAUACUUUGAUAAUUUUAGUUGCAUCAAUUUUAUAUAANNNNNNNNNNNNNNNNNNNNNNNNNNNNNNNNNNNNNNNNNNNNNNNNNNNNNNNNNNNNNNNNNNNNNNNNNNNNNNNNNNNNNNNNNNNNNNNNNNNNNNNNNNNNNNNNNNNNNNNNNNNNNNGUUUCAUAAAUUUUAGAGGUUGCUUAUAAUGUUUUGAACAGAAAAUACAUUGAUAAUUUUAGUUUCAUAAAUUUUAUUUAUGUUAUUAAAGUUUAUUUUAUUUUAUUUUGUUUUGUUUCUACUUAUAUAUUUUAUUAAAGUUUAUAUUAUUUUGUUUCAAAUACUUAUUUAUUUUAUUUUAUGAUAAUUCUUUUUGCUAUUAAAUUUUCAUGCAUUUACUGAUUAUUUUAUUUUCUUUCUCUUUCAAAGUAUCAGGGUUUCAUACGGAAACUCGUCUGUCACAAAAGGAUUUCAUUUUUUUGAACUCCAUAGUUUUUCUAUGUUCAAAAUGCACCAUUCAAAGCCACAUCAUCAAUUUUCAACCCUUUCUGACUUCAUUUGUUAUUUUUCAUGCAUUUACUGAUUUUUUUUCCAGCUAUAAGACCCUGAAAUUGAAAAGCAUUUCAAAUGAACUCUGAAAAGGUUAAAAGUUGGCAUGGUAUCAUCAUUUCACCCACAUAGCAUGUGCAAGAAAGUAGAGAGGCUUAUGGCAAAAACUGGAUGCACUUCGUGUACAAAACGGACAAUCUCUUUGGAAGUAUCAGGGUUUCAUACGGAAACUCGUCUGUUACAAAAGGAUUUCAUUUUUUGAACUUAUUUGAACUCCAUAGUUUUUCUAUGUUCAAAAUGCACCAUUCAAAGCCAGAUNNNNNNNNNNNNNNNNNNNNNNNNNNNNNNNNNNNNNNNNNNNNNNNNNNNNNNNNNNNNNNNNNNNNNNNNNNNNNNNNNNNNNNNNNNNNNNNNNNNNNNNNNNNNNNNNNNNNNNNNNNNNNNNNNNNNNNNNNNNNNNNNNNNNNNNNNNNNNNNNNNNNNNNNNNNNNNNNNNNNNNNNNNNNNNNNNNNNNNNNNNNNNNGGGUUUCAUACGGAAACUCGUCUGUUACAAAAGGAUUUCAUUUUUUGAACUUAUUUGAACUCCAUAGUUUUUCUAUGUUCAAAAUGCACCAUUCAAAGCCACGUCAUCAAUUUUCAACCCUUUCUGACUUCAUUUGUUAUUUUUCAUGCAUUUACUGAUUUUUUCAGCUAUAAGACCCUGAAAUUGAAAAGCAUUUCAAAUAAACUUUGAAAAGGUUAAAAGUUGGCAUGGUAUCAUCAUUUCACCCACAUAGCAUGUGCAAGAAAGUAGAGAGGCUUGCGGCAAAAAAUGGAUGCACUUCGUGUACAAAACGGACAAUCUCUUUCGAAGUAUCAGGGUUUCAUACGGAAACUCAUCUGUUACAAAAGGAUUACAUUUUUUUGAACUUAUUUGAACUCCAUAGUUUUUCUAUGUUCAAAAUGCACCAUUCAAAGCCACAUCAUCGAUUUUCAACCUUUUCUGACUUCAUUUGUUAUUUUUCAUGCAUUUUCUGAUUUUUUUUCAGCUAUAAGACCCUGAAAUUGAAAAGCACUACAAAUGAACAUGGAUAGAUAAGUGACCAAAUUAAUAGUAGUUCAUCAUCGCAUUAAAACCAAUGUACAUACAUAGUUCAAAUUGAACAACAUAUAGCUCUCCAGAGCAUCUAGUUAAACCAUACAUUGAAACUAUGUAAAACCUUUCAAUGCAACAACAAAUGCGAUCAUAAUCACAACUAAGGUAACAAUUGAUCCAACGGCAUAAUGAUACCAAGCCUCGAUAUGAAUGACAUAUUUUCUAAUCUUUCUAAUCUUCAACCGCAUUGCAUCCAUCUUGAUCUUGUGAUCAUCGACGACAUCCGCAACAUGCAACUCCAAUAUCAUCUUCUCCUCCUCAAUUUUUUUUAUUUUUUCCUUCAAGUAAUUGUUUUCUUCUUCGACUAAAUUUAACCUCUCGAUAAUAGGGUCGGUUGGAAUUUCCGGUUCAACCACCUCCUACAUAUAUAAAAUCUAUGUCACGUUGGUCAGCAUAAUUGUCAUAAACAAUAAAUGAACCAAAUAGUUAUAAAAAGAUAAUAUAUACCACAUCCGAAUCAUAGACAGGACGAGGGCCGACGGGGGCGGAUACCAGAACCAUCGCACUAUAUAAUAAGAAGGAAUAAAAAAAGUAAGAAAAUUAGACAAGUAUCUAUCUCAAGUAAGAAUUUUUUUCUUUCAGAAAGAAGAUAAGAACAAGAGGCUCACCACGGUGGUGCCGGCGACGAGAUCGGCGCGGGCGAUCGAUGGCGGUGAAGACGGAGACGGGACGUGACGGACCGCUAAACCUAGAAAAAUCUCAGGGAAAAUGGAGCUCGGAGGUCGAGUUUCGAGAGAAGAAAUAUUAACUAGUGUGGCUUGGACAUUUCAUCGAACACCUCAUGUGCAUAGGAGGUGAGCUAGAGCACCCAAAUGCCCUCCCCUCGCCGGCCAGCAAAAAACAGAGCAGGGUGGAAUGCUCUGCUCGCUGGCGAUGGGCUAUAUAUAGGCAAAUCAUUUGUCCCGGUUCGUGGCUAGAACCGGGACCAAUGGUGAUGGGCCAGGAGCGAGGCCCAUUGGUCCCGGUUCGUUCCUAGAACCGGGACAACUGGGUCCAGAUGAACCGGGACCAAAGCCCGCGAGGCCCUGGCCGGUCACCUGGGCUCACGAACUGGGACGAAUGCACCCGUUGGUCCCGGUUCGUAUAAGAACCGGGACUAAUGGGCUGGCCAGGCCCGAACGAAAGCCCCUUUUUCUACUAGUGUUAUUCAAGAAGCCCAAAAAAGCCAUCAAAAGAAUUGGCCCUAGUAAUUCAGGAUGGAGGGAGUACUAUACAGAACAGCAAGAUGAUCAUCUGCACAUGGUUUAGUAUCUAGCACUAUCUACAAUGGCCAUCAGUAUACCGGAAUGACUAGGAAUGUAUUCAGAUUAAACAAUAUACACCCUUGCUGAAUAAGGACACCAAGGUCAGGGAGGCAAUAGAUCUAGAUAACAAAUAUAUCCACAGUUCAGCUGAGUAUGAGAGGCACAAUAAUAAGGUUCAGCCUCAACACACGAGCUGGUAAAGACUAAUACUUGAUAAUUCCAUCAGACAAACUUAUUUGUUAACUCUCAGCGGGAAUCCUAGGGUUAGGUUCUGCAGCUGCCAAUCGGAUACCAACCCACUGCCGUGCUAAAUGUCCAGUACAAGUUCCUUUUUGAUAUAUUUCUAUACACUGUACACACUGAUACAGGAUCCGCUAUACCUGCCUGUGAAAUAAAGACUCGUUUGGAAGGAAAUCAGACCCUAUGGUUACUGAUAUCAACCCACUGCAAUGCUGAGUGUUCAGCCCCUGUUUAAAUUAGCCUGGUCUGUAUGCCGUUGCUGGCUAGCUGGUGGCUGCCACUUCCCCUUUCUGCAUCAAUCAGGACAGCAUUGAUUCCACACAUGUCAAAAGGAUCAAAUAUAUUUUCAGACAUUUGAGUGGCGACAAACUAAUUGAUAAGAUGAGUAAUUUCGAAUUUUUUUCAAAGCAAUGUUAAUCUAGUAUGGCCAUGGUUACGUAACAGCUGCAGUAAACAACAUGCAGAGCUAGCCAAUGCACAACUGUAAUAGUACUACUUCCGUGGAUGUGCAGAGACAGCUGCGAUCGAUGCCACUGAAGCGUGCUCGGCCGGCAAGUGAGCGGUUGGUUGGUCAGCUACUCGAGCUAGGUCGUGGUGGAACAAUGAACCUUGUUGGAAUAAACACAAACACCUGGCGGGCAGGCGGGUGGGUGGAAGCUGUCCUCAUGGCAGUGCGCGGGUGCUGGACUGUUUCGGCCAGCGAGCAGAGCAGCUCGACGGUGACGAUGCAUCUUCACCCUGCCGUACCGCCUCCGCCUGCUCUCAGCGAGGAGCUCAGAGGAGACCUUGUUGUCUGACUAUCUGCGAUGGAAGUGAAAAGGGAGUUCAGAAGUGAAAAGUGAAAAGGGAUUUGUGGGACCCGUUGUGUAGGGUGUCAGACGCAGAAAUCGAGGAGUUGGGCCUCGCUUGCACUACUCAGGAAAUCGAUGCGGCCGUCCAUGGCAUGAAGUCAGAUACGGCUCCUGGGCCGGAUGGCUGGCCUAUGGCCAUGUUCAAACGGUUCUGGCCUUUCUUCUAGGGACAGAUUUUCGGGGUGUGCAAUGGUUUCAUGCGUGGAGAGGUGGAUAUCUCCCGCUUGAACUUUGGGAUCCUCUCCCUUAUUCCUAAAGUGCAGGGUGCGGAUAAUAUUAGGCAAUUUAGACCUAUUGCGUUGAUUAACGUGCCGUUCAAAAUCUGCUCUAAAGCCUGAUCCACGCGGCUGACUCCGGUAGCUCAUCGCAUUAUUAGUAGACAUCAGUCCGCGUUCAUUAGAGGUCACAACAUUUUGGAGAGGCCCCUCACCCUUCUCGAGAUCGCUCACACGCUCAAACGUUCGCGGCAGCCCGUGAUUCUGUUAAAACUUGAUUUUGAAAAGGCGUACAAUCGCGUUAGUUGGGACUUCCUUAGACAGGUCCUCUUGGGAAGAGGAUUUUCGUCUGUAUGGGUCCACCACAUGAUGCAGUUGGUCUCGGGGGGCCAAACGGCAAUUGCGGUUAACGGUGAAGUAGGUCACUACUUUCGCAAGAAGCGGGGACUUCGUCAGGGCUGUUGGAAACGAAUAUUUUGGCAAUGCUACUCGAUGUAUUGAUCGGUGCAUAGUGCACGUAUAUAUGGAGUACAAGGUGGGCCACAACCUCAACUAUACAAUGACUAGGAGGUGGGCCGGACUAUACAAUAUACAUGCACGAACCAUAUAUUCAACACCCCCCCCCCCCACGCAGUCAAAGCGUCGCCGGAGACGCAAAGACUGGACCUAAACUCCUCGAAAACAGAAGUAGGCAGUCCUUUUGUCAUAACAUCGGCAAACUAUUGCGCCGUCGGGACGUGGAGGACCCGGAUGCGCCCAAGGGCCUCCUGCUCACGAACAAAGUGUAUGUCGAGCUCAAUGUGCUUCGUUCGUCGAUGGUGGACCGGGUUGGCGGAGAGGUACACGGCGGAGACGUUGUCGCAGUAGACGAGCGUGUCCUUGUGAACAUCACAAAGCAACUCCUGGAGCAGCUGACGAAGCCAAGAGCAUUCGGCAACGGCGUUAGCCACUGCCCGAUACUCUGCCUCGGCACUCGAGCGGGAGACUGUGGGCUGUCACUUGGAAGACCAAGAGAUCAGAGACGGCCCAAGGUAGACACAAUACCCCGAAGUGGAGCGUCGUGUGUCCAGGCAGCCAGCCCAGUCCGCAUCAGAGUAGGCGACGAGGUCGGUGGAGGCGGAGGCCGUCAGUGUAAGUCCCAUGGACGGGGUGCCGCGUAUGUAACGGAGGAUAUGCUUCACCAAGGUCCAGUGAGAGUCACGCGGAGCAUGCAUGUGAAGACAGACCUGCUGAACGGCAUACUGCAAGUCAGGGCGCGUCAGAGUAAGGUACUGCAAAGCACCCACAAUGGAGCGAUAGAAGGCCGCGUCGGAUGCGGGAGAGCCCUACAGAGCUGAAACCUUGGCCUUGGUGUCAACACGCGUGGGAGCGGGCUUGCAGUUAAGCAUGCCAGCACGAUCGAGAAGCUCAUGGGCGUAACGCUGCUGGUGCAGAAAGAACCCAUCUGGCCGUCGAACCACCUCAAUGCCGAGGAAAUAGUGGAGGGGCCCCAAGUCCUUCAGGGCAAACUCAUCGCGAAGGCGAGCAGUAAGCCGCUGGAGGAGCGCUACAGUGGAUGCCGUCAGGAUGAUGUCGUCGGCGUAGAGCAACAAGUAGGCCGUGUCAACCCCGUGAUGGUACACGAAGAGGGACACGUCGGAGCGAGUCGAUGUAAAUUUGAGCGUCUGCAGGAAGGCAGCGAUGCGUUGGUACCAGGCCCGAGGCGUCUGCUUCAACCCGUAAAGAGAACGGGAGAGCAAGCACACAUGGUCCGGAUGUGUGGCGUCGACGAAGCCGGUGGGCUGCUCACAGAACACCUGCUCGGCGAGGUGGCCGUGCAAGAAGGCGUUGGAGACGUCCAACUGAUGCACAGGCCAAGCUCGGGAGAUGGCCAGCUGAAGCACGGUGCAGAUCGUGCCCGGUUUAACAAUCGGGGCAAAAGUGUCGGUGAAGUCCAUGCCCGCACGUUGCCGAAAGCCUCGAACCAUCCAGCGAGCUUUGUAGCGCUCGAGAGUGCCAUCCGGACGAGUCUUGUGCCGAAAGACCCACUUGCCCGUGAUGAUGUUGGCACGAGGCGGCCGAGGGACAAGCUGCCAGGUACGGUUCCGUUGGAGCGCGUCGAACUGUUCCUGCAUCGCAGCGAGCCAAUGAGGAUCCGGAAGGGUGGCUCGAGCUGACGAUGGGAGAGGGGACGACUCGAAGAUGGAAGCAGCGAGAAGAUACUCAUCGCUGGUGUACUGCGUACUCGGGCGUAAGGUGCCAGCCCGAGAGCGAGUCAUCGGGCNNNNNNNNNNNNNNNNNNNNNNNNNNNNNNNNNNNNNNNNNNNNNNNNNNNNNNNNNNNNNNNNNNNNNNNNNNNNNNNNNNNNNNNNNNNNNNNNNNNNNNNNNNNNNNNNNNNNNNNNNNNNNNNNNNNNNNNNNNNNNNNNNNNNNNNNNNNNNNNNNNNNNNNNNNNNNNNNNNNNNNNNNNNNNNNNNNNNNNNNNNNNNNNNNNNNNNNNNNNNNNNNNNNNNNNNNNNNNNNNNNNNNNNNNNNNNNNNNNNCGAAGACGAAGAAGAGCCCGCCACCGCCGAUGCCAUGGGCAAGACCGCGGGCGAGGCCGCGGGCGAAACCGCCGCGGGUGUGGUCGCGGGCAAGGCCGCAGGCGAGGGCGCGGGGAGCGCCGAGGAGGCCCGCGCGGCAGCCGGGGAGGCCGAUGGCGGCGCAGGGGAUGUCGCGGGCGCCGGGAGGGGUGCAGCCCCUAAGGCAGCCAGCCGGGGAGGAACUCGACCCGUGGCGCGGGGGGCACCCUCAAAGCCGGGAGGCGGCCCGAGAGAAGCUCGCGAGCGGCCGUCACCUGGAGCGGGCAAGGCCGCAACAUCCGAAGGUACCUGCUGAAACGGAAAAACCAUCUCAUCAAAGUAAAUGUGUCGGGAGGUGAUCACCCGAUGUGAGAUAGGAUCAUAGCAGCGGUAGCCUUUGGUGUUGGGGGGAUAGCCAAGAAAAAUACAUGCCACGGACCGUGGUGCGAGCUUAUGAGUAGUGGAAGCGAUGCUAGGGUAGCACAGGCAACCGAAGAUGCGGAGCUCGGUGAAGGAAGGUGGCGUGCCGAACAAAAGAUGAUGAGGAGUAAAAUUCCCGCGAGUGCGACAGGGACGGAUGUUGAGGAGUAGUGAUGCGGUGGCGAGCGCGUCGGGCCAGAAACGUGGUGGCACGUUGGCGUGAAAGAGGAGGGUGCGAACGCAGUCAUUAAGAGUGCAAAGCACGCGCUCAGCGCGGCCAUUUUGUUGCGAAGUGUACGGGCAAGUGAGACGAAAAAUCGUGCCGUGUGUGGCGAGAAGAUUGCGGAUCGCAAGAUUAUUGAACUCCUUCCCGUUGUCUGUUUGCAACGCAUGAAUGGGGCGACCAAACUGCAUGGAGACAUAGGAGUAGAAUGCGGAGAGAGUGGCAACAGAAUCCGACUUUCGCCGCAACGGGAAGGUCCACAAAUAGUGCGAAAAAUCAUCAAGUAUAACAAGAUAAUAAAGAUAGCCCGUGUUACUUGCAACAGGAGAGGUCCAAACAUCACUAUAAAUUAACUCAAAUGGGUAUGAUGCAACAUGGGAGGAAGUGCUAAAGGGUAAACGAACAUGUUUACCGAGACGACAAGCAUGACAAGUGUGAUCGUCGAUCUUAUUACAUGUGAAAGAAAAACUACGAAGAAUAUGACGAAGGGUGGCGGUGUUGGGAUGACCGAGACGAGCAUGCCAAAGGUCCACUCCGGCGGAAAGCGCCAUGGGUGCAGCGACAGAGGAUGUGGAUGAGUGGACCGGGUAGAGCUCGUCGGGGUUGUCACAUCGGUGGAGCAUCAUCCGGGUACGGGCAUCCUUAACAGAAAAGCCAAACAUGUCAAAUUCAACGGUGACAGGAUUUUCACGUGUAAGAGAACGAACGGAAACUAGAUUUUUAAUGAUGUCAGGUGAAACGAGUACGUUAGAAAGAUAUAAUGGCAUGGAGUUAGACGGAAAAGCAGCAUGGCCGACAUUAGUGAUAGGCAUGGAGGAACCGUCGCCCACGGUAAUACGAGCAGCGGUGUGAACGGGGUGAGCGGUAAGAAGGUUACCGGGAUUGGCGGCCAUGUGAGCCGUGGCUCCGGUGUCCAUAUACCAGUCACCACCGCCAGUGUACUGAUGUGGCGUGGGGGCGGUGUGGAGGGCCGCUAGCAGCGCGGGGUCCCAAGGCGCCGGCAGGAGGGCCGGGGCCGACGGCAGCGGCUGUGGCGGCAGCGGCGCGAACCCACCGGCUGAAGGCAGCCCAUAGGCCGCCGAGGGGCCGUAGAGCGGCGCCGGCUGAUACGACUGAGGGGCCGCAUACAGAGCCUGAUGAGGGGCCGGGUGAGCGCCAAAAAAAACGGGGACGGGGGCACGCGGUAUAGGCAUGGAGUACGCGUGAACAACCCCCGUCCAGGGGUUCUGGCCGGCCUGCCAGGGCGCCGGCGGGAGCUGUUGCUGCGGCUGGCGCGGCGCCCCGCCGUGGGCAGAUAAUCGUUAACAGACGAGUCAAGCUGCUAGCACCCAAAAAACUCGCCGUGCAAGAAAACCUUGCGUUGGAGCGCGUUGUCGGUGAAGAGGCCGUUGAGCUUAGUCCAAACGGCGUGAGCGUCAUCAUCGGCGGAGACCACCAUGUGGAAGAGGUCCUUCGAGAUGGUGGUGUAGAAUCAGCGGAUGAGAGUGGUGUCGAUGGACGUCCACUCCUCAUCGUCCUCCAUGAAGCGGGAGUCCACGGAGCCAUCGAUGUGAUCCCGGAGAUUGUACUCACGGAACACAAGGGAGAAGUACGUCUUCCAGGCAUAGUAGGUGGAGGUGAGGUGGUCGAGGACGACGGGAACCCGAGCGAGGAUAUUGAGAUCGCGGAUGACGACGGGAUCGGGGCCUUCGAAGGGGUUGGUGCGGCGGCUGCGGGUGGUACCGAUGGAACCGGGGGAGGCCAUAGCCGAGAGGGGGGUGCGGCGGCGCGUGGUGAAGCGGCACAGCGAGGGGGAUGGCGGCGCGGCGGGUGGCGGCGCUGCGGGGUGCGGGCGGAAGCGCGAGGCGGCNNNNNNNNNNNNNNNNNNNNNNNNNNNNNNNNNNNNNNNNNNNNNNNNNNNNNNNNNNNNNNNNNNNNNNNNNNNNNNNNNNNNNNNNNNNNNNNNNNNNNNNNNNNNNNNNNNNNNNNNNNNNNNNNNNNNNNNNNNNNNNNNNNNNNNNNNNNNNNNNNNNNNNNNNNNNNNNNNNNNNNNNNNNNNNNNNNNNNNNNNNNNNNNNNNNNNNNNNNNNNNNNNNNNNNNNNNNNNNNNNNNNNNNNNNNNNNNNNNNNNNNNNNNNNNNNNNNNNNNNNNNNNNNNNNNNNNNNNNNNNNNNNNNNNNNNNNNNNNNNNNNNNNNNNNNNNNNNNNNNNNNNNNNNNNNNNNNNNNNNNNNNNNNNNNNNNNNNNNNNNNNNNNNNNNNNNNNNNNNNNNNNNNNNNNNNNNNNNNNNNNNNNNNNNNNNNNNNNNNNNNNNNNGCGGCGGCGGCGGUACGAAGUGGCGGCGGCGGCGGCGAUGGGAUCGCCACGGCGGCGGCGGCGGCAAGGGUUAGGGUUAGGAUCGUAGGUAUGAUACCAUGUUGGAAACGAAUAUUUUGGCAAUGCUACUCGAUGUAUUGAUCGGUGCAUAGUGCACGUAUAUAUGGAGUACAAGGUGGGCCAUAACCUCAAUUAUACAAUGACUAGGAGGUGGGCCGGGCUAUACAAUAUACAUGCACGAACCAUAUAUUCAACAAGGGCGACCCAGCUUCCCCGCUGCUAUUCAACUUUGUGGCCGAUGCCCUGGCUGCAAUGCUGGAUAGCGCUCGGAUGGCUGGUCAUCUAAGGGGGGUGGCCAACCAACUGGUGCCGGGCGGGGUUUCUCGUAUACAGUACGCAGACGACACGUUGCUGCUGUUUGAGCCGGACAGGCAUAACAUAGCUAUUGUCAAAGCUAUCCUGUUAAGCUUCGAGCUUAUGUCAGGCCUUAAAAUCAACUUUCACAAAAUGUGAAGUAAUCUCCAUGGGGAUGGGGACGGCUGAGGGUCAGGAAGUGGCAGAUUUGCUCAACUGCAAAUUGGGCUCUCUCCCAUUUCAGUACCUCGGGCUACCUAUAGGGGAUCGGUCUCCAACCAUUCAGGACUGGGCCCCCCAAUGCAAUACGGUAGCGGGUCAGGUUGGGCCGUGGCGGGGUAGAUUCAUGUCGUCAGGAGCACGGCUAAUCUUAACCAACUCCAGUCUAUCCUCGCUACCCAUGUUUACCAUGGGUCUGUUUUUGUUAGCCGAAGGCGUGCACUCCAAGCUCGAUAUGCCUCGGUCCCGCUUCUUUUGGGAAGGAGCCAGCCCUAAACGGAAGUACCACCUUGUCAAAUGGACAGUUGUGUGUCGUCCCAAGUCCCAGGGGGGAUUGGGAGUGAUGAACUCCAGGCUGAUGAACGUGGCGCUUAUGUGCAAAUGGAUCUGGAAGUUGUCCCAAGGCGAAUCAGGGCUCUUUGCAGACCUCCUCAAAGCCAAAUACUUCCUGACGGGCAAUUUCUUCGCGGCCAUAGGGAGGGGAUCUCCCUUCUGGAACUCCAUUCAGAAGCUUAAACCAAUCUUCGCCAUGGGAGCGAAGUUUUUGGUCAAGGACGGAUGCUCAACUCGUUUCUGGUUGGACUGAUGGAUCGGUGACCAACCUCUUUGGUCCAGGUUCAUAGACCUGUUUAACAUAGCGAUGGAGCCACGCAUCUUUGUGACUCAAGCUAUGGCUGCUUCCCCGCCGGUGUUGCUGUUCCGCCGCGAACUCACCGCCCCGGAGACGACAAGUUUGGGAAACUUGUUGACCCUUGUUGAGGGGGUGGUGUUAUCCCCUGGCCCGGACAUUGUUUCGUGGCACCUCAACGCCUCUGGCAAGUUCACUGUAAACUCCCUUUACCGCGCUCUCGCUAGGGGCCCCCACCAGCAGGUGGCUUCAGGGCUAUGGAAAGCUAGGAUGCCCCUUAGGCUUAAAGUUUUCCUCUGGCAGUUGUGUCAUGACAAACUUCCCACGUCCGUCAACAUAGCCAAACGCAACGGUCCGGCCAGUGGGCCGUGUGCGGUCUGUGGGGAGCCAGAAAGCGCUAACCAUGUCUUCUUCGAGUGCCACCUCGCCCGGUUCGCGUGGAGUGCGGUCCGCGAGGCCGCUGGCCGGGAUUGGGAUCCCAGCUCUAGUUCGGAGAUGUGUGCUCUAGUGUCGUCGGUCAGUGGCACCGCUCGGCGUGUCAUGUGGUGUUGCGUAGGGGCGUUACUCUGGGCACUUUGGCACAUUAGAAACAACAUAUCGAGGGUGUCUUCCCCUCUCAUCCUGCUGACGUAAUCUUCAAAUGUGUCAUUUUCUUGCAGCAGUGGGCGCAUUUGGGAAGGCGCCAAGACAUUGAUCUUCUGCAGCUCGCUCUUGCCCGUCUUCGCCAGGUCUACGCUUUGGCAAGAGCUCCUGCACCGCCCCCCUAGGGAAGUGUGGCUCCUUUUGGCAUCAUCUUCGCGAGCCUGCGUGCUCUGGUCCAGCCGGCUUAGGCUUGUAAUCCAAAACUUUCCCUCACCUUGCUCGCGUGUCAAUCGUUGAAGAACUACACAAGGCCCGAAAUCCAAACUGUCGUCCGCUAUGGCUAUCCGGUGAUGUCAGUCCGCCUACGUCGACAUCCAAACCUGCUAUGUCUAAUCGGUUUUGGAAGACCCAGAGAUCUCGCACGCCCAAAAGAAAUAUUGGUUUGGUCGCACCCACGAUAGAAUCAUCAUAAUCUAACGGCAUCUCCUACAAUUAUGUGGCACGUCUGACAACUCCCAUUGACCCGUCCCUGAGCCACGGCUCAGAUGGAAAAGCUGCUGGACACACUCACAUGCACUAUGGAACAGGCGUCCCGAGCUACAGAAAUGGCCCACUGUACUGCACUGUACCAUCCAGUAUAUUGCACAUAUCUAAUUUUCCAACGCACAAGUUCUGACAUGCCAGUGGGAUUUUCUAACAUCCCAAUGCACCAUUCAACGCCCAAGAUUUCAGGUCAGCUGGACCUGGGCACCGAAACGCCCUUUCGGUUUAGAUCACUAGUUGAUAAUUCUCAUCAGACAAACUAACUUGUUAACUCUCAGCUGGGAAUCACAGGGUUAGGUUCUGCAGCUGCGUAUCAAGCCAAAGGGAUAGCAGCCCACUGCCGUGCUAAAUGUUCAGUCGUGGUUGUAAACAGCUAAAGGUCAAUGGCUCAAGCCCAGAUUGGUUUGGCAGGAAAUCAGACCCUAUGGUGACUGAUAUCUACCCACUGCAAUGCUGAGUGUUCCGCCCCAGUUUAAAUUAGCCAGGUAUGUACGCCGUUGCUGGCUAGCUGGUGGCUGCCACUUCCCCUUCCUGCAUCAAUCAGGACAAGAUUGAUUCCACACGUUUCAAAAGGAUCAAAUAUAUUUCCAGACAUUUGAGUGGCGACAAACUAAUUGAUAAGAUGAUCAAUUUUGAUUUUUUCAAAGCAACGUUAAUCUAGUAUGGUCAUGGUUACCUAACAUCUUAACAUGUGCAGAGCUAGCCAAUGCAGAGCUGUAAUCGUACUACUUAGUCUAGGCAUGCUUGUGUUUGCGAAUGACCACUGGUUACUCAUCCAACAACCGGACCAAGAUCUCUAACCAGUGGAUGCUGUUGAAGGAGAUAAGGAUAUUUUGCUUCACUUGACUUGGCCGCACACAGAUGUAGCUCGAUUCGUUUCAGGCAUGACUAGUGUGUGAAUGGGUUGUUGUCGCCGCUCUUACUCGCUCACAGCAACGGUCGUUAGUAGAUGGAUGUACUGGGCCUGAUAUCUUACUUGACUUGUCUUCAUUUCCGUGGAUGCGCAGAGACAGCUGCGAUGCCACUGAAGCGUGACAGGGCGGGCUCUCUCUUGCGCGCUCGGCAAGUCAGUGGUUGGUUGGUCACUGUAGUAUAUGGGCAGCUACUCGACCUAGCUAGGUGGUGGUGGAGCAAUGAACCCUAAACCCUAAACCUUUGCCCGCCUUACCGCCUCCGGCUGCUCUCAGCGAGGAGCUCGGAGGAGACCUUGUUGUCUAGACCAUCUGCCAUGGAAGUGAUCUAGAAGGGAGUUUAGAAGAGAAUGCAAAAUAUGUGUGGGAACGAGCGAGCUCCCAAAAAAUGCUCGCUCCUCUCACGUGUGUGGCCGUCAGCGCACAACAACCUACGCGGCGGCGGCGGCGAGGGCUGGGGAUUUAUCGCGUGGGGAACAGCCGGAGAGGCCAAUCGUCUAUUUUUUUUCAAAGUAAUUAAUUUGAUAAAAAUAUAUCCUUUUUUUGGGAAUAGAUAAAAAAUGUAUCCUAACGCUGAGAUGAACCAAACUCAAAUUUAUCACAUUUCAAUUUUCGAAAAACAAUUUUAGAAUGAACCGGUUAUUGCUGCAUCCACACAUCGUGCGGCAACACAUAUCUCAGAGCAUAUGUGUCUUCCUCUUUGAAACAUUUUACGCACCAAGUCUUUGUGCUCCUCGUCGACAGCCAAGGUGCGAAAGGUCAUGACCGUGACUUCAACGACAGCUAAGAUGCGGACGAUGCCGCCCUUGACCAGCAGGUGGAGCGUAGGAAUGCGGCGCCAUUGACUUGUAGUCCGGUGGCGCAUACACAGGCUCCCGCUUCACAAAGAGAGUGGCGCGGCGAAUGGAAUCAUACCACCAAAGAGCGAGAUGGCCUGCAGGGCUGGAGGCGAGAAGAUACAUGCAUUUGUUUUCCUCCAAUAGUUUAGAUGACUUGAGAUGGAUACAAAACUGAAUUCAUAUCACACUCAUAUUGGCAUCCCAGGAGCGUGGAGUAUAUAUAGGACUCCUAUACAUCUCUUGUCUAUGAUACUAGCUCUUUUAGGAAGAAAAAAUAAAUUGCAAGCAUGGGAUAUGUGUUGAGCAAGUCAUUAAAAAUGUUUCAUUUUAUCAUGUGACUGGACCAUGGAAUCAUUGAUCAUCCCGCUUGCAUGUUUGUGUUAGCAUCCAAUGACAUGGUAAAAGAACAUACUAUACAUGGUACUCUCAUAUGUACCAUCACUCCAAGUGCGCCGCAUCAUGAAAGUCGAGUUAAUUGCAUACAAGUACCAUAAUUGGGGCAUCACAUGCAGAUUGGUACCACGAUUGCUAAUUUUUGCGUGUCAGUAUCAACAUUGCUCUAGAUUUUUGCAAAUAGGUCUAAACUGCGUAUAAACACGUAUUGACGGUGUAUCUGACUAGCGGGGCCCGCCCGUCAGGUGCCGACGUGGCAUGUUUUUUGCAGAAAACCCCCGCCCUCGCCCUCGCCCUCUCGCUCCGCGCCCGCCUCGCCGCCCUCGCCCUCGCCCUCUCCCCGUGGCGGCCUCCUACCUCAGCCGGCGCUUGUCCGACCUGUCCAGCCACCCCUGCUUCGCCCGGAACGCGCUCUGCCGCGAGCUGCUGCACUCCGUGGCCGCCACGCUCGCCGACGCGGCCGAGCUCGCCGCGCGGUGCCGCGGCCCGCCCAGGGACGGGAAGCUGCAGACGCAGAGCGCCAUCGACGCGCUCGGCGCCCGGCUCGACGUCAACCUCCGCGACUGCGCGCUGCUCGUCCGGACCGGCGUGCUCUCCGACUCCGACGCGUCCGCCGUCGCCGCCCCGGCGACGGCGCAGGCGGACGUGCGGGAGCUGCUCGCGCGGCUGCAGAUCGGGCACGCCGAGGCCAAGACCCAGGCAGUGGACGGGCUCCUCGACGCGCUCAACCGGGACGAGAAGAGCGUGGUGUCGGUGCUCGGCCGCGCCAACUUGUCCGCGCUGGUGCAGCUGCUCACGGCGCCGGCGCCCAAGGCGCGGGAGAAGGCCGCCAUGGUGAUAUGCCGGCUCGCGGAGUCGGGAGGUGGCGCCUGCGAGGGGCUGCUCGUGUCGGAGGGCGCGCUUCCGCCGCUCAUCCGGCUGGCCGAGUCCGGCAGCAGCCUCGUCGGCCGUGAGAAGGCCGUGCUCACGCUGCAGCGCCUCUCCGCGUCCCCCGACGUCGCACGCGCCAUCGCCGGCCACGGGGGACUCCGUGUCCCAGUCCGCGGCGGCCGGCGCGCUCAAGAACCUCUCCGCGGCGCCCGAGGCGCGGCAAGCGCUGGCCGACGAAGGCAUUGUCCGCGUCAUGGUCAACCUGCUGGACUACGGCACCGUGCUGGGCUCCAAGGAGCACGCCGCCGACUGCCUGCAGAACCUCACAUCGGGCGGCGACAGCUUCCGGCGCUCCGUCGCGCACGACGGCGGGCUGCGCAGCCUGCUCCUCUACCUGGACGUGCCGUCGCCGCAGGAGUCCGCGGUGCGCGCGCUCGGGAACAUGGUGGACGCCAUCUCGCCCGACACCAUCGUGUCCCUCGGCGUGCUCCCGCGGCUGGCGCACGCGCUCAGAGCCGGGUCACCCGGCGCGCAGCAGGCUGCAGCAACGGCCAUAUGCAGGAUGUCCGCCAGCGGCAGCAGGGACAUGAAGCGGCUGGUGGGCGAGCACGGCUGCAUCCCGCUGCUGGUGCGGAUGCUGGACGCCAAGUCGGCCGGCGCGCGCGGGGCGGCGGAGCAGGCGGUGGCGAGCCUGGCGGCGGGGCACCCGGGCAACGCGCGGGAGGUGCGGAGGGACGAGAGGAGCGUGCUGAGCCUGGUGCAGCUGCUGGAGCCGAGCCCGGCGAACACGGCGAAGAAGACGGUGAAGGCCAGCUGCGUGGACACGGGCACGAACGACAGCCCGUACGCGUACAGGAAGUCGUCGGCGCCGGUCGCCAGCCCGAGCCCCGCAGCGGCGAGCAGUAUCCUCGGCGGGGUCAGCACCACUGGCGCGCUGGGGUCGUGCGCGCGCCGGCUGAGGUAGGAGGCCGCCACGGGGAGAGGGCGAGGGCGAGGGCGGCGAGGCGGGCGCGGAGCGAGAGGGCGAGGGCGAGGGCGGGGGGUUUUCUGCAAAAAAACAUGCCACGUCGGCACCUGACGGGCGGGCCCCGCUAGUCAGAUACACCGUCAAUACGUGUUUAUACGCAGUUUAGACCUAUUUGCAAAAAUCUAGAGCAAUGUUGGUACUGACACGCAAAAAUUAGCAAUCGUGAUACCAAUCUGCAUGUGAUGCCCCAAUUGUGGUACUUCUGUGCAAUUAACUCCAUGAAAGUCACCUGAAACAUGAGAACUGGUUCAUUUUAGCUAUCUUUUCAGUUCUGUGUGAAGAAUAUCAUAUCAUCCGUGUGAUGGUAUUCUAUACCUAGUAAUGAAGCAAGGUGCGUUUCUUCAAUUUUUUCAUCCGUUCAUCUUCAAAAGUACUUUUUGUUUCUAUCCGAGGUGGUACUAAACUUUUAUGCAUCUAUCCGCUAGGAAAGAAAAAAGGUUUGUCCAGAAUUCCGUAAUUGGGCCGCGCACGCUCCGGCCCAAUGAAGCCAACGCACUUAUUAUUGCCCACGUAGUUGGGAAGACCUUAUUUGUUGUAUUGAGCGAUGAAUAGUUGAAGCUGCCCACAGGACGCCUAAAACUGGGUCGGCCCGUUAACUAUUAUAAAAAAUCAUGUUUUGAAAUUUUCUCAUUUUUUAAUUUUUUUUGUGUUUUUCAAAAUUUCUUAGAUAUUUUUUAAUAAAAACUACAUUUUAUAAAGUGUUCCAUAUAUAAAACUAUUCCUGUUUUACUGACAUGUUCACAAAAAAUAUAAAAUAAUAUUUUUGUCUAAGAAAACAUUUUCUAGAAUUGUUUUGAAUGUUCCCCUUUUAAAAAGAUAAAACAAUUCAAAAAUAUUUGUGUGUUUAUAAAAUUAUCAUGUUUUCAAAAUAUUGUUUAUGAAUUUCAGAAACUAUUAAUGUUUCUAAUUUUUGUGUUUUUCCAAAAAUAUUGGAUCUUUCAAAAAAAAUUGUCGCAUCUUUUGAAAAUUGUUUGGGAUUUAUUAAAUUGUUCACGUUUCCAAGAAUAUUCGCCAAUUCAUAUUUACGUUGAAUGUUCAAAAAAAACUAAGAAAUAUUUCUAAUAUUACGCUAUAGUAUUUUCUUUAAUAUUUGCGCUCGCCAUUGGUUGGCGGUGCAUGGUCGUUCUGUGCUGGUUGACUAUAAAUGAAAGAAAUUAUGGGCACAUGCCAAUAAAAGAGAAUAUGUUGUUUGGCUUUAAUUAGAGUAAAAUAAUGGGCACUUGAGCACUAAAAUAAUCAAAGAGAAUAAACCCUCAAACAGAAGGCCCCUGGGAUGCCCUUUGGCAGGUCUCAGCUCUAGGCCCCCAAGACCACGGCUCACACAAUGUUGGUACCACCACACAUGUUGAACCAAUAGAUGUUGGUAUUUUGAUCUUGCUCUGUUGACCAGGAGUACGAUGUAAUGUAUGUAGGUGUCUUCAGGAUCAGUGGCAAAAUAUGCCGAGAAGAACGUGUGCACGGUGAGUUAAAAGAUUCAGAUAUGGUCUUUUUUUUAAUCUCUGUAGUUCUCCUUGUGCUGUUUCUCAUAGAUUUUUCAGUUUUACCUUUGUUCCCAUAUGGCUGCAAGCACCCUUAAUCGCAAAAGCUAGCUACAUCGAUGCGCCGCCGCCGAGGACAACGCCCGGCCCGCAACCGAGGUCUUCCACAUAUAGGAUUUGUGGAACAGCAGGGGCAGCACUACGACAGCUACUGUCUUGCUGCAGUGAUGCGGGCUGGAGCGAGCUGGGUUGCACGCGGUGACGAGAGCAUUGUAUAUGUCCGUUCCUCCACCUUCAACAUGUCGAUUGCAGGUGAGGACUUCUUCUUUUUUCCUUCUCCCUUUUUUCAUGCAAGUGUAGAACUUAUUGUACGAUUUAGUUUUUGCCUACAUAUAGAUGAUUCAGAUGUUAACGUUGAAGAAAAGAUCGACAUUGGUAUCCCCAGAAUAUUGCAGGAGGGCGUGUGUGCUCAUCUAAAAAAUAUGAUUACCUAAAUAGCUAAUAGUUAAUUCUACCUUUGUGAAUUUGCAGAAUGUUGAAUGCUAUUGGGUGGCAUUUCUCAUCAUGACAUUUAAUUAGAGGAUAUUUGUUAUCAAGCGACGUCAAUGUCUCGGGUAUAGAUAGUUCUGUUUUGAGGAAGAUGAUGUGCAACCACUGAAGAAAAUAUAUUAGGAUGGAACUCCAAUGAUUUUGUGGAUCACUAUGUAUAGUUUUUUGUGGCCUAUAAAGCAGAGGUCCGGCGUGUCAAAACAGAAGUUUCCAUGACUUGCUACUUUAUAAAAUUUAGGCGCCCCUAUAGUGUUGUUGAUGAAUUGAAUUUUUUCACCCAAAAAGGUUGAAAUCAACUGCUUUGCAUACACAAUUAAAUAGUGAGUAUCACGUUUUAUUAGCAAAAUUUAAUAGUUCAUACACAAUUAGGAAGUAGAAUUGUAAAGAUAAGGUCAGAGGCAUACCAACACAAUGCUCUGUUUAGUGAAGCUACAAAACCCACCAUCAUAACUGAUAAUUCCGUGCUGUACUGCUUGGUGAAUAUUUAUUCUGUUUCAGUGCUGACUAAUUGGCCCUUUGCUGAUCGAUAUGGUUCCCUUUGAAUGGCAUGAAGGAGGAAUAAGGGUUGCUUCUCACUCCCUUUUGGUCUGUUCUAGCGUGGAUGGAGGGUGACCCAGGCCUGUCCGACCAAAGGUGGCCGGUGAGCCUCUUGGUCUGUGCAGGUAAAAUUUCUCACUCCCUUUUAUCUUUUCGCGACUUCUUCUUUUGGGGCCUGCUGAAUUAGUUUGCUUGGUGCAAUUGAGAAAAUAAGAUGACCUGAUGAGGUGAGAAAAAAACAUGCAAUGGGGGCAUGCCGAAUUGGUGGAGUUGAAGCAUGUGUCCUGCUUACACCAUCUUAGGAACAUGGCAGAGGAAGGUGUUGAUUAAUUGGUAGGCAAAUUAAGCGUUUCAUGGGAAUCCUCGGUUAAUCUAACAUGAAGGAUGGAGCGUUUCUAUGGUUGUGAAGUUUUCUCGUAGCAAGUUGAAUGAAGAGCAUUUACGUCUAACAUAAAGCUUCAUAUAAUGGAUCAUGUUUGCCCUGUCCAGUUACUUAACUUCUAAUAACAUUGGGCCUGUAAGGAAGUGCUUAUCUUAUAAGUAAAUAUACUCGUGCUUGAUUUGCAUUGUUGAUUGACAAUAUGGUCUGUACUGAACCAUUAAAAAUACCUGGCUUCCUGACCUCAGACCCAAAAUAUGCUCUCUGUUGCUAUUGUUUUUCCCAAUUAAUUGUACAAUUACUCCUUUUAUUUAGUGAUGUAUUCCUCAUAUGCUUAACUAUCUCUUUUUUUGACAUUGAAGAUCAUUUAGAGUAAUUCAUUUUCGUACAUCCUGAAAUUCAGCGAAUGGACAUCAAAUAUAUUACAUUAGAUGAUGGGGGGAAACUGUAGUUGCAGUGCUUCACUUCUGCAACAAUGGACUCCCCGAAGUGCCAACACCUUUACAUGGAUAUUCAGGAUAUUUUUGAAGGUUAGAAUAUGAAAGUAGAACAACAAGUUCCAUUACUUUGGGAAAAGUGCCCGGCCCUGAAUGAUGCCUUAAUGCGACCUUUAAGUUUCAGGUACAUCAUUCUAUUCUUCUCUAUUGCGCCAUGUGCUCCACACGUGUACCUUAUGAUUCAGGAGUUUCCGGUGACAAAAUGUGUUAUAUUUGUAGAGUCGAUGCUUUAGGAGAUGGAAGAGCAGCUGCCCACGCAAUGGUUUCCAGUUAUAAACCAAGCUGUUUAAAAAUGAUCAAGUAAAGAAAGAAAUAUUUCAUGAUUGUACCUAUUUCCUUUGUGGGAUUUAAAGGGUUACUAGCUAGCUACAAUUGGACACUUCAUUUGUUUGCUUUUGAACUAAGUUUGAUAAGGCCUAUGAAGUCCUGUAAAAAGGAUUCUUAUGAUAAGCGUGGAAAGCAACUUCUGAACUUUUAUGUAGAUAUUUAAGUGCCAAUGCCAUAUUUUGUUAUAACACAGGAAACCCAACUUUUGAGGCCACCGAUUUACCUUGGAUGUUGCAUGUGAAUUACUUUAGCUAAUUGUCUUGCCGUCGAGCUUUUAGUUGAAGUUCACUGAAUUUCUUGUAAUGACAUUUCAGCUAUUAUACGAUCGACCCAAUUGUUAGCUUUAUGAUGCUUUUUGGAGUCGACUCUGUUAAACAUAUAAGGUUCAGGUUCAGCGCAUAGUGCAACAUUGUAACGUGGUAGAUCUCUUGGAGAUAUUCUGGUAGUUUGUUGGCCUAGGUAACUAGCUUAACCGUGGCUAACUCUAUCUCUCUCUUUCUUCUUCUCCAAGAUGUACUCUAUCUCCUGUAUGCGCUACAGGGAUCUGCGCCCCUGCCUAUAAACAUGAACCACGUUCCCUCGUACAGAGGUAAGACGUUUAUCGCAUCUUCACAUGGUAACCAGAGCCUCCUUCUUCCACAACAUCUAGCAUCCAUCAAACCCUAGCUCCAACCAUGUCGUCUUCCGCUGUCGCUCUUGUACCCACCAUCCAUGGUCAGGUAACAGAGAAGCUCACCAGGACGAACUAUGUCCUCUGGCGUGCUCAGAUCAUGCCCCAGCUCAUCGGCGCUGGCCUGUUUGGCUACGUCGACGGAUCCAUCAAGGAACCAGAGAAGUUCCUCGUCACCAAGGAUAAAGAUGGCAAGGAGGAAGCCGUCCCGAACCCUCUACACCAAGUCUGGGUAAGGGAAGAUUAGCAGGUACUUGGUCAUCUAUUGAUCAAUCUCUCUCGAGAAGUUCUUAUCCAGGUGACUUCGAUCCGCAAGGCGCAUGAGCUCUGGACUGCUGUGGCGAGCAUGUUCUCGUCCCAGUCCCGAUCUCGCAUCAACAACAUCAGGAUCGCCCUCUCCAAUGCGCAGAAGGGCACGCAAACGGUGGGCGCCUACUUCGCCCACAUCCGCUCCCUCGCCGACGAACUGGCGGCCGCUGGCAAGCCGCUAGAUGACGAUGAAGUCAUCUCCUACAUCCUGGCAGGGCUGGACAUGGAGUACCAGCCGCUGGUGUCGGCACUCGACGCCCGAAAAGAACCGAUCACGAUCGAUGAUCUGUUCGCUCAAGUAAGCAACCUCGACCAGCGCAUUGCUAUGUUCCAUGGUGCUGGCAACAACGCCGGGUUCAAGAGCUCCGCCAACGCCGCCAUUCGUGGUGGUCGUGGUGGCUCACGCGGCUACCGUGGCCCUCCGCGCAACAAGGGAAAGAACAGCGGCGGCGGCAGCAGCAACUCCAACAACAGCGCCUCUCGUGGGCGGCCCUCCUACACCAACAACAAGGGCCGUCACAACAACUCCAGGAGCCGCCCCGACGCUGUCAAGUGUCAAAUCUGCGGCAAGAUCGGUCACUCAGCAAGGGAAUGCUGGUACCGGUUUGAGGAGGAUGAAGGAGAAUCCUCGCAAGAUGAGAAGGUCGCUGGUGCUGCAGAAGCCUCAUAUGGGGUUGAUACAAACUGGUAUGUUGAUAGUGGCGCUACAAAUCACAUCACCGGUGAACUUGAAAAGGUGACUAUGCGGGAGAAGUACCGCGGCCAAGACCAGAUACAUACAGCAAGCGGAUCAGGUAUGAGGAUUAAACAUGUUGGUCAUUCAGUUUUUCAAACCCCUCACCGAAAGAUUCAUCUAAGAAAAAUCCUUCAUGUCCCUAGUGCAUCUAAAAAUCUACUCUUCGUUCAUCGUAUUGCCAUUGACAAUCAUGUCUUUCUCGAGUUUCACCCUUUUUUCUUUUUGAUCAAGGAUCAAGCAACGAGGAAGGUGCUCUACCGAGGUAGAUGUGUUCGCGGGCUUUACCCAUUGAUUCCGGAGUUUAGAAGAAUAAAUAAGCAAGCUUAUGGUGUCACCAAAAUCUCCUCGACAAGGUGGCAUGAUAGACUAGGGCAUGCAUCUUUUUCUUUAGUUGAACGAUUGCUUAGGAAGAAUAAGCUCCCAUAUGUUGGAGAGCAUAAUGUUGAAACAAUUUGUGAUUCUUGUCAAAAGGCUAAAAGCCAUCAAUUACCUUAUCCAAUUUCUACGAGUAUUUCUACCAAACCGUUGCAACUUAUUUUUUCUGAUGUUUGGGGUCCUGCUCCAAGUUUUGUUGGUAGGCAUACUUACUAUGUUAGCUUCAUUGAUGACUAUAGCAAGUAUUCUUGGAUCUAUUUACUCAAAAAAAGAUCCGAGGUCUUUCAAGUGUUUCACAACUUCCAAGCUCUCGUUGAACGAAAGUUUAAUAGCAAAAUCAUUGCCAUUCAAUCCGAUUGGGGAGGGGAAUAUGAAAAAUUAAACUCGUCCUUCCAAACUCUUGGCAUCUCUCACCAAGUUUCUUGUCCUCAUGCUCAUCAGCAGAAUGGAUCUGCCGAAAGAAAACAUAGGCACAUUGUUGAGGUUGGUCUAGCUCUCUUGGCUGGCGCAUCCAUGCCCCUCAAAUUUUGGGAUGAGGCUUUUCUUACCGUUGUUCAUAUCAUCAACAUGCUUCCUAGUCUUGUCAUCAAUCAUGAAACACCGAUAGAAAGGCUUCUUCGCAUCAAACCCGAUUAUACAUCACUUCGUGUUUUUGGGUGCGCAUGUUGGCCAAACCUUCGACCCUACAACAAUCGCAAACUUAUGUUUCGCUCGGAACAGUGUGUCUUCUUGGGCUAUAGCCCUCAACAUAAAGGAGUUAAGUGCCUUGAUGUCUCCACUGGACGAGUCUAUAUCUCUAGAGAUGUCGUGUUUGACGAGACAAAAUUUCCCUUUGCUGAUCUACAUCCAAACACCGGUGCUCUUCUUCGCCAAGAAAUUCUCAUUUUGCCAUCACAUCUAGUAGGUGCCUCUGGGGAAGAUAACUGUAAUGAUCACAUGCCAACUAAUCCUCAUAACAGUUUGCUUGAGCUAUGUGAUGAUGCAGGACAAAACAGUGAAGCCAAUGGUGCUCACGGUGAUGAAAAUGGUGAAGAAACGGCUCCAAACGAGCCAUAUUUCAUGUGCAGGCCCUCGGGAGACAUAUCUCCUUCGGGAUCCGGGCCGCACCAGUCCUGCAGGCAAUCUCCUUCGGGAUUGACGCCCUCUGCACCUGCGCCUGACAACGACACGUCCGGCAGCGCCCGGGUCGCCCGCCCUGACUCGGCGGUGCGCCACGCCUCCGACCAAUCCGCGGGCGCUGAUGGCCCGCGCCAAUCUCCGGGCCCCACGCGGCAGCUGACGAGCCGCUUCCCCGAUCCGCCCACGUGCUACGCGCGGCGCCCGCGUCGGCCGUCCGGCUCGGGGCCCCAUGUGGUGGACCACCCGACAGGCGCUGGAUCUCGCAUGGAUCCUGAUGACGCUCCUGGUGGGAGCGAAUCUCCUGCUGCGGGCGGAUCCUCUGUGGCGGAUGGCGCCCCUUCAUCACCCGCUGAAGCCGCAGAAAAUCCUGCCUCUUCGUCAGAUCCCAGAAUAUCUGCCUCGGGAUCACCGGGGGAUACUGAUGUGGAUUUUUCUGCUGCAGACCCCGGAUCUUCUGUGCAGCAAACUGCUGCUGCUUCACCAUCCAUGCCACGCACACGUCUACAAAAAGGGGUAUUGCAACCUGUCAAUUAUAAAAAGGUACUUAAGUUUGGCUUAGCUUGCUCUACAGGUGAACCACAAACGCUUGAUGAGGCAUUAGGUGACACAAAGUGGAAGCAAGCUAUGGAAGAAGAGUACAGAGCACUCCAGAAAAACAAGACAUGGCAUCUAGUUCCUUCACGGCAAGGUCAAAAUCUCAUUGAUUGCAAGUGGGUAUUCAGAAUAAAAAGGAAGUCUGAUGGAACUAUUGAUCGAUAUAAGGCUAGACUUGUUGCCAAAGGAUUUAAGCAACGGUAUGGCAUAGACUAUGAGGACACCUUUAGUCCCGUUGUUAAAGCUGCCACCAUUCGUCUUGUUUUGUCUAUUGCUGUUUCCAGGGGAUGGAGUCUUAGACAGCUAGAUGUUCAGAACGCGUUCCUUCAUGGUGUUCUGGAAGAGGAAGUGUAUAUGAAGCAACCUCCUGGGUUUGAGAACAAAAACACACCUUUCCAUGUCUACAAGUUGGAUAAAGCUUUGUAUGGCCUUAAACAAACUCCUAGGGCAUGGUACUCCCAUCUCAGUCAAAAAUUACAAGCACUUGGUUUUGUUCCUUCCAAGUCUGACACAUCACUGUUCAUUUACAAUAAGUGCAACACAUCUAUCUUUGUGCUCAUUUAUGUUGACGAUAUUAUUGUUACAAGCUCAUCAAAUGAAGCAGUGACAGGACUGUUGAAAGAUCUUAGUGCUGAAUUUGCACUGAAGAAUCUAGGAGACUUGCAUUUUUUCCUAGGUAUUGAGGUAAGGAAACAAGGAAGUGAACUUCACCUAUCUCAGGAAAAAUAUGCUACUGAUCUUGUAAGAAGAGCUGGGCUACAGGGAUGCAAGCCAUCACCAACACCAAUGUCAAGUUCUGAAAAAAAUUCUCUUACAGAGGGAGAACUCCUGAAUCAGGAAGAUAGUACCAAGUACAGAAGCUUAGUUGGUGCACUCCAGUACUUGACUCUUACAAGACCAGAUAUUUCUUUUGCUGUGGACAAAGUUUGUCAGUUUCUUCAUGCUCCCACUACAGUUCAUUGGACUGCUGCAAAACGGAUAGUAAGAUAUGUCAAAGACACUGUUAAUGUUGGUCUUACGUUCUCCAAGUCUACUUCAACUCUUGUCAGUGCAUUCUCUGAUUCUGACUGGGCAGGAGAUAUUGAUGAUAGGCGCUCUACUGGUGGUUUUGCAGUAUUCUUUGGACCUAACCUUAUAUCUUGGUGUGCAAAGAAACAGGCUACAGUCUCAAGAUCAAGUACAGAAGCAGAAUACAAGGCUUUGGCUAAUGCAACAGCAGAAAUUACCUGGGUUCAGUCCAUGCUCAGAGAACUUGGAAUAAAACAUACUCAAGCUCCAUGUCUUUGGUGUGACAAUCUUGGUGCCACUUAUUUGUCUGCAAAUCAUGUGUUUCAUGCAAGAACAAAACAUAUUGAGAUUGACUUCCACUUUGUUCGAGAAAGGGUUGCUAGCAGGAAGCUUGAGAUCCGGUUUGUACAUUCCAGAGAUCAAGUUGCAGAUGGCUUCACCAAGGCAUUGCCUACAAGGAAUUUUGAAUUAUUCAAACGUAAUCUCAACUUAACAAAGUUGUGAUUAUGGGAGGGUGUUAAACAUAUAAGGUUCAGGUUCAGCGCAUAGUGCAACAUUGUAACGUGGUAGAUCUCUUGGAGAUAUUCUGGUAGUUUGUUGGCCUAGGUAACUAGCUUAACCGUGGCUAACUCUAUCUCUCUCUUUCUUCUUCUCCAAGAUGUACUCUAUCUCCUGUAUGCGCUACAGGGAUCUGCGCCCCUGCCUAUAAACAUGAACCACGUCCCCUCGUACAGAGGUAAGACGUUUAUCGCAUCUUCACAGACUCAUGAAGAUGAUGGCUAGCCUGCACGAACAUUUGUGGCUUCUGCAUAGAUGAUUCAGAUAGUCUACAAGAAAGGUAAAUAAUUAUAGGGGAUAGAUGUACGUUGCUCCCACAAUAUCCAGUUAUUGUCAGCAAACUUGCUUGUGGGCCAUGCCGACGAUGACAGGUGUAUGAAAAUGCAGCUCACCGACGGCGAUUGGAGCACCAACUUGGGUGACCCAGCUGUUUGACGCCGCCGGCUCGACCUACUUCGCUAGCAGCAUCGAGGAGGACGUGGAGCUCGUAGCCUCUUGAGCCCUCCGCGGGGCUCGUCUCGUCAGGCCGCCAUGGUUGCAGUAUAAAAAUCCUUACUGCCAUAUACAUGUCCCUUUUUUCCUCCCCGUCGCUUCCGCGGAUGAAAACCACAACAAACUCCUGCAAACACGCGAACAAUCGGCCAUGGCUUCCGCCCUCCGAGCCCCGCGAAGUCAUGUACAAUCUUACCGGCUGGCAUCAUCUACAAUCUUACCGGCUGGGAUCAUAUAGUUAUCAGAGUGUCACUUUUUGAUUUGGUACUGUCAUGUUUUUCAGCAGCCAUUAUAUAAUUAGCUGCUCAUCUUCCCACGUGCUGUUAUAGCCCUCCACAUAUCUGAAGGCAAAGAUGGUCCAUGAGUGUCCAUGUGAUGAAGAUCUUCAUGGCUAUUUCAAAAUAGACCUGAUGUUAGGUGAAAAUAUUCAUCGAUGGUUCAAUGAAGAUGCAUCAAAUUUCAAAAUAGAAUGCUAAUAAAUUACACCCUAGAGCAAUAUGAGAGUAUUUAAAUUUGGAUGGACCUAAACCUAUCCAGCACAGUACACAAGCUCUUUUAAAAUAUCGACAUUUAUCCGGUUUGCAUUUUUUUGUACUGGAGUUAAACCUAUCCAGCAUGUUCGUGAACCUAAAGUCGGCUUCAGUAUAUAUCAAUUGGAAGUCGGCUUAUGAGGCUUCAGUAUAUAUCAAUUGGAAGCCGGUUUCUGUGGCUCUGCCUGUAUGUUUACAUUUUGCAAACGCAGUUUAUGCCUGAUAUUUGUGUCUCUUUAUUUAUGCAGAACUAUUCUAGAGCUCAAGGCAUCAGGUACACUUUAGAUACAAACUCUCGCGCUCAACGGAGUUUCCAUGUAGUGUUAAAUUCCGGUGAACUAUAUCUCACCCCAUGCAUGCUGCCUACUCCUUUGUUGCAAACACAAAGCUGCAUGAGACCAGAUCGAUUAGGUAUACUUUGUUACUGACUGAUUGGUUCAUGGAUUAAGCAUGGACUGUAGGAAAUUAGGAGUUGUACAAGGAGGAAAGGAGAAGAGAAGAGAAGAGAAGAAAGAGGACUUAUUUCAUUGGAUUCGCGGCUGUUUGAUUCCUGUUUGCUGCAAGGAUAGAUCUCCGUUGACCACAUAUUCAGUAGUAGAUCAAAAGCUUAUUUUAAAUUCUAGGAAUAAUUGGGUUCAUAAUUUGGUUGUGGCACCCACAUGAAAGCUGUAGAGUCCAUCGAUAUCUUUCCAAGGAUACUAAGUUUCUGCAAUUCAGAAUAAUGAUUGUCAAGAUAUCACCAAAACAUAUUUCUAUGUUCGAGGAUUUUUAAUACUAGAAGAUUUUCUGUUUUACAAGAAUUACUCUACUUACAGGAAGAACCAGUUUUUGGCCGCCACAUGAACUUACAAAUGAUCUCCUUCUGAUAUUCAUACUAUUCUCAUUUGCUUGAUUUUGUGAAGUGCAUUAAGAUUUAUAGUAUAGACCAGAUAUGUUCAGAAUGGUUUCAAUGUUAAGUGAAAGAUAGGAACACAUGAUUUCAGUAUCUUGAUGAGGGCCAGAUUUAACUUGCUGAUGAAUAACAGAAGUUAUAUUGCUGGGACAUGUUUUUGGCCUCACAUUACUUAACUCUGCAGCUGGUUUGUAGAGCUGCAUCUUCUCUUAUUCUUUUUGGUUCUUCGGAUGAGCGACGCUGCCUGUGGGUCGUGGACAAAGCGGCUGCUACUUCCAGGUUUGAUUUUUUGCUGAUCAGUUCCUGGUGAUGGGAUUAUGGUUUUUUGUGUGACUUCUCCUGAAGAGAUUUUUGUUUUUGGUUUUGGUUUUGAUGGUGAAUUUAGGAUAACAGGGACAAUGAUGUUGCCAUACCGGCAGGUGCUGGACAUGAUUCUCAAAGAAGAUACGGAUGUGCAUGCUUCACAUCUUCUACACGCUUAUGCAAAGUGGGAUUUUAUUCAUAUUUUGAUGAGCUUAAUUUCUUAUGCUACUGAUUGCUUCUGCCUGAAGGAUACAUAUGGUAUGUUUUGUGAGCGGUGGGUAUGGAUGAGGUGAGAGCGUCUGUUAGUGAGUCAUUUUUGUUGGAUACUUUAAUCUGUUAGGGUUGAUAUAUAUUUUGAUUGGCGUGGUUGCCUCAAAGUAAUGCCCUGCUACUCCUUGGGGGACGUGAGCGAAGAUUUAUGCCUUAAGCAUAGGAAUGAGGGAGUAGGUUCCAAUAGAAUAGGCGAUGAUGCUAGGAGAGGCACAUCGAGGAACAAGUACAUGGUGCUACUCGAUGGUCAGCCACAUUCUGACUAUUAUUUUGGCAUGCCAAAGAGAUAGCACAUGAUGUUCUACUGCUGGGGAAUUGAAGUAUAGUGCUUAACAAUAUACUGGCAUGUAUUUUUUUUUAAGUAUAUAGUGGUUUCCUUUAGUUGAAAUACAGAAAAAAUUUCACCCCCAAUGAUUCAACAAGAGUUGUUCAUUAAAAGCGUGUGGUUUCUUUCUUCAUCAAGAAUUGAAAUAAUAUGUACUAUUAGAACUCCAUGGAGAGCAAUAAUAUAAUUGUCACAUGGGGUGAUCUUUAUUGGCUAAUUGUAUAGCUUAUGAUCUUAUGGAGUUUAGGUUUGUAAAUCCACGUAUUUUUUAGAUGAAGAAACAAAGAAGGAAAUGACUAUAUCAAGGAUCACAUAUGGUUAAAUGUAGAGACAACGAACACGGUGGCAUAUUACUUGCAACAUGGUGAAACUUUUAGGAUAGAAGGGUAAACGAAUUGCUCGGUCGCUUCAAGAGUUAAUAAUGGACAUGGUGGCACAUGUAUACUUCGCGGUAAUGCAUGAUAUUCGACUGUAUGUUACAACAUGGCAAUGACUCAGGAUAUAUCGGAUCUGCCUUGAUGGCGGUGGCGGAUCAGCACGAACACAAGGGGUGGGGAUCAGGGCGGAGAGUGGGUGAUUGGCGGGGGACUCCUCCUUGGUGGUCUGUGGGGAUAUACAAUGUGAAGGUGGGAGGGCGCCAUGGCGAGGUGAGGUGGGCGUCAUCUGGUUUUAAAGAAGAGGGCUCCAGCGAGAAAUGUCCGGCUACGGUGGGAAACCGAGCGGGAAGGGGUGGGUUCAACAGAAAAAGGGAAUGGUGCGUCGUGGGUUGAGUUUUUGUGUUAGGACCGUGUGUUGAAGAUAAAAUGACGGAUAGUCCGGAGAAGCAUAUUUCUCCUCCGCAUAUGGUAUGGAUUUGAAGAAGUUCAGAUUGUCCAGAUGGUUAAAUUUUGGGGUGCAUUCUGGGUGCCCGUUUGAUGUUCUAACACGCCCAAAUAUAUGAGGAAGAAAUGAACUCCGACCUUCGAUCUGUUUGAUUCAUUUAUAUAUAUGCCUUGUAGCCCGUAGCAAUGCACGUGUAUUGUACUAGUCUCGAUAGUGGUUGGGUUGGUCGGAUUGGUGGCGAGGACCCAACUAAAUCUUUUUUUCCUCCGCGUCUGCCUCUAUCUUUGGGUUGAGCCUGCCUCUUCAUUUGGUGGCUGCACGGCAAUCUUCGGGACACGGUUGCUUCGACCGCUCUAUCCUACGACGGCGUAACCAUGUGCUCCCCUCCUGUCAUGAGUCGAUGGGGGAGUCGACCGCGCCAAGACGGGCAGGGUUGUCGACGCAGGCGAGGGCGAGGGCGGGGUCGAGGGGCUCCAUGACCUCCUCAACGCGGCUGACGCCGGCGUCGAUGCGCGAGCAGCGCUUGAGCGUGAGGACGGCGCGGGAGGGGCGCGGCGUCGGUGCUGUAGAGGCGGACCCUCUGGGCAGCGGUGGUGGCGGCGAGGGGCCGCGCGGGGGCGUCGGUGCGGAGCAGGCGGGGCGCGAGGAAGGAGGAGAGGCGCCGGUGUGCGGCUGCGUCGGGGAGCCGGAGCUUGAUCUCGACCUCCAUGGGGUUGGGGUUGCGGCUAGGGCUGGGGGGCGGGGGCUGGAAGGGGCGGGCGGCGGCGUCUACUCUGGGAGUUUUAGGGAUCGAGAGGAGCGGAUGAAAAAACCUAUGAAAAAACCCAGUGCACUAGUAGGAAAUGGGGCUUUUACCCCGGUUUGUAAGGGCCUUUUGUCCCGGUUUUCGAACCGGGACUAAAGGGUCGUUACUAAAUCCCUAACCCUUUAGUCCCGGUUCUUACACGAACCGGGACAGAAGGUCCUCCACGUGGCCGCUACUGCCAGCCCAGGCAGGGGGGCCUUUGGUCCCAGUUGGUGCCAACAACCGGGACUAAUAGGCAGUGCCUUUUGUCCCGGUUGGUGUCACCAACCGGGACCAAUAGGCAUCCACGCGUCAGCAUUUCAGGGGCUGGGGUUUUUGUUUUUUUUGAAGGGGGGGGGUUUGGGGGUUAAUUUAGGUGUUUCAUAUAUUGUGUUAGCUAGCUAAUUAAUAGAGAGAAGUGUCCUCUCUUAUCUCCGUGCUUGGUCGACGCUACGUACUAUAUACGUAUGGAGAGGUCUAGACACGCUAGCUAGUAAGCAAAUGAAGGAAACAGAAGAUCGUCAUGAACAUAUGCAUGCAGAGAGAAGUGAUAUCGACCACCUCUCCUUCUCCGAGAGAUUGGUCGAACAACAAGUUCUCGUAUAUCUAUCUGACACUAUCAGCUACAUAUAUACAAUAAUUAUCUCUUACAAUAUAAUCUCCUAAUUAAAUUGUAAGAACACAGGGUCCACAUAGUAUUCUCCGUUUUCAGCGAUCACGUGGUCAAGGAAGAAUGCCGCCAAUUCCUCUUGAAUUGCUCGCAUACGAUCUUCUGCUAGGAGUUCAUCCCGCAUCCGAAACAUCUAAUUUGAAGAAGGGGGUCAAUACAUAUAUAUAUAUAUAUAUAUAUAUAUAUAUGAAUAAAUAAAACUCGACACAAAUGAUGGUAAUAAAAUAAAAUUGUGAAUAUUAUUGCUUACGCACUUCAUAUUGUUCGUCAGAGUAGCCCCGUUCACAGGUCCUGUGGCGGAUAGACUCGCAAACAUAGUAUCCACAGAAAUCAUUCCCUUGUUCCUGCCACAACCACUUUACAAGAAAUAGAGGUCAAUCUAACUGAUAAGCAAGCAUGCUAAAUGGUAUUGAUGAAACUAGCGCUUGAAUCACUAGGAGAUGUGCGGAACAUGCUACUAUAGUACUUACUUUCGGGUGUCUAAAUUGCAGCUUCUUCGGCAGUCCCGGAGCUUUUGUGGUGAAUUUUCUCCAAACCCUGCCAGACAAAGAAAACAAUUACUUGAUAUCAGGAAAUGAACAAAGUUGCUGAUAUGGUGGAUAAUGAUCGAUUUAACUUACUUCUCGAGCAUUUGAGUCAUGUCCGCAUAUUCCUGGGGAUCUUUUUGUCUCGAGUCUAAGACGGUUACUACUCCCUGCUCAAGCUUAAUCUCUAGGAGAAUAUAGUGGAAGCUGCGCAUGCAUGCAUAAGUCAUCAAUUACAUUACCAUAACCUGGACUAAUAAGGGAAACCGAAUAUGCACAAGACAGUAACACUCACUUGAAGUUAUAAGGAAAGAGUAUUAUAUCUUUGUUUUGAUUUAAUACCAACGAUCGUAGCAAGUUGGCCUCGGCUUCUUUGGCAUGUUUUUCAACCAUAUAUGCAUCUAUGAGAUUUGUGUUAAUGAACCCAAUAUCACCGAUUUGUCUUUUCUUCAAUUCGGCGAUCUUCAAUCUGCAUAAUAUAGUGAGGAUAAUUAUAAACACAUGCAAUGAAAGAGCUGACCUAUAUAGAGAGACUUAAUGACAGAAGUAGUACUACUUAUAGACAGUAGCAAGUGAUCGUUGAUUUAUCAAGGGCCUUUUGAUUGAAAAACUGGAAGAACUCCUCAAAUGGAACAUUCAGCAGUUCAAUUCCAACGAGGUCAUGCUCCGGUUUAACUCUCAGCGUCAAAGUAUUCAUCCCAUCAGACUCUCUGCAGGUUUUCAUGUACCAAUCAUGUAAUCUUCGCAUCAUCAUUGUUAGAGAUCUUUCAUCUUUGACGAGAGGCUUCCCGUAAUGGUAUUUGUGUUCGUCCACCUCCAUGAUUUCAUAAUGUACAUCGUCGGGCAGGUAAUCUCCAAGAUUGCUAUAACCGGGCACCAUCCUCGGAUCAUUAGCGACGAUGUCACUAGACUCCUUGAGCGGGGGGCACGAUUGGUUCGCUUGUUCGCCGAGCUGGGCAAUUUUUUUCCCAGCUCGUCGUUCUUUUAACCUUUUAUCACUGACAGUACUUUCCGACCGCUCCGCUUCGGCAUAUGUCUUUGCAAGAAUGCGCUCAUAGUUGCCUCUCGGCGGAGACUUUGGUGGUUUUGUCAGGGCAGCCAGAGUGCGCUUUGCUGUCACCGGAUCUACCUUCUCCUCCGGAGGUGGAUGUUUCUUUACUUUCACCCCUUCAAAGAAGUUCUUCACUUCGGCUUGCACGAUCUUCCUGGUUUCCUCCUCGGUCCUCUCGUAUGGUAACUUCUCUGGAGUCUUCAGAGAAGGACCGAAUCUGUAUUGCCUCCCGCGUCUGGCAGCUGUAUUGCUAGACGCCGGCAGAGCAGACGGAGCGGCUGCGGCUGUCUUCUUUCCUUGCUUACAAGGCAGAGGAGAAGGACUAUGACGCGCCAGAGCAGCCGGAGCGGCGGUGGGUCUCUUCCGCCCUUGCUGACGAGGCGGAGAAGGAGGAGGCUGGCUGCUCUGGCACGCCGGCGCAGGCGGAGAAGGAGGCAGAGUGUCGCCACGCGCCGGAGAAGGAGGCUGAUGAGUGCCCUGAUCACUCGCCGGAGGAGGAGGCGGAGGAGGAGGCGGAGUGCCGCCACGCGCCGGAGAAGGAGGCUGAGUGCCCUGAUCACUCACCGGAGGAGGAGGCGGCGGCAGAGUGCCCUUACUCGCCGGAGGCGUCCAGUUCGGAAGGUUAAUGAGCUCCUUCCGCCAUAGGCACGGAGUCUUCAGAGCUAAACCCAGCCGAGUCUCCCCUUCACCGGUAGGGUGGUCAAGCUAGAGGUCCUCAAAUCCCUCCGUUAUUUCAUCCACCAUCACCCUAGCAUAUCCUUCUGGAAUCAGCCGGCAGUGGUAGGUUGCGCCGGGUUCAGGAGGUAAAACAGAGCCAACAGCCACCUUGACUUUGAAGUUCUGCCAUUGCUCCAUAAGGUGGCAAUGUAGAGACUCCGUGAUAGCAUCCACGGGGUAGAUAGCAGGAGCUGUCAAGACAUGCUCCGGCUGAAGCAGCUCGGUGGAAGCCACGCUGCUUCUCCGCUGAGAUGGCGGGGUAGCUUCGGGGGUAGUUUCGGCAUGUCGAUUGUCGUCUCGUUCCUCUAGCGCUUGAACCCUUUCGUGCAGCUUCUGAAUUUGGGUCUGCUCCAUUUUUUUCCUCCUCUCCUGGCUUUUGUAACCGCCUGCGUCCGGAAAACCAGCCUUCCACGGAACGGAGCCUGGCGUGCCUCGUGUCCGUCCAGGGUGCUCAGGAUUCCCGAGGGCCAUUGUGAGCUCGUCGUUCUCUCUGUCUGGAACGAAUGUCCCUUCCUGCGCUGCAUCGAUAUAUUGCUGAAUCUUCUUGACUGGUAUUCUCAAAAGCUCGUUCGUCCAAACGCACCUCCCUGAUACAGGGUCCAAGGUUCCGCCAGCCUCGAAGAACCAAGUCCGGCAACGGUCUGUCCAGUUCAUUGUCUGUGGUUCGAUCCCUUUUUCAAGCAGAUCAUUCUCAACCUUGGCCCACUUAGGUCGGGCUUUGAAGUAGCCACCUGACCCCGUGCGAUGGUGAAGCUUCUUCUUCGCAGCAUUCUUCUUGUUUGUCGCUGACAUCUUCUUACUCUUUUCCGAUGUCUUGUGGGCCACAAAUGCGGGCCAGUGAUCUCUGAUCUUCUCAUACCGGCCGAUGAAUUCUGGUGUCUCUUCUUUGUCGACAAACAUUUUCAGCUCAUUCUUCCACUUCCUGAAUAGGUCUGCCAUCUUCUUAAGAGCAUGAGACUUGAUUAAUUGCUCUUUACUAGCUUCUCCGGAUCCUCCUCUGGCGGUAGGGUGAAAUUUGCCUUCAGCUCAGUCCAAAGAUCAUCUUUCUGCAUAUCAUUGACAUAAGACACCUCAGGGUCUUCCUUCUUAGGCUUAUACCAUUGCUGGAUGCUGAUCGGGAUCUUGUCCCUAACUAGAACCCCGCACUGAGCAGCAAAUGCAUCCUUUGUCCGGAUGGGUUCAAUCGGUUGGCCGUCGCGCGCGAUUGCUGUGAUCUCAAACCUUUCAUCCGAGCGCAACUUUCUCUUCGGGCCUCGUCUCUUUACCGCAAUUGUGCUCGAUCCGGAGCGCUAGAAAAAAGAAGAAAGACGAGUGUUAAUUAAUAUGUGUACAUACCAAAACAAUGAAUGCAUCAAUUAGCUAGUCAGCACAAGCUUAACUAAUAUAUUUACCUGGCCGGACUCUGUUCGGUCACUGGAGCCGUCACCACGGGCUCCUUCUUGCACCAGCAUUGGGUCACCGGAGCCAUCAUAAUCAUGUCUUUCCUCCUCCACUCUUCGAUCACCGUAGCCUGCUUCUUCACCCUGUUCUUUCAGACCAUCAUUGUCGUUAAGAUACGACAAGAUAUCACCUCCGGCUAAGAUUAUGUCCCCCAACACCUCUUCUGCUUGCUCGUCUCGUCCGUGCUCCAUUGUUUCUGCAAAUAUUACAACAUGGCAAUUAUUACACAAACAUGACAGCAGGUGGAUAUAUUAGUGCAAACGUAGACCUAGCUUAUUCCGGGUUUGGGGUGGCCUCGGCAACGCUUCAAGGGUAGGGGCGCGACGGGAGGGGGUAGGAGACCGACAUCGUUUUUUUCUAGGGUUUGGGUGUCCUUGAGAGUUUUGGUCGAGCAAGAGGGCCGGGGGGUGCUCCCGUGGUAUAUGUUAUCACGGUCGAGAGGGGGUAUAAAUAUCGACCGUCCAUCAUGUCGAAGUUAUCUGAGAGGGAGUUAUAUAUAUCGACAACGACGACAUACAUACAUGGGAAAAUAAUGUUAUCCGGGAGGGGGUAUAUCGACCCCUCCCCACGUGUUGAAGUUAUCAGGAGGGGGUUAUAUCGACAACGACGACAUACGUACAUGGGAAAAUAAUAUUAUCGGGGAGGGGGUAUAUCGACCCCCCCUCGUGUUGAAGUUAUCGGGAGAGGGGUAUAUCGACGACGACAGACCCGAUAAAACAUAAGAAAACGAAGAAGAAAUAAAAAGAGGAGAAGAAGAAAAGGAAUAGAGGAGAAGAUCGAAGAAAANNNNNNNNNNNNNNNNNNNNNNNNNNNNNNNNNNNNNNNNNNNNNNNNNNNNNNNNNNNNNNNNNNNNNNNNNNNNNNNNNNNNNNNNNNNNNNNNNNNNNNNNNNNNNNNNNNNNNNNNNNNNNNNNNNNNNNNNNNNNNNNNNNNNNNNNNNNNNNNNNNNNNNNNNNNNNNNNNNNNNNNNNNNNNNNNNNNNNNNNNNNNNNNNNNNNNNNNNNNNNNNNNNNNNNNNNNNNNNNNNNNNNNNNNNNNNNNNNNNNNNNNNNNNNNNNNNNNNNNNNNNNNNNNNNNNNNNNNNNNNNNNNNNNNNNNNNNNNNNNNNNNNNNNNNNNNNNNNNNNNNNNNNNNNNNNNNNNNNNNNNNNNNNNNNNNNNNNNNNNNNNNNNNNNNNNNNNNNNNNNNNNNNNNNNNNNNNNNNNNNNNNNNNNNNNNNNNNNNNNNNNNNNNNNNNNNNNNNNNNNNNNNNNNNNNNNNNNNNNNNNNNNNNNNNNNNNGCGUCGUCGGGGCAAACUGCAGAUGAACUCUGAAAAAUUUCCUAAGUGUUUGCUUAUAUAGCAAAGCCUUUAGUCCCGGUUCGUGGCACCAACCGGGCCUAAAGGUAGGCAUUAGUCCCGGUUGGUGCCACCAACCGGGACCAAAGCCCUCUUUUCAGCAGCCCAAAGGGCGGGAAGCGGCGGCCUUUGGUCCCGGUUGGUGGAACCAACCGGGACUAAAGGGGGGGCAUUGGUCCCGGUUGGUGCCACGAACCGGUACGAAUGCACCCCUUUAGUCCCGGUUGGUGGCACCAACCGGGACCAAGGCCUCUUGCUGCCCGCGUCGCGGCCAAAAGUUUAGUCCCACCUUGCUAGCCGAGGGGCGCCCGCACCAGUUUAAAAGCCGCGGCGCGGCUGCUGUCUCGAACUCCUCUCUAUAGCAGGAUUCUGGGCCUAACUUUGGCGCGCUGCCCGUUGAGCCUUCUAGCCCUUCUGGUCCUGUAUUUGCAAACCUGAGGGUUGGAAGGCCCAGCGGGCAGCGCCCCAACAAUUUUUUUUGCUGUAUUUAGUUUUUCUGUUUUCUUUUUUUUCUUUAUUUAUUUUGUUUUGUUUCUACUUACGACAAAAAACUUAUUUAUUUUAUUUUGUUUCUAAUUACUUAUUUNNNNNNNNNNNNNNNNNNNNNNNNNNNNNNNNNNNNNNNNNNNNNNNNNNNNNNNNNNNNNNNNNNNNNNNNNNNNNNNNNNNNNNNNNNNNNNNNNNNNNNNNNNNNNNNNNNNNNNNNNNNNNNNNNNNNNNNNNNNNNNNNNNNNNNNNNNNNNNNNNNNNNNNNNNNNNNNNNNNNNNNNNUUGUUUUCUUUUUGCUUUAUUUAUUUUGUUUUGUUUCUACUUACAACAAAAAACUUAUUUAUUUUAUUUUGUUUCUAAUUACUUAUUUAUUUUACUUUAUGAUAAUUCUUUUUGCUAUUAAAGUUUCUAUCAAAAAAGUUCUUUAUGAAAAUUCUUUUUGCUUUUAAUGAUUUUGAACAGAAAAUACUUCGAUAAUUUUAGUUGCAUCAAUUUUAUAUGAUUUUAGUUUCAAUAAUACUAGAGGUUUCUUAUANNNNNNNNNNNNNNNNNNNNNNNNNNNNNNNNNNNNNNNNNNNNNNNNNNNNNNNNNNNNNNNNNNNNNNNNNNNNNNNNNNNNNNNNNNNNNNNNNNNNNNNNNNNNNNNNNNNNNNNNNNNNNNNNNNNNNNNNNNNNNNNNNNNNNNNNNNNNNNNNNNNNNNNNNNNNNNNNNNNNNNNNNNNNNNNNNNNNNNNNNNNNNNNNNNNNNNNNNNGUUUCUAAUUACUUAUUUAUUUUACUUUAUGAUAAUUCUUUUUGCUAUUAAAGUUUCUAUCAAAAAAAGUUCUUUAUGAUAAUUCUUUUUUCUAUUAAAGUUUAUUUUAUUUUGUCGUAACACAAGAAGUCCGGAGUUGUAAUAAGUUAUUAAAAAUGGAAAAGAGGCGCAAUGCUCGUUGAUUAGCUUCAAGCCUUUCGGAAUAGUGUAGACUGCACUGCACAUAGCUCCAUGUAGUCUACCUUAUUCCUCAAGGCUUGAAGCUAAGCUACGUGAAGGUGAGCAUUGCGCCUCUUCUUCAUCGUCUCUGCACUCAGGGCUUAUAAACCGCUCCUAGUGCCUCUCAGCUAGCGAGGUGGGACUAAAAAACUGCUUAGUAAGAAACUCUAGUACCGGUUCGUGCCACGAACCGGUACUAAAGGUGCUCGUGGGGCCACAGCCUCAUUACUACCGGUUCGUGGCAGCAACCAGGACCAAAGGGUGGAAUCGGUCCCGGUUCGUGCCACCAACCGGGACCAAUGGCCUUGCACAGCGGCGUGGUGGUGGGAGUUUAGUCCCACCUCGCUAGCUGAGAGAGAGCCGCACCUUUUUAUAAGGUGCGGUGCGCCUGAGCUGUCGAGCUCCUCUCUAAAGCAGGCUUACGGGCCUAACCUCUCUGUACAUGCCUGUGGGCCUACUGGGCCUUCUGCGGGCCUGAAUCCUGGCCCAUGGAUGGGUUUCUAAUCGUAUUCAGGCCAUGGUGGCCCAGUAGGUGGCAUAAUUUUUAAUUUUUGGCCUGUUAUUUUUCAUGCAUUUAGUAAUUAUUUUGAGCUAUAAGACCCUAAAAUUGAAAAGCAUUUCAAAUGAACUCUAAAAAGGUUGAAAUUUGGCAUGGUAUCAUCAUUUCAUCCACAUAGCAUGUGCAAGAAAAUUGAGAGGGUUACGGCAAAAACUAGAUGCACUUCGUGUACAAAACGGACAAUGGUAUCAUACUCGUCUGUUACAAAGUUGGCAUGGUAUCAUCAUAAUAGUUGCGGGAGAAAGUCUUCACUUUUUCUUCGCUUGUGUCAUUUGCAUCAUUGGGCACAUCGUCUGGUUCCUCUUGAUCUUCAGCAGCUUCCCCCGUUGCAGCAUCACCGUAUUCAGGGGGCACAUAGUUGCCAUCGUCCUCUUCUUCUUCGCCGUCUUCCAUCAUAACCCCUAUUUCUCCGUGCCUCGUCCAAACAUUAUAGUGUGGCAUGAAACCCUUGUAAAGCAGGUGGGUGUGAAGGAUUUUCCGGUCAGAAUAAGACUUCGUAUUCCCACAUAUAGGGCAUGGACAACACAUAAAACCAUUCUGCUUGUUUGCCUCAGCCACUUCGAGAAAAUCAUGCACGACCUUAAUGUACUCGGAGGUGUGUCUGUCACCGUACAUCCAUUGCCGGUUCAUCUGCGUGCAUUAUAUAUAAUUAAGUGUGUCAAAAACCAUUACAGAACAUCAUGAAUAGAUAAUUAAGUGACCAAAUUAAUAGAAGUUCAUCAUCACAUUAAAACCAAAGUACAUACAUAGUUCUCAUCUAACAACAUAUAUAUAGCUCUCCAGAGCAUCUAAUUAAUUAAACCAUACAUUGAAACUAUGUAAAACAUUUCAAUGCGAAAACAAAUGCGAUCAUAAUCGCAACCAAGGUAACAAUUGAUCCAACGGCAUAAUGAUACCAAGCCUCGGUAUGAAUGGCAUAUUUUCUAAUCUUUCUAAUCUUCAAGCGCAUUGCAUCCAUCUUGAUCUUGUGAUCAUCGACGACAUCCGCAACAUGCAACUCCAAUAUCAUCUUCUCCUCCUCAAUUUUUUUUAUUUUUUCCUUCAAGUAAUUGUUUUCUUCUUCAACUAAAUUUAACCUCUCGAUAAUAGGGUCGGUUAGAAUUUCCGGUUCAACCACCUCCUAGAUAAAUAAAAUCUAUGUCACGUUGGUCGGCAUAUUUGUCAUAAACAAUAAAUGAACCAAAUAGUUAUAAAAAGAUAAUAUAUACCACAUCCGACUCAUAGACAGGACGAGGGCCGACGGGGGCGGAUACCAAAACCAUCGCACUAUGUAAUAAGAAGGAAUAAUAAAAGUAAAAAAAUUAGACAAGUAUCUAUCUAAAGUAAGAAUUUUUUUCCUUUCAGAAAGAAGAUAAGAACAAGAGGCUCACCACGGUGGUGCUGGCGACGAGAUCGGCGCGGGCGAUCAACGGCGGUGAAGACGGGGACGGGACGUGACGGACGGCUAAACCUAGACAAAUCUCGGGGAAAAUGGAGCUCGGAGGUCGAGUUUCGAGAGGAGAAAGAUUAACUAGUGUGGCUCAAACAUUUCAUCGAACACCUCAUGUGCAUAGGAGGUGAGCUAGAGCACCCAAAUGCCCUCCCCUCGCCGGCCAGAAAAAAUAGAGCACUGUGGAGUGCUCUGCUGUGGCAACGAGGUAUAUAUAGGGAACUCAUUGGCCCCGGUUCGUGGCACCAACCGGGACUAAAGGCCUUUGGUCCCGGUUUGUGGCACCAAUCGGGACCAAUGCCCCCCUUUAGUCCCGGUUGGUGGCACCAACCGGGACCAAAGGCCUUGUGCUGCCCCGCGUCAAAAGUUUAGUCCCACCUCGCUAGUUGAGAGGGCUCGAGAGUGGUUUAUAAGCGCUGCUGCGCCCACCCUCUCGAGCUCCUUCAACUGCAAGCUUUCGGGCCUAACCGUUCUCUUUGCCUGUGGGGCCUACUGGGCCUUCUGCGGGCCUGAAUCCUGGCCCAUGGAUGGAUUUCAAGUCGUAUUCAGGCCGUGGUGGCCAAGUAGGUGGCAUAAUUUUUUUCUCGGUUUUUUGUUUUCUCUUUUGCUUUAUUUGUUUUGUUUUAUUUCUACUUACAACAAAAAACUUAUUUAUUUUAUUUCCAAUUACUUAUGUAUUUUACUUUAAUUAUUUUAUUUUUAUUUAUUUUACUGCUGCUAUUUUUAUCUAUUUUACUGCUGCUAUUUUUAUUUAAUUUAUUAAGGUUUAUUUAUUUUAGUUAUUAUAGUUUAUUUUAUUUUAUUUUAUUAAGGUUUAUUUAUUUUUAUUUAUUUUAUUAAGGUUUAUUUAUUUUAUUUACUAUAAAAAAUGAACAUAGAUGCGCCUUUAGAGAAAAUUCAACCUAAAUUCAUAAUAAAUUUCUAUGAAAUUCAAAGAAAUUUACUGUGAAUUUAGGUCAAAUUCCCUGUAUAAGGGCAUCUAUUUUCACUUUGAGAGGAGCUCAACAAGGCAGAGAGGGACGGGCUUAUAAACUGGUGUGAGCGCCCUUCGGUUGGCGAGGUGGGACUAAACACUGGCCGCAACUAGGACCAGCCCUUUAGUCCCGGUUUGUGGUAUGAACCGGGACUAAAGGGUGGUGGGCCAGGAGCGUGGCCCAUUGGUCCCGAUUUGUCCCACCAACCGGGACCAAAGGGGCCGGACAAACCGGGACCAAUGCCCCCACGAGGCCCGGCAGGCCCCUGGCCGCACGAACCGGGACCAAUGCUCGCAUUAGUCCCAGUUCGUGACUGAACCGGGACUAAUGUGGAUAUUGCCCUGUGACCAAAGCCCAGUUUUCUACUAGUGGUGGAAGGUGGGACGAAAAACAAACCAUGAUAGGUGGGACGAAAAUAAACCUGGAACGGAGACUACCAAGUACCAACUGAGGCAUUAGGAGUAGAGAUUUCCCGUGUCAUACAUGUCCAGCGAGAAGACCACAACUCCUUCUAUGUCGCGUACUAUUGUGGAGACCCUCUUUUUGGAUUUUUUUUUCAUCCGUUCACCUUCGAAAGAAUUUUUUUUCUUUCUAUUCGAGGUGGUACUAAAAUUUUAUGCGUGUAUCCGCUAGAAAAGAAAAAAGAUUUGUCCAGAGGCCGCGCACGCUCCGGCCCAAUGAAGCCAGCACACUUAUUAUUGCCCACGUAGUUGGGAAGAACUUAUUUGUUGUAUUGAGCGAUAAAUAAUUGAAGCUGCCCAUAGGACGCCUAAAACAGGGUCGGCCCAUUUCCCCUUUUUAGAUGUUCUAUUUCUAUUUUUUUCUGUUCCUUUCUCUUUCUCUUUUAUAUUUCCUCUUCCUUUUUUCCAUCUUUAUUUUUUAGUUUUUCUGUCAAAUAAAAAUUUACAAAAAUAUUCAGAAUUUGCAAAUUUUGUUCAAAUAUUGAAAAUUAGUCAGAGUUCAAAUUUUUUGUUCCUGAUUUGAAAAAUGUCCGAAACUUUUAUAAAAAUUCAUGUUUUGAAAUUUUCUCAUUUUUAAUUUUUUGUGUUUUUAAAAAAUUCUUAGAUAUUUUUUAAUAAAAACUACAUUUUAUAAAGUGUUCCAUAUAUAAAACUAUCCCUGUUUUAGUGACAUGUUCACAAAUCCAAAACAAUAGUUUUGUCUGAGAAAACAUUUUCUAAAAUGGUUUUGAAUGUUCCCCUUUUAAAAAGAUCAGAAAUUCAAAAAUAUUUGUGUGUUUUAUAAAAUUAUCAUGUUUUCAAAAAUAUUGUUUGUGAAUUUCAAAAACUAUUAAUGUUUCUAAAUUUUUUUGUUUUUCCAAAAAUAUUGGACUUUAAAAAAAAUGUCGCAUCUUUUGAAAAUUGUUUGGGAUUUAAAAAAUUGUUCACGUUUCCAAGAAUUUCGCCAAUUCAUAUUUAUGUUGAAUGUUCAAAAAAAAACCAAAAGAUAUUUCUAAUAUUACGCUAUAGUACUCCCCCCGUCCGGAAUUACGUGUCGCGAAAAUGGAUGAAAAUGGAUGUAUCUCGAACUAAAAUACGUCUAGAUACAUCCAUUUCCCCGACAAGUAUUUCUGGACGGAGGGAGUAUAUUAUUAAAUAUUCGCUGGCCAUUGGUUGGCGAUGCAUGGUCGUUCUAUGCUGGUUUACUAUAAAUGAAAGAAAUUGUAGGCACAUGCCAAUAAAAGAGAAUAUGUUGUUUGGCUUUAAUUGGAGCAAAAUGAUGGGCACUUGAGCACUAAAAUAAUCAAAGAGAAUAGACCCUAAAAAAGAAGAGACAUUCAUGCCUGAUCAUGCUAAUGAAAUGGGAUUGAUGCGUUGCAAUUAAUGAUCCACCUGGUUACGUGGUCAUAGGAUAGAGUGGUCAAAGCAACCGUGUCCCGAAGGUUGCCGUGCAGCCACCAAAUGAGGAGGCAGGCACAAUCCAAAGAUAGAGGCAGAUCCGGAGGAAAAAAGGCAUGAGUUGGGUGCUCGCCACCAAUCCGACCAACCCCACCAAUAUCGAGAUUUCCCGUGUCAUACAUGUCCAGCGAGAAGACCACAACUCCUUCUAUGCCGCGUACUAUUGUGGAGACCAUUUUUUUUGGACGACACAUCAAUUAUCUUUCCCGUUGCUUCUUACAAAAAAAAUGUCUUUCCUGUUGCAACGCACGGACAUAUAUGCUAGUAACUAUUAAGCAAUGUAUUUCGGAGCUGAUUAAUAUUUCUUUAUUAUGCAAGUACACUGCAUAAUAUAAGGCCUAAUAAAUUUAUACAUGUGAGAAAAAAAAUCUUGGGUCUUGGCAUUACUUGAUUCUUCACCACCUCUCAGUUUCAUCUAGAAAAGGAUGCCGAGAUUGACCCGGUUAAGUGGAUCAAGAUGGUUGAGAAAGAGAUCUCAUUAGAAUGUAAAAAGAAGAAUCAAAGGAAAGGUCCACGCUUAAACAAACUGGUUACAUGCAUAAAUAGAAAGGUCUGAAUAUGGACAUGUCAAUUCUUACACGGCAGGCAGAUAAAAUCAAGAUCACUAUUGCAACAACAAGAUUACACAGUUACACAAGUUGACAUAUAAUUAUAAGUUAAAUCCAAGUCGUGGCCACCACAUGUCAUAUGCGGUGAGCAAUCUAAAAAAUGUAUAUUGUAACUUAACUUAUGUUCGACGAGGGCGAAAAAUGCAUAUUGUAGCUGAAUCUAAUCAGAUCACGGAGGUGGAACCACACGUCGAGAGGUGAUAACCUUAACUUGUCUUCUCCAGUGAAGCUCACUGCUGCUCCUUUGGGUGGGUGUGUACGACAGGGAUCAGGACCAGACGCCCUCCACCGCAGGCCCCGACAAUUCUCGAUCGAGAGCGACUGUACUACAGUUGUAGAAGCAAUCAAUCACUCCCGUAGCACUCUAGCAGAGUAGAGCGGACAUCAGGGGAGGGAGGCCUAUUUAUUAUCCAAGAAACUCACAAGCAUAUCCUUUCCCAGGGCUGAAAACUACAGAGUGCAGACAGGUUUUCAACAACACUCUUGAGGAAGGAUGAUUUGACAUGCCAGCAACAUCUCCACGGUAACCAGCGCUGAUGCAAGCUUUCCAUCAGUAUGGUAUUGAAACAGAUACCUGGCAGAUGCUGAGGGAGAUGACUUAAUUCACAAUACAUAUGUCUGAAUCUGAACAAGAUAGAAAUCAAAGUUCAGCUAAGCCGAUCGACCUGGUAGUACAUUAUUUGAAGCAAACAGAAUCCAUGCCGUUUCUAUGUGGUUUCCGCCCUGCUUACUCCUGCAUGGCUUGCUGGCGCUCCCUGGCUUGUCGAGUGGCCUUCCUCCGCUCACGGACUAGCCUUGGCAUCUCCUUCCAUGUAUUCGGUUUAAGUGCCAUCACUGCACAUAUCGCAAAUGGCGUCAGAACAAACACGUACAAAUUAAUGUAACAUAAAAAUUUAUACCGGACGGAAGUAAAAUAAUGGAGAACAAACUUGGACAAACAUGCUGGCGUGGUAGAUUUAAUGGAAUGGAUGACUGCAUCUGUUUGUUAAAUGUGGCAAAGAUAGAAGGACGUGCUGCAAGCAUACCUUCAUAACGGGCAUCUAGUCCUUUGAUGUUAAUGCUGCCCAGUUGCUGCUGCAGGCAUCUAGGGAGCUUCUUUAUAGCAGGGCAGCCUGUAAUUCCAACAAAGUAGAGAGACCUGUAUACUUGCGGCUCAUUCGGCAGGGAUGCCAGGGUACUGCAUCUUUCAAGAUAAAGGUAUUCCAGCGAUGGGGGGUGCUCUCCCGACAGACACUCCAGCGAUGUCAGCCCACUGUUGCCAAUAAUGCGCAGUCUCUUGAGGGGCGCAGGCAGACGAAGAGUCCCACCCAACAUGGCAGCACAGUCCAGUAUUGCUAGAUAUUCGAGAUGGGGAGGAAGUAAAUGCUCUCUUGCAGUUGGUGCUGUUGCUGCUGGUGGCUCUGGCAUGAUAGGACUUCUGCUUAUGGAGGUAGUGGCUUCUGGAUUCUGGAGCCCACCCAGCUGACAUGAUAGGACUUGAAUGCUAUUGCAGCCAGAAAUAUAUAUGGUCUUUAAGGAUGGAGGCAGACUUAGAACCGCUUGUAAGCUUCCACAUUCGACUAAACUUAGAUCUUCUAGGCAUGGACAAAAGUGAUUCAUGGGUGAGGAUGGCAACUCUGAUACAGCUGCAGGCAUGACUGCCUCACUGCUAGAAGAUCCUUGGACUAACUCCGGCAUGCCCUGCUGCUUGCCGAAUAUGGACUCAAGCUUAUGGCACCGACGAAUAUUCAUUUCCUUGAGAGAUGCCGAAACGUUGAACAUCUCUACCAAAUUUACACAAUCAUAUAAAUAAAGGGACUCCAGACCUGGCAGGUGUUGACUCCUUUCGGACGCCAAUGGCUCAAGAGGAGCCUGUGCAUAUCCAGUCAGGUUUUCGCAGUUUCUAAUCACUAAUAUCCUCAAGGAUACCAAGCUUUGGAACACAUUCUCUGGCCAGUGGAUGAGCACAUCGCAUCUGUUAAUUACCAGCUCUCCAAGAUGUACAAAAUAGUCCCACGGCUCUAGUGCACCUGGUCCAAAGAAUGAGUUGCAGCGUCCUAACUCCAUAACUGUAAGUGGGGAUUUCUGGUUCCAUUUCUCUUUGCUGUCGACCAGUACAAUUGAAGUGCAUUCAGACUCUGAUGUUGUUUCUGUGUGUUCUAGCUUCAGUGUCAGCUUGGUCAAUGAAGACAAAUACCUGUCUACACAGUGGAAGAUCUCUUGCUUCCCAUCUUCAAUUUCGAAUAAACUGAGUUUUGGUGCUUUGGGCAAUGCUACCAGUUUUGGGCAUUUCUGGACUGACAGUUUCUCAAGCUCAGGAAACAAUGUCCCUUCAACUGCAUCCCAUCUCUGAAAGCUCUCCAAGUCUUCCAUUUUGAGCACCUUGAGGGCAGGAAAGGCUGAACGUACCAAUCUAUAACCACCUCCACUACAUGGUUCUUCAAGCAAUGGUGCUUCAGGUAAAUUUAUCAGCUUUGGGCAUUUCUCAAUUGACAGUUCCUCUAGACAAGGAAACAAUAUAUGUUCUCCUUGAGUCUCUUCGACUGCAUCCCAUCUCUGAAAGCUCUCCAACUCUUUCAUUUUGAGUACCUUUAGGGCAGGAAACGCUGAGCGUACCAAUGUAUAACCACCUUCACCACAAGGUCCUUGCAGCAAUGGUGCUUCAGGUAAUGCUACCAACUUUCCACAAUUACUAAUAAACAACUUCUCAAGCACAGGAAAUAUUGUUUGUUCUUCUUGCCUCUCAUCUAUUUCCGGCCAUCUUUCAAAACCCAACAGAUGUUCUAGCAUAAGCACCUUCAGUUUUGGAAAAGUGAGGAUUGUACUGCAUUUGAACAAAAAUUGCAAUCUUUCACAAUGAAAAAGAUGGAUCUCAACCAUGUUCUGCAACAUACCCAUGCACUCUCCUCCAUAGGAAUAUAUCUUCAGAACCUGCAGCCCAACAUGAGGUUCAAAAUUGUUGAGCACCUUGCUGACACAAACAGAGCUCCAUCUUAAUGUCAGUUCUCUGAGAUCCUUCUUUUUACCGAAAUCUGCCACUUUCGCUUCUGUUUCUAUAUCGAUAUUCUCUAACUGGCAUAGCUCUAGCUGCCCACCAAGGUUUAAAUGCUGCAGCUCUCCAACAUCACUGCAAUCAGGACCAGGAACUCCUGCCACAAACCAUGUCAGCGUCUGUAGGUUAGUGAGUUUUCCUAGUCCUGGAGGCAUGCUCUUCAACCCCGGACAUCCAUGAGUGUAGAGGUGACGGAGGAAAGUCAUAUACUUCAUUUGCAUUGGAAGUCGUUCAAGAUAACGGCAGUCGGAAAGGUCCAACACUUGCAGGUUAUAUAGAAUACUUAUAUCCUCAGGAAGUGCUUCGAUAUCACUCCACGAGAGAUCAAGGUACCUCAGGUGAUGCAGAUACUUUGGUUUGAGCGGAAAUGAUUCUGUUCCCAGACAGAGCUUCAAGGCAUGCAAAGAGCUAUAUUUUGAUAGAUGCUUCAAUGAGCUUUGAAUAGGACUAUCGCAUAUCAGUGUUUGAAUGGCAGGGGACUUUUUCUCCAAAGAAUCAUUCAAAAUACCUUCUGUUUCAUCACAUGACAAGAACAAAUGCCGAGCAGUAUCCGAAAGCCACUCAAUUUGACUUGGUUCCUUAAUUGCAACGACACAUUCCUUUCCCAUAACAGACAUUGCAAUAUCAUGCAUAAGAUCAUGGAUUUUGCAUGUAGUUCUGAAACAGUACUGCUGAUUUUGCAUGUCACCCUUAAAUUCCUCUAUGUCCAGAAAGAAUGACCUUGAUGCUAGCUCACUGAAAAUAUGUUUGCCAACGGUUUCAAGACUAUCUUCCUCCUGUUCUGGGAUAAAGCCAUUUGCAAUCCAAAGUUGGAUAAGCUUCUCCACAUUAAUCUUGUAAUCCUUGGGAAAUAUGGCACAGAAAGCAAAGCAUUGCUUCAUGUGUGCUGGCAAAUCGUUGUAGCUAAGCUUGAGUAUUGGCAAAAUUCCCGUUUCCUCAGUGCAGAUACUGCUUCUAGAUGAUACAACCUUCCAUUCUUCUACGCUGGUCUUGGUACGAAGUACAGAGCCCAGUGCAGUUGCAGCUAAAGGAGAGCCACGACAUCUCUUCACAAUCUCACCAACCAUCUCGAGCAGCUCGGGAGGCUUUUCAUUCUCUGAACUGAAUGCUCUAUCCACAAUAAUUUCCUCUAUGAAGUAAUCCUGCAAAACAUUGAGAUUGUAGGUUCUAUCUACACCCAUAGUUUCAGCAACUUGUUUAUCACGGGUUGUUGUCAACACUGCACUACCCAUGCCACCCUGUUGAAGACAGACCUUCAGCCUUUCCCACUUAUGGACCUCUCUGUUCCAGACAUCAUCCAAUACAAGGAGAUACCUCUGCCCGCUGACCAGUUUUUGAAGUCUAUCCAGUGCUGGUUUGUUUGUAUCAUCAUUUUUCUUGGGGGAUGCUUCAACUAUACUCUUAGCCACCGAAUUCACAUCAAAGGUAUCAGAGAUGCAGACCCAGAGCUGCAACGGAAAAUGCUUCUGAAUUUCAGGUUCAUUGUAUAUGAGUUGCGCCAAUGUGGUCUUGCCAAGGCCCCCCAUUCCAACAAUGGGAACUACUGCAAGAUUUGCAUUGCUAGCUUCACCAAGUAGCACCUUAAUGAUAUUAUUCUUAUCUUCGCGCCUGGAUCUGCUGGCAAUUUCUUGUGGGUCGAUGAUGACAUAAUCUGUGUGCCUCCACUCCUUGGACACUGGUGUCUGCCUCAACUGAUUGGACACCAACAAUGUCUGCCUCAACCCAAAGUCAUGCAUCUCUGCAAUGAGGAAAUUGACGCGGCGCAGAAGCAGGAGGCGACUCCGGUGAAGUUAUGGCGGCCGGCGCCGAACGGUACACACACGGCACAAGACAGUGGAACACAAGGGCUGUGCAGAAUGGUGAGAAGAGUGGUGUGAGCACAGGUGCAGGUGCAGAAUGGAGAAGAGAAUGGUGUGAGCAAGUCGUGCUUGGCUUUCUGUUAACCAAUCACAACUACCCAAUCUUGCAACGUUAACAGCUGGUGUGAGCACUUGGCAUUCUUUUUGGGCAUACCACGUUAACAGCUGGGGGUAUCUUUUUUUCUUAGUAGGGACAGCUGGAGCACCAGACAACCAGAAUAUUGCAAGUGGGUCAUUAUAAUUGAUAUUUAUAUGCCAGUAGAACCAAUGCAGUUUUUCAAAAUUUGCGUUCCACUGGCUGUGAAGUUAGCAAAUACGAUUUACUUUUUCCAAAUACAAAAAGUCGCAGAAAUGCAAAUCUAAAAAUUACCUGCGUGAGACAGCAUACCUAUUUGUGCAAAAGACAAUUCAUCUCGGAGUUUCUGCCACAGAGGGAAGGCCAAAACUUUGGUUUUCUUAAUUGGUUGAAUCUUGAAUGCAUCACAUGCCUCCUGCUGAAGAGAGAAAACCCAGAAACGGCUUUGAGAGCUACAAAGGAACGCCUGUAUUUUUUGUGUUAAUAUUGCCAAUAAUGGUGGAUGGAUCUAGCUGGUAUUUCUAGUUUCUUUUUCAAGAAUACGCUCAGGUCAUCACACAGGUCAUUUAUUUGCACCAGCUGGUUGGUGCACUGCCCCUUCUCUCGAAAUGUGCUUUCAAAAUUCAAACACCUCAUUAAGUGUACAUUUUGAUAUACUAAAGUGCAUAUCAGCAGGAAAAACACAAAUCAUCGCUGGCAUGUCCUUAAGAACUCUGGACUUUUUGGGAGAUUAGAGGAGCAUAUUUUCAGAAUUAGCACAGAUUAGCACAGUCCUCAUGGUGAGAACAACAUAUCCCAAAUUGCCAAUAAAAAUACUACACAGAUUAGCACAAGCACACUGCAGAACGGAGAAGAGAAUGGUGUGAACAAGACUGUGCUUGGUUUGCGUGUGAGAAAAACGGAAGAGCAUUGACUUUCUGGGAGCCAAGUGGCUGAGCUUGAUUUCUCGGAACCAACCACAACUAUCUAAUUUUGCAACAUCUCGGCACUGGGCAUUCUUCCUGAGCUGACAUGAAAUAAGGCAGCUAGCACUGCAUACCAACAGCUCGGGGUAUCUUCAUUUCUUUGCAAGUAUAUCAUUAUAUAAUGUAUGUUAGAUCCAAUGCAGUUUUUCAAAAGUGACAAUGCAUUGGAUGUGAACUCAGCAAACGGUAAGAAUUUCUUUCCAUGUACAAGAAGCUGCAGGAAUGCAAAUUAAACAAUUACCUCCACCGACGGGUGACAACAGACAUACAGUGCACCUACAAAACACAAUCCAUCUCUAAUUAACGCAUAACAUGCUUCCUGCUGAAGAUAGAAGACCCGGAGGCAAGUGGUUAUUUUCUUGUCCAUUUCUAAUGACACCUCUAAUUAACAUUGCAGGGGGCAGGAUCGAUCUCAAAGAGUAGCAUAAUCAGCUGCAGAUGAUUAUCACUUGUUCAUAUGGGCAAAUGAUAUACUUAACAUACGGAUAUGAUAAGACACAACUAGACAAUCUCCUAUUAUUUGACGAUGGAAGAUAUGUACGAGUAUACGAUACAAUUUGAUGAACCUAUUAGGUUCCAUUACUGUGAGACAGUGAAAACCAGAAUAAAGGGCUGUAUGGAGUUUUUUUAUCAGCCUAACGGGGUCGGCUUAAGUAACUAAAAUAAGAUGAAGCCUAACUUUUCAACCAUACAAGCAACAAAGUUAAAGACAGUGAGCUAAAACAAUAGUCGCGUAUACCUUAAAAGAUAAAUUCCCAGUGCCUUUUUAUUGAUCAUCACUGCGUAUGGCCAUAUAAUUUGCUAUUAGAUCAUCAUUAUAUUAUAUAUUUACGUCGGUAGUCGGUACAUACAAUGCAGUUUAUCAAAAGUGACAAUGCAUCCGCUGUGACCAAAGCAAAUAGUACAAAUUUUAUUUCCAAUUACCGAAGGUCGAGGAGUGCAAAUUAAACAAUUACCUCCACCGACGGGUGACAGCACACAUACAGUACACCUACAAAAUACAAUUCAUCUCGAGGACCACAAUAUUGGUUUUCGUGAAUUAUUGAAACUUGAAUGCAUCACAUGCUUUCUGCUGAUGAGAGAAGACCCGGGGGCAAGUGGUUAUUUUCUUGUCUUUUAUAAUGACACCUCUAAUUAACAUUGAAGGGACAGGAUCGGCUCUCAAAGAUAAGAAUAAUCAGCUGGCAGAUGAUUAUCUCUUGUGCAUAUGGACAGAUGAUAUAUACUUUUGUACUGAUAUGCUAAUUCAUGUUUUUCGACAAUGAAUGAUAUGUAUGAGUAUGAGAUACAAUUUUGACGAGCUUAAUAGGUUCUAUUAUUGUGAGGCAGGAACUUAUGGAGUUCUUAUUAUCAACUUAAUGAGAUCCGCUCAUAACCAACUAAAAUCAGAUGAAACCCAACCUUUUAACCAUACAACGGAGGCAGCAGAAAUAAAGAUAGAGAGCUUAACGAGAUCCGCUUAACUAACUAAAAUCAGAUGAAACCUAACUUUUUAACCAUACAAUGGAAGACAAGGGCAGUGCAGAAUGGAGAAAAGAAUGGUGAAAACACAAAUGCGGUGCAGAAUGGAGAAGAGAAUGGUGAGAGCAAGAUGUGCUUGCCUGUAAGGAAAAUGGAAGCCAACGUGAGUGUUGACUUUCUGUGAGCCAAGUGGAUGAGUUUGAUUUUCAGUAACCAAUCAGAACUAUCCACUCUUGCAACAGCUCAGCAUUAGCUGGGCAUUCUUUUUGGGAACACCACGUUAACAGCUGGGCAUAUCUUCAUUUCUUAAUAAGGCACAGCGACAAAGACAACCAGAAUAUUGCAAGUAGAUCAUUAUAUUAGGUAUUUAUAUGCCAGUACAUUGCUUGGCUGUGAACUUAGCAAAUACGAUUUUCUUUUUGCAAAUAUACAAAAGGUCACAGGAAUGCAAAUCUAAAAAUUACCUCAACUGACUAGACGUGUGACAGGAUACCUACUUGUGCAAAACACAAUUCAUCUUAGAGUUGCUGCCAAGGAGGGAGGGCCGGAGUAUUGGUUUUCUUGAUUGGUUGAAUCUUGAAUGCAUCACAUGCUUCGAUUCCCGCUGAAGAGAGAAGACCCAGAAAUGGCUUUUAGAGCCCGGAAGCAACGCCUGUAUUUUUUUUAUAUUGGCAAUAAUGGUGGAUGGAUCUAGCUGGUAUUUCGGGUUUCUUUUUCAGAAUACGCUCAGGUCGUCUCACAGGUCAUUUAUUUGCCCCAGCUGGUUGGUGCACUGUCCCUCUCUCUAAAUGUGACUUCAAAAUUAAAACAUCUAAUUAAGUGUACAUUUUGAUAUACCAAAGUGCAUAUCAGCAGGAAAAACACAAAUCAGCACUGGCAUGUUCUUAAGAACUCUGACCCUUUUGGGUUUUGUACAUAAUAUUGUGGGAGACUAGGGGAAGCAUAUUUUCAGAAUUAGCACAGAUUAGCACAGUAGUAAUUUACGUCAGUACAUAGAAUUUCUGAGCAAGCACAGUGCAGAAUGGAGAAGAGAAUGGUGUGAGCAAGCCAUGUUUGGCUUGCGUGUAAGGAAAAUGGAAGCCAGAAUGAGCAUUGACUUUCUGGGAGCCAAGUGGACGAGCUUGAUUUCUGGGAACCAAUCACAAACUAUCCGAUCUUGCAUACCGUAUUAGCUGGUGACAGCACUGGGUACCUUCAUUUCUUAAUAGGCAAAAGCUUGACAAACCCUCUUAUUGCAAGUCAGAAUGAAGAUUUCUCAUUCUUAAUAUCGCAAGUAGGUCAUUAUAUUACGUAUUUACGUCAGUACAUCCAAUGCAGUUUUUCAGAAAUGACCAUGCAUUGGCUGUGAACUCGGAAAAUAGUAAGAAUUUUCUUUCCAAAUACAAGAAGUCGCAGGAAUGCAAAUUAAACAAUUACCUCAACUGACGGGUGACAGCACGCAUACAUUGCACCUACCAAAUACUACCUCCGUUCCAUAAUAUAAGAGUGUUUUUUACACUAUUGUAGUGUCAAAAACGCUCUUGUAUUAUGGGACGGAGGGAGUACAAUUCAUCUCGAGGACAACGACAUUGGUUUUAGUGAAUUCAUUGAAACAUGAAUGCAUCACAUGCUUUCUGCGGACGAGAGAAAACCCGGGGGCAAGUGGUUAUUUUCUUACCUUUUUUAAUGACACCUAUAAUUAACAUUGAGUUAACUGGGCAAUUCUCUUCUCCUUAAUUAAUCGAUGAGGCAAAUCUUUUGCCUCCGUUUCGAAAAAAUAAUAAUAAUUAACAUUGAGUACAGGAUCGGAUCUCAAAGAUAAGAAUAAUCGGCUGGCAGAUGAUUAUCUCUUCUGUAUGUGGACAAAUGAUAUAUACUUUUGUACUGAUAUGAUAAUUUACGUUAUUCAAUGAUGAAAGGUAUGUAUGAUUAUGAGAUACAACUUCGACGAGCUUAAUAGGUUCUGUUAUUUUGAGGCAGUGAAGACCAGAAUAAAGGACUGUAUGGAGUUCUUGUCCUUUAUUAACAAGGUCCGCUUAACAAACUAAAAUCAGAUGAAACCUAACUUUUUAAUCAUACAAUGGAGGCAGCAAAAAUAAAGAUAAAGAGCUUAACGAGAUCCGCUUAUAACUAACUAAAAAUCAGCUGAAACCUAACUUUUUAACCAUACAACGGAGGCAGCAAAAAUAAAUACAGAGAGCUAAAAAAAUAGUGACGUAUACAUUAGAAGAUAAAUUCCAGUGCCCUUUUAUUGAUCAUCACUGCCUAUGGCCAUAUAAUUUGCUAUUAGAUCAUCAUGAUAUUAAUAUAUUUAUGUCGGUACAUCCAAUGCAGUUUUUCAAAAGUGAAGAUACAUUGCCCGUGAACUCAGCAAAUAGGAGUGUUCUUUCCAGAUACAAGAAGUUGCAGCAAUGCAAGCUAAACAAUUACCUCCACUGCUGGGUGACCACAGGGAGGACCACAAUAUUGGUUUUCGUGAAUCUUGAAUGCAUCACAUGCUUCCUGCUGAAGAGAGAAGACCCGGUGGCAAGUGAUUAAUUUUUCUUGUCCUUUAUUAAUGACACCUCUAACUAACAUUGAAGGGGCAUGAUCGAGCUCAGAGAUUAGCAUAAUAAGCUGGCAGAUGACCAUCCCUUGCUCAUAUGGACAAAGGAUACACUUAAUAUACUGAUAUGAUAAAAACACAGCUUGACAAUCUCCUGUUAUUCGAAGAUGAAAGAUAUGUAUGAGUAUGCGAUACAAUUUGUGGGUUUUCUUUAUUUUUGAGACAUACAAUUUGGUGAGCUUAAUAUGUUCCGUUAUUGUGAGACAUUGAAAAGCGGAAUAAAGGGCCAUGUGGAAUUCUUUUUAUCAGAUUAACGAGAUCGUCUUCACUAACUAAAAUCAGAUGAAGCCUAACUUUGCAACCAUACAACGGAAGCAACAAAAAUACAGACAGAGACCUCGAACAACAGUGGCCAUAUGAAUGAGAUCUGGGACUCGGCCAUAUGAACAACAGUGAAGAUAAAUUCCAGUGUCCUUUUAUUGAUCGCUGCCUAUGCCCAUAUAAAUGAGAUCUGGGACUCAGCCCGCUCCAACAUGGCUCUAGAAAGCACAUUUCCUCUGACGCACAUAUGAAAUACGACAGUACAAAACAGAACAAACACUGAGAUUAUAAUUAUACAGAUGACUGGAUGCUGUAACUAACUUGGAUAUCGCUGCACCGAAGACGGACUUUCUUCUCAGACAUCAGAGAGAAACGGAAUGUCCAUGCCAACUGCUUCUCCUCGACUCCACCUGCACAGCGCGCAUAGGCGGAAAUUUGAUGAUUAUUUGAAGUGACAUACACAUAAAGCACAGAGUUACUCAGCUAACAAAGCACGUAUGUACAUCGCUGUCAGGCUGAAUCCUGCUUCCUGACAAUCGGAAUUCAUGUGAAUCGAAUCGCUGGAAGAGACGGACAGACAGGAUCGAUACCUUGUGUCCACGGCGAGGCCUGAGUGGCUGCCGUCGACGUACGACCCGCAACCGACGGAGGAGCUCCGGGACCUUCUUGUCGAGACCAUCUGCAAUGGAAGUAAAAAAGAGCUGUUAGAAGAGGAUCCGAAAGAGGUUGAUGGUAGGAAGGAAUGGGAAGGGGAACGAGUGGGUGCCUCGAGCGGCCGCGGUGGUGGUGGGCGGGCGGAUGCGGAGGGUGGGAGGGAGGCUGACACCUCCGCCGCCACAGACGUACGUGGAGCGGCCGCGGGCGGUGGGAUCCGGGAGAGGCUGCGGCGGCGAGCGGUCCGGCCGGCGAGGAGGACGGGGAAGGGAGAGACGAAGACGACGCAGAUCGGCGGAAUGUGGGCUGGGCUUGUGACUUUGAGGCCUCCGAAAACUAUAGCCCAGUUCGAAUUGGUGCCCUAACACACACAACACUUACGUUGGGCCUAAUCGCUCGCUCCUGCCCCUGCUCAAAAUUUUUUUUGCUCCAGGCUGGGGGCCUCUGUUCCACCCCCAUCUAUCGCUCCACCUCCAAACAAAAAAAAAAUCUAUCACUCCACCUCCACUCCAAAAAUAUAAAAUUCUAUCAAUCCACCUACGCCUCGAAAAAAGAAAUCUAUCACUCCACCUCAGCAUUGAUGUCUCUAGCUUGUAGAAACUGCCAUCCUUUACAUGUAAAACGGAUUCGAUGAGUCAUGUCAUGCUCUAUAGACGUCAGUUCAUCUUAUCAUCUUACAGGAAAGUACAAAGUUAGUUUUCUGAAAAGCAACCGAAUAUAGAAGAACACUCCACACUCAAGGCUUUACUAAUCGAGCAUAUCCUAACAGCCCACACAUGAUUGCAAACUUAGUCAUACACAAGUUUUGCCUUUCUUGUUUACGGCUGACAGCCUAUACAAGGUUCCAAACUCGGUUGUAAAAGUGAUACUAUCUUGAUAAGUGUGUGACAUGUAAAGUUAAUAAGGUGAGUCAUAUAUAGCAAAUAUCGGGGUUUCUGUACUUUGUGUGUGAUCGUAUGCACAACUAAAAAUCAACUUUGAUGAUCAAUAUAUCCAAAAGUACGCUUGUAGCUAGUGCAAACCUAACCCAAUGUAACAAAAUAAUUCAUUUCAGAUGGAGCCAAACAGAAUUAUUAAAGCUGAUGCAAAGAAGGAAAAGAGGUGGUUCCUGGGCUACUAUAAAUAGGCAUGAAGUAUAAAGAUCAUCACAAGCACAAGCAUCAGAACCAAGCAACACUAGUUAACACCAAUCCACCAUGAAGACCUUCCUCGUCUUUGCCCUCCUCGCCGUUGCGGCGACAAGUGCAAUUGCGCAGAUGGAGACUAGAUGCAUCCCUGGUUUGGAGAGACCAUGGCAGCAGCAACCAUUACCACCACAACAGACAUUUCCACAACAACCACUAUUUUCACAACAACAACAACAACAACUAUUUCCUCAACAACCAUCAUUUUCGCAGCAACAACCACCAUUUUGGCAGCAACAACCACCAUUUUCUCAGCAACAACCAAUUCUACCACAGCAACCACCAUUUUCGCAGCAACAACAACUAGUUCUACCGCAACAACCACCAUUUUCACAGCAACAACAACCAGUUUUACCUCCACAACAAUCACCUUUUCCACAACAACAACAACAACACCAACAGCUGGUGCAACAACAAAUCCCUGUUGUUCAGCCAUCCAUUUUGCAGCAGCUAAACCCAUGCAAGGUAUUCCUCCAGCAGCAGUGCAGCCCUGUGGCAAUGCCACAACGUCUUGCUAGGUCGCAAAUGUUGCAGCAGAGCAGUUGCCAUGUGAUGCAACAACAAUGUUGCCAGCAGUUGCCGCAAAUCCCCCAGCAAUCCCGCUAUGAGGCAAUCCGUGCUAUCAUCUACUCCAUCAUCCUGCAAGAACAACAACAGGUUCAGGGUUCCAUCCAAUCUCAGCAGCAGCAACCCCAACAGUUGGGCCAAUGUGUUUCCCAACCCCAACAGCAGUCGCAGCAGCAACUCGGGCAACAACCUCAACAACAACAAUUGGCACAGGGUACCUUUUUGCAGCCACACCAGAUAGCUCAGCUUGAGGUGAUGACUUCCAUUGCGCUCCGUAUCCUGCCAACGAUGUGCAGUGUUAAUGUGCCGUUGUACAGAACCACCACUAGUGUGCCAUUCGGCGUUGGCACCGGAGUUGGUGCCUACUGAUAAGGAAAGAUCUCUAGUAAUAUAUAAUUGGGUCACCGUUGUUUAGUCGAUGGAUAUGUCGAUGCAGCGGUGACAAAUAAAGUGUCACACAAUGUCAUGUGUGACCCGCCCAAACUAGUUGUUUAAAUUCUGAAAUAAAAUAAAAAUAAAGUUGUAUCAAGACAAUGUUCAUAUUGGCAUUGUGUGGAUGUCAAUCUGAUUGCCAUGCUUGCAAGUUCAUAAGUUUGUCUUUCCUUGUCACAAGCGCAACCUGGUGCCUUAAUUAAUUAUCAAUGUACUGGAAUAAUCACUAUUUAAAUAUAAUAGUGUCACUGUAAAAUUUGGGUUGAACUCUUUAUUGGUUGGAGAUUUGAGAUCUUGUUUUUUAUUGGUUUGUAUCUAGUACCAACUAGUACCACUGUCUACAGUGACAAUCACAACCAGUUUUGUUGCUAAUUAUGUUUGCUUUCUUGCAAAUACAUUCAUUGAUUCUUUGCAUGUCAAAUUAUUUGCCGAGAAAAAUACCAGCUUUUUCUUGAACUUCACAAACACCACUAGCUAGUUAAUUUGAAAUAAGCUGCCAAUUUAUUUCCUUGUAUUUAUGCCCUUUACAUCGAACCAGUACAAUCAUUGUGCUAGCUAGAGAAAAGGAGUUGCUGGCACGUUCAUGUCUAGAACUAAAUCAGACUGAAUUGAACUUGUUCUUUACAACUAGCUAGGAGCAGAAAACUUACUGUGAAUUGCACUUGAUUAUAUUUGAUUUUGUUUAAGAGCUACAGGGAAAAAUCAUCAAAAAAUGCCCUAAAAUAUCUUAUCGUAAAAUAGGUUCACCAGGAGAUACAGUCGCAAGAAAAAAAAGGCUCACCAGGAGAUAGAUGCUGCACAUUAUCAUUUAGAAAUUAGACCAAGAGAAAUGUGGAUUUGGCGGCUCAUAAUUCUAUAAGACUAUAACAGGUUGUCCAAUCAUUUAGAAAUUAGAUCAAGAAAAUGUGGAACUAAACAUAUUAAUGGCUAGGAUCAUAUUUGCACUGUGGGAACUUGGUAUGCGCGCUCCAACAUGCCCGUUGAAAGCAUUUUUUCCUCUGAUGCACAUAUGAAAUAUGACUGGUCGAAAACAGAAGAAACAGUGAGAUAAUAUGGAUGCUUGGAUGUUGUAACAAACAUAAACUUAUUAUAUAUAUAUCCAAUCCACCGAGCGGACGAACAUCCUAGGAGCUUUUCUCUCGGAGAUCGAAAAGAAACGAAAUGUCCACGCCAACUGCUUCUUCUCCAUCUGUAUAACGCGUGUAGGAGAAUUAUUUUGAUGAUUAUUUGAAGUGGCAUCCACAUAGAGUACAAAGCUAUUCAGCUAGAAAAGCCACAAAUGUACAUCACUUUUAGCCUACAUGACUGAACUCUGCUCCAUGACCUUCUUGAUUCAUGCGGCUCCUGAAUUCAUGUGAAUCGAAUCGCGGAAGAGAUAGGCUUUCAGGGUCAAUACCUCAUGUUCAUGGGAAGGCCGGAGAGGCUGCGUCGAUGUGCAGCCUGAACCCGAGGAGGAGCUCCGUGUCGGUGUCAAAACCGGCGGAUCUCGGGUAGGGGUCCCGAAUUGUGCGUCUAGGAUCGAUGGUAACAGGAGACGGGGGACACGAUGUUUACCCAGGUUCGGGCCCUCUCUAUGGAGGUAAUACCCUACUUCCUGCUUGAUUGAUCUUGAUGAAUAUGGGUGUUACAAGAGUUGAUCUACCAUGAGAUCGUAAUGGCUAAACCCUAGAAGUCUAGCCUAUGUGUAUACGGUAAUGAAUGUCCCCUAUCCGGACUAUGCUCUCCGGUUUAUAUAAACACCGGAGAGAUCUAGGGUUACAUGGAGUCGGUUACAUAAGAAGGAAUCUUCACAGCUGGUCACCUAGCUUGCGUUCCACGCCAAGGGAAGUCCAAUCCGUACACGGGUGUAGUCUUCGGCCUUCGUAUCUUCACAGCCCAUCAGUCCGGCCCAAUGAAUAAUAGGCCGGACGCCCGAGGACCCCUUAGUCCAGGACUCCCUCAGUAGCCCCUGAACCUGGCUUCAAUGACGAGGAGUCUGGCGCGCAGAUUGUCUUCGGCAUUGCAAGGUGGGUUCCCUCCUUCCGAAUUCCGGAAUAGUCUUCGGAUGCAGUAGAUAUAUUUGGACCUGUGUAUAUAAUUGCAAAAAAUACAAUAUUCCACGAGUCUAAUUUGUUGAUAACUGUUUACAACAUCGCAUCACGCCUGCCCGGUUACUAUUUCCAACCGUUGGCUGGCACGUCGCCCCACGUCUCGGGACGCGGUUUUACUGGCACGUCUUGCCAAGGCAGAGAUCGUGUUCCCUUAUUCACGGGACUUUCAUUAAUGCAAGCGUGGGUAACCCAACCGUCCCCUGGGUACAACUCUCUGGGGAUAGGUAAGUUUCGAGACCCAGGUGGAUACCCUUAGUAUUUGGGGUCUUUAUAUAGGGCCCCAGACUCGUCUUCUUCCUUUGCGCUUGCUUCUUCCUCAACCCUAGCCACCCCAAGUUCCAACCCUCGGGUUCCCAUCGCCACCAGCCCUAAUCAUGUCCGAAUCCAGCCGUCAAGGCCGGUGGGUGGCUUCUUCUAUCACAGAGGAGGAUAUUGCAAAGCUCUGCGCAGUGAGGUAUCUGACCCCGGAAAUCCUUCAUCAGCUUCCUGCACAGGGGCAGGUCGUUCCUACCCCCAAAUCCGGCGAGAGGGUAGUGUUUGUGUCCCACUUCCUCCAUGGGUUAGGUUUCGCGCUUAACCCCUUCGUCCGGGGGCUCAUGUUCUACUAUGGGCUAGACUUUCACGAUCUAGCCCCGGACUCUAUUCUUCUCAUCUCGACAUUUAUCGUCACGUGUGAGGCCUUCCUUCGGACUCCUCCGCACUUUGGUUUGUGGCUCAAGACCUUUGAUGUGAGGCCGCAGGUGACAGAGGAGGAGCAGGCAGAGUGUGGCAGCGUCACAAUAGGCAAGCUUGCCAGCGCGGUUUGGUUUGAAGGAUCUUUCACCAAGUCUUCCGACCUAUGGCAGCACGGGUGGUUUUAUAUCAACGAGCCGCGGGGCUCCAAGUGGGAGGCUACGCCUGCGUUCCGACCCGGCCCUCCAAUUCAGCUCGCUUCAUGGAUCAAUAAGGGACUGGACUGGGGAUCCGUCAAUGAAAUGCAGACUCUGCAAGGUCGCAUCCGAAGCCUUACCAAGAAGGGCAUCGGUCUUGUGAACGUCGUUCAAGUAAUGCUAGUCCGCCGGACCCUGCCAUGUCAGCGGCGGCCUCUCCGUAUGUGGGAGUUUAAUUCAGAAGGGCAGCGGCCUCUUCAGCACUUCUUCGGCACCACGCACGAAGGAAUGUGGAAAUUAUAUUUCGGGGAACGAGAGCAAUGGCCGGACACCACCGAAGAUGUCGGCCUUGACUGCAAUCAUCCAGACACCGCGGUAAGUACUCAAACGCUGAACACAUUCAAGCAUCUCUUGACAACAUACUGAACAAUCCGUCCCUAUACAGGACUGGAUAAAGAAAGCAGUGUUAAUCUGGUGUCCGGCGCCCCUUCCCGAAGACUCUGCGACCGCCCUGCUGACGAGAAUGCUGAUUCCCACACCGUACCAGGUUUCUGCGGAGGAGGGCGAGAGCGGGGAACCCGAAGGUGAUACCCGCCCUGAGGACGAAUUAGACAUUGUGUUCGGGGAAACCGAAACUCUUUUGCCCAAGGGCAAAGGUGCGGAGGAAGCUCUCCAUGGCAAAAAGAGGGCUGCUUCCGAAGAUCAGGAGGGGAAGCCUUCCAAGAGAGGAAAAAUGCCAUCGUCGGGCAGUUUGGGCCGGCCAAGCGAUGCUGCCGUAAGGCUUUCUGGCGAGGACGAACCUCUGGCCAAACCGUAAGUGAGGCUGGGGCACUUUAAACAUACCUCAUUCUUUUCCUAUUAGUGAAGUAAUCAUCCGACAUAUGCACAUCCACGUAGGUUAACGCCUGGUGUUUCUCAAUCAUCCUCCUCCUCGGGAGACCUUCUUCCGGAGAUGAUGGAGAGUGACACGCCAUCUCCGGCUUCUUCGCGCAACAGGGGGGAUGAUACCGAGGUAUCGUCCCGAAGGGCUCCUCCCCAUCGUCAAGCGGUGCAGGAAACGGAGAAGGCGUUACCCGAAGGUGGUGCCUCUGUCACCCAGGGUUCGGGAAUCAAGAAUGACGGCCCCGAACCAUCCGGUUUACAGCCGGAGAUGAUUCUGGGGGAGAAUAAGCAGAUUAAUUCAAAGGAAUGCCGUACUCCGGCGGCGGUUUCCGAAGACCCCGGAGCGCCGGAAAUGUUGACGGACAUGCUGCGGCGAGCGUCCAUUUCAGAGAAGCACCAUGCCUUGAUGGUUACGGUGGUCGAAAAGGUUCUAUCCGCGAAAAGCGGAUUGAACGAGGCCUUCUGGAGCCUUCUAAGAGGUUUUGAGGUUUGUGAUGUAGUUUUGCCAAUUGAAUGAUUUUGACAGAAUGCACUUGUUGUAUAUGCAGUAGCCCCUGAGACUCGGAUUGCCUUCCGAAGGAAGCGAUCGGAGGAUAAAAAAGAUAUGCUCAGUUACUAACCUUGAAUCAACUUGGAAUACAGGCUGCCUCGCCUCCUGCGGCUACCCGAAAUACGGAAGUGGCCGAACUGCAGCGAAAGCUGAAUAUUGCAGAAGAUGACAUUGCAUUGAUCAACAAGCGUCUUGACGACUCGCAAGGUAUAUAGUUCGAGCAUUCCUUACACGAAUGUUCUUGUAAUGUAGGCCUGACGCCGAAAAGGGUUUAAUGUGCAUGAUUGCAGAUGGUGUUCCCUCCGUUGAAGCUCCUUGUGAGGAGCUAGCCCGGCCCAAGGAGCAGGCCCGGUGUAGUGAUGCGGCUGCCGAGAAGGCAUCGGCUGAUCUAAGAGCCGAAUAAGCAGCUCGGCGCCGAAGUGAGGAGAAAAUAUCCGCACUGGCGCUUGAAUUGAAGAAUACUGCCAGCCACUGUGAAUUCCUUGAGAAGGAGAAUAAAGCCAAAAUGGCUGAACUUGAUAAGGCCGUUCGAGAGGCGAGUGAAGCUCGGUCUGAAUCUAGGGCAGCUUGGGAAGAGAUUCGGCAGGCUAAGGAGAUAGCGGCCGGUAAGCCCUUUUUGCUUCAGACUAAGUUUGGCGAUCCGGACUAUGCUCAGCUAAACCAGGUCUGGAGUUCUCCGACUGAAUUUUUGGACUUGCCGAAGAGUUCUUCCAAUGCAGCGCAAUUUUACCAAGCGCAAGAGGGGUAUGCGAUGGAGAAGCUUUUCUGGUCACAAUUUGGCGCCUCAAAGCGCCCUCUGUUGCUAAAUGAACAGAUGUCCCAGUGGGCCGAGCUUCAUAGGAUAUCCGGCGACGCCAUGAAGAACGUCAUAAUCCGGUUGUGGCCGAGUGAGCCUGUUCCCAAGAGCUAUUUUGGCCUGGUGCGGCGUCUUGUUGAUGCUGUGCCGCGUAUCGAUGCUGCGAAGCGGUCGGCAUGCACUGAGGGUGCACGGAUGGCCUUUGCCCGAGUCAAGACGUUCUGGGGGAAGAUGAAGGCCAUCGAUGUUGCGGCGAAGGGUCCGCCCAAGGGCAAGGACCGUAAUGAGCCGGAGCAUUAUUUUGAAGACGUCCUAGAAGCCGCCCGCCUGAUAGAGGGUCAAUGCUCGAAGAACAUAAUGUUCGAGUGAGGUGUAUUAGAAUUGUAAAAGACAAUUUUAUGAUUGAUCUAUUUUAUAUUUUUGCUCCAAAGCUUGAAUUCCUCCUCUGCGGCCGUUUUAAUAUAAUAUGAAAGUUUUCCAGUCGUCGGCUUCAGCCCCCUCGUAGGAAGUACGGGGGUGUUCGAAAAAACAUUUAAUCACUCUUUGUCCAAUGUCUUGGUCCGUAAAGGAGGUGAUAAUGCAGCGAACCAGGCAAUCGGACUAUAAGGCGUUAACACUUUCACUUAGCCAUAGGAGUUUUAUGGUGGGGCUACGACAUUGCCCCUGGUGUGUAUGCGGCGUAUAAUGCCUUGCAUAUUUGAUCUGAAAAAGAUCCCUCGUAUGACACGGAGAAUCGCUAAGGAUUCCAAGAAGUCGUCAAGUGGUUAAUCAGCUCUCGCCGCAUCAUGACAGUCAGUUUUCGGCUUUCUCUACUGAGGUGCUCGUCCGGUUUAGAACAGGGCACAAUCGCAGUAGUUCUCCCUUUACUACCCUAGCCGAUAGAGCGGAACGUAGGGUAGCAAGCACAGGAGCCGGGCAACCCAACUAUUGACCCAAGACAAUGAUUCGGAGCUGAUGCAUAUAAGGCCAAACUUGCGACGCCCAAGUACGCUAUAGAGUUGUUGGGACUUUUGCUGGCAACUCUUUCGUUCCCAUACCGAGCCCCUGGCAGGGUAUGCCGAGGUGUAUCUGUAACGCAGCCAUUGAGGCCGUACUCAUUGUUGCAAGAGUAUGAAAGAUUAGUUCGGACGAGGUUUACUGGGAACGGAGCAAUAUGCCAAUGACGAAUUUAAAAAUAAUAAAAAAGAAACCACAAGCCCGGCUAUUUGACAUGCUCGGGGUCGGGUACAGAGGAAAAAAAGGCUUAAUACAGGCUCGGAAUAAAGAGUGUGGUCUACAAAAAGUUAUUUUGGACCUCCUGUCGCACGUCUGCGCCGCCCGUCCUCGGGGAGGGGAAUCCUUAAGGGAAGUAGCCCCUUAGGUGAGUGUACGGAUCCGAACUCCGAUAGAGUCCGUUGUAGAUGCUGUCAUGUUGGUCACCUGUUCUUAAGAAAUGAUACAGAAAAAUAAGAAAAACGGAUAAGAACGUUACAGGGAUUCUUGCAGGCUUGUCCAUAUUGUGCUUCCGCCGAUGCCCAUGGUAUCUUGAGUGCGUAGUGAUGUAUGCGUGGUGUGAAUCUCGCCGGUAUGGUAGGUGGGUGGCGGAUGCCGAACUGCUAUUUCUGUUCCGAGAGUGGUCGAACUUCGGAGGGAAACUGCUUCUGGCCCCUGAUAUUCGGCUGGCGAAACGCUCCGUUGUCUUUAUCGCCUGGUGGCCUCCUCCCCUUGCUAUCGGCGUUGAGCUUGCCUGCCUGCUUGAGGACCCAACAAUUUCUGUUAGUAUGGUUAGCUGGCUUAUCAGGAUGACCAUGAAUCUGACAAGGUCGGUCCAAUAUUCUGUCAAGGGUGGAUGAUCCAUCCUGGUUUGCCUUUAGUGGCUUCUUCCAUUGACCGGGUUUCGAAUUGUGAAAUUCGGCGUUGACCGCUGUGUCGCGUAAUCCUUCAGUAUUAUUGCGACUGUUGUGUUCGGUUCGUCGAGGCUUACCGUUGCCGUCUUGAAUUUCGGAAGUGCCCGGGUCACUGGCGUUGUUGCUCUUACGAGCGAGCCAGGUGUCUUCUCCCGCACAAAAGCGAGUCAUCAGAGCGGUAAGGGCUAUCAUGGAUUUGGGUCCUUCCUGGCCGAGGUGACGCGCUAGCCAUUCAUCCCGGAUGCCAUGUUUGAAGGCUGCGAGGGCUUCUGCGUCCGGACAGUCGACAAUAUGUUUUUUUUUUUGACUAAGAACCUAGUCCAGAGCUCCCUGGCGGACUCGCCGGGCUUCUGGACAAUAUGACCAAAGUCAUCAGCAUCUAGUGGCCGGACAUAUGUUCCCUGGAAGUUGUCUCGAAAGGCGUCUUCCAAGUCUUCCCAGCUACCAAUAGAAUUUUCUGGUAAACUGUUUAGCCAGUACCGGGCUAGCCCUUUAAGCUUGAGAGGUAUGUAUUUAAUGGCAUGAAGGUCGUCUCCGCGAGCCAUGUGGAUAUAUAUGGAGGAGGUAAUCCUCAAUCCAUACCGCGGGAUCUGUUGUUCCAUCGUAUGAUUCGAUAUUAAUGGGUUUAAACCCGUCUGGAAAUUCAUGCUCCAUUACCUCGUCGGUGAAGCAAAGAGGGUGUGCGGCUCCUCUAUGUUGAGCCACACUAUGAAGCACCUCCGGCGGACUCUGUUUACGGAGUUCGGAUCGAGCGUGGUCGGCUCUGUUGUGUCCGAAUAGGUGACCAUCAUUACGGUCGGGGCAUGUCCCCGCGAUCUGUGUAUUGACUUCGUGUGUCAUGUUCUACCCUCCAGGUCCUUGGAUGUCGCGAGUGUUCCCCCGAGCUGUGUUGUUCUUGUUUUGAUGGCCGGAUGGGUUGGUAUGAUGCUCUGCUUGGGCUACUGCUUUGUCCGGACCGAACUGUGGUCGGCCUACAUCCUUAUUCGAUGGUGGUGUGGGCUUCAACGCCCUGCCAUCGUAUUGAGGGGGCCACCUGCUGUUGGGGUGGCUCUUGUCUGGGCCAAUAAGGCCGUAUUGUUCGGCGGCCAAGACCUCGGUCCAUCUAUCAUUGAGCAAAUCUUGGCUCGCUUUAAGCUGCAGCUGCUUCUUUCUUAGGCUCCUUGCAGUGGCUAUGAGCUGGCGUUUAAAGUGCUCCUGCUCGAGAGGUUCCUUAGGCACGAUAAAAUCCUUGUUGUCGAGGAUCUCCUCUUCCUCGGAGAGUGGGAGAUAAUUGCUAUCCUCUGAGUCUCCAUAUGUUACCUGUUCAUCAGGGUUGUCUUGCCCGCCUUCCUGUUCCUCCUGUUCGGAUCCUACCUCAACAGGGUCUUCAUCGUCCGGAGUGUUGUCUUCUCCGGUGCAAGUGUUAUUUUCUCUUGAGCGUCGUGACUUGGAGCGGCGCAAGGCGCGCCGGUGUUCGGACUAUGCACCAGGAGGCUUAUCCUCAAUUGGAUCCUCCUUGUCAUCGUCGAAAGCAUCGUUGGGUGUGUCUAUCAUACACACGUCAUACCAUGAAGUGGUCAUCCCGCGUCUAGCGGGUAGUGAGUUCUGGCCUUGCCCCUCAUCGUCGUCCGUACCGUCGAUGUCUUCAGGGCCGAGGUCAAGCGUGUUGGUUGGGUCUUCGACAGUGGCUAUGAAGUGGGUGGUGGGUGGGAAGCAAAAUUCUCCAUCAUCAGCCGUAAGUUCGAGCCGAACAUAGUUCAGUGGCGAGUCGCCUACCAGAGAUAGGUUUUUUAGUGAGUUUAGUACAUCGCCCAUGGGCGAGUGUUGGAAGACGUCUGCGGCGCUGAACUUGAAGAUCGAUAACCGAUCGAGUUCGGCAUCUGCAGACUCGCAAGGUUCGGAACCUGUCGCCGGGGACGAAUCCGGGGUUCCGCUGAUGCGGAUAUCAUACGCAGUAGAAUCUGUGUGCGGCUCGAACGCCGCCGAAUCGGUAGCCCUCGUGAUGGGGUUGAGCUUCCCAUCCCGGGACGACUUGAUCUGCUCCGGAUCUAAGGCCAGAGUUGCUGUAGGAGCUAUCUCCUCGAUGCGGCCCAAUGACAGGUUUAAGCCAUGUCCAUCGAGGCGGCGGGAGCGAUUGCCGCGGUCUUGAAUCCGUCGAAGAUCAAGUCUCCACGGACGUCCCCAACGUAGUUCAAGCUUCCGAAUCUGACCUGAUGGCCAGGGGCGUAGCUGUCGAUCUGCUCCAGAUGGCCAAGCGAGUUGGCCCGCAGUACGAUGCCACCGAACACGAAGAUCUGUCCGGGGAAAAAGGUUUCUCCCUGGACAACGUCACCAUCGACGAUUGAAGGGGCCAUCGAACCUUUUGUCGACGGCACAGUGGAACUCUCAAUGAAAGCACCAAUGUCGGUGUCAAAACCGGCGGAUCUCGGGUAGGGGGUCCCGAACUGUGCUUCUAGGAUCGAUGGUAACAGGAGACGGGGGACACGAUGUUUACCCAGGUUCCGGCCCUCUCUAUGGAGGUAAUACCCUACUUCCUGCUCUAUUGAUCUUGAUGAAUAUGAGUGUUACAAGAGUUGAUCUACCACGAGAUCGUAAUGGCUAAACCCUAGAAGUCUAGCCUAUGUGUAUAUGGUAAUGAAUGUCCCCUAUCCGGACUAUGCUCUCCGGUUUAUAUAGACACCGGAGAGAUCUAGAGUUACAUGGAGUCGGUUACAUAAGAAGGAAUCUUCACAGCUGGUCGCCUAGCUUGCCUUCCACGCCAAGGAAAGUCCAAUCCGGACACGGGUGUAGUCUUCGGCCUUCGUAUCUUCACAGCCCAUCAGUCCGGCCCAAUGAAUAACAGGCCGGACGCCCGAGGACCCCUUAGUCCAGGACUCCCUCACUCGGAGACCUUCUUGUGGGGACCAUCUACGAGAGGAAGUAAAGAGGGAGAUCAGAAGAGGAUACAUGAGAGGUUAGGGUGGGGAGGAGGCUGCGCCGGCGAGCGGCCACGGCUCAAGGCGGUCCGGCCGACGAGGAGGACGAACAAGGGAGAGGAAGAUGCAGAUCGGCAAACUGUGGGUUGGGCUUAUGACGUUGGGUUCUCACAAAACUAUAGCCCAUUUCGAAUUUGGUGCCCGUGACGACACACACACAACGCUUAUGUUGGGCCUAAUCACUCACUUCCAGCCCCCAACUCUGAUUUCCCCCUCAAAGAAAAACAAAACUUCAACCCUUCUCACUCCCCAUGAUCACAACAACAACAACAGAAAUAUCUAUAUGCAAGAUCAGGAAAUAUCUAUAAGGGGCAUUCAGAACACAUGUGACCUAAUCGCUAUAACAGCUUGAUAUUAUGGUGGGAUAGACAUAAACUGGUUCACGAAGGAAAGUUUCAUGAUGCAAACCAAAAUUCAAGGGGAGCACGUGCUAUAAUGGCAAACUAUGUUAAUGCCUACUCCCCUAAAGCAACUAGUAAAACAGGGGGAUGGAGUAUCCCUUCUAGGGUUUUUGUGAAGCUGAAUAUUGAUGUAUCUUUUCAUCAUGGUCUGCUUCAGGGUACAUCGGGGGUUAUUCUUAGACAUUACAAAGGCAGGCUCAUUGUCGGUGGAAACUGGAGGAUAGAUUGUCGUGCGGAUGUAUUAGCAGCAGAAGUUGUGGUGCUAAAGUUUGGGUUAUUCCUUGCACAGAAGGCGGAUUGCAAUCGUCUUGUUGUUAACUCGUACAGUACAUAAGUGAUUGACACAAUAAAGAAUGGAUGACACUCGACCGGAGCGGCGGUUGUAGUUUUCUAUGAUUGUUAAUUUUUGGGCUUGUGAUUUUUCUUUUAUUAGAUUUGAACUUUGUAAUAGGGAAGUAAAUAAGAUGGCAAAUGAAAUUGCUAGGCCAGCGAAAUUUUUUGUCACUAGUGAUUGGUUUGAGGAGUGAAUGAGAUUGUGCCUUUUUUAUUGACAAUGUAACAGUUGUUUCUAAUAAAUAAAGUUGAAGUUUUAUUGAAAAGGACAACAACAAGAAAAAAUAUCCUCAUCUUGUCCCAAGGGAUCUGAAACCCCAGUAUCCUUGCAUCUUUCUUUUGCAUGGCAUGUACAUAAGAUUUUCUUUGUUAGUAGCAUGUGUUGUUGGCGGUGGCGGCAUGAUGUUAGAGGUGACAUGUGUGGACGGAUGAUUGUUUCGACUCCAUUUAUUCUUAGGGCCUGUACAAUGCUAGGUGUUCAGCGAAGUGCUUAGAAAAAUAAACUGAGUUUUUAAAGCAUUUUUUAAGCACCGAUGUCUAUUUCUAAUGAUGAGAGACACCUAAUUAGACGUUUACCCUAUACAAAUAAACGUCGAUGCUUUAAGAAAUACUGAUUUAUUUAUCUAACAACCUUUCUUACGCACCUUACAUGGUAAGGUUCGAGAGCUAGUGGCGUCUUGGUUUCUCUUGUUUCUGUCACAUCAAUAUCAUGCUUUGGAUAUAUUCCAGUGCCCUUUUAUUGAUCACUGCCUAUGGCCAUUGAAAUGAGAUCUGGGACUCGGCCAGCUGCAAGAUACCUCUAGAAAGCGAAUUUCCUCUGACGCACAUAUGAAAUAUGACAGUACAAAAUAGAACAAACACUAAGAUUAGACAGAUGAUUGGAUGAUGUAACUAACUUAGACAUCGCUGCACCCAGGACGGACUUUCUUCUCAGACAUCAGAGAGAAACUGAGUGUCCAUGCUGUCAGAGACGCUGGCCAUUGGGCGUUGUCAGUGACUUUAGUCUCGCCUCGGAUAUGGGAGGGGCUAGAACCACCUUAUAAGGAGGAGUGCCACACUCCCUUCAGGCUAGUCUUUUGCGAUGUGGUGGACUCUUUGCUUAUAGUGGUGUGUCUGAUGCACACCGGAAACGUCCGAACAUAUGCCGAAGGUUGGGAGCCGGGCCUGGGACGCUAACAAUUGGUAUCAUAGCUGGGCCCCAGUCUGCCCUGUUUUAGGGGGAUGAGGUGUCAGAGACGCUGGCCAUUGGGCGUUGCCAGUGACUUUAGUCCCACCUCGAAUAUGGGAGGGGGCUAGGACCACCUUAUAAGGAGGAGUGCCACACUUCCUUCAGGCUAGUCUUUUGGGAUGUGAUGGACUCUUUGCUUAUAGUGGUGUGUCCGAUGCGCACCGAAAAUGUUCGAACAUAUGCCAGAGGUUGGGAGCUGGGCCUGGAACGCUAACACAUGCCAACUGCUUCUCCUCCACUCCACCUGCAUAGCACGCAUAGGAGGAAAUUUGAUGAUUAUUUGAAGUGAUAUCCACAUAAAGCACAGAGUUACUCAGCUAGCAAAGCACCUAUGUACAUCACUGUAUGGCUACCCAACUGAAAAUUCUGCUUCCUGACCCUCCUGAUUCAUGCGGGUGGCAUGGAGAUGGGUACGCCUCUCGAAUCCAUGUGAAUCGAAUCGUUGGAACAGAUGGACGGACAGGGUCGAUACCUUGUGUAGAUGGGGAGGGGAGGCCGGAGUGGCUGCCGUCGACCGACGUACGGCCCGCAGCCGACGGAGGAGCUUCAAAAGUGACCUUUUUGUCGAGCGAUGGCGGUGGUGGUGGGGUGCCGGAUGCGGAGGGUGGUGGGAAGCCGGAUGCGGAGGGUGGAAGGAAGGCUGACGCCUCCGUCGCCGCGGACGUACGAGGAGCGGCCGCGAGCGGUGGGGUCCGGGAGAGGCUGCGCCGGCGAGCGGUCCGGCCGGCGAGGAGGACGGGGAAGGGGAGACGAAGACGACGCAGAUCGGCGGAGUGUGGGCUGGGCUUGUGACGUUGGGGCCUCCGAAAACUAUAUCCCAGUUCGAAUUUGGUGCCCUAACACACAACUCUUACGUUGGGCCUAAUCACUCCCUCCUGGCUCCAUCUAUCAUUCCCCAAAAAAAAUCCUUCACACAUAGAUGGAACUGAUGAUUCUCAAAAGAAAAAGAGAUGGAACUGAUUGUGUCAUGUCUUAAAAAAAAGAUCGAACUGAUUGUCUAAAAAAAACAUAGAUGGAACUGAUGAUUUAUCUCCGAAAAAAAGAUGGAACUGAUGAUGACGUGUCUAGAGUUAGGACCGGAUAUAUGUUAGUAGGAGUAGCUUGUAAGAAAUUACCAUCCUUUACAUAUAACGGGAAUUCGAUGAGUCAUGUCAUGCUCUAGAGGCGUCAGUUCAUCUUAUCAUCUUAGAGGAAACUACAAAGUUAUUUUUAUGAAAAGCAACCAACUCUAGAAGAACCCUCCACACGCAAGGCUUUAAUAAUCGAGCAUAUCUUAACAGCCCACACACGAUUGCAAACUUAGUCCUACACAAGCUUUGCCUUUCUUCUUUACGGCUGACAGCCUAUACAAGGUUUCAAACUCGGUUGCAAAAGUGAUACUAUCCUGAUAAGUGUGUGACAUGUAAAGUGAAUAAGGUGAGUCAUAUAUAGCAAACAUCGGGGUUUCUGUACUUUGUGUGUGAUCAUAUGCACAAUUAAAAAGCAACUUUGAUGAUCAAUCCAAAAGUACGCGUGUAGCUAGUGCAACCUAACGCAUUGUACCAAAAAUCAUUUCAGAUGCAUCCAAACGGAAUAAUUAAAGCUAAUGCAAAGAAGAAAAGAGGUGGUGCCCAGGCUACUAUAAAUAGGCAUGAAGUAUAAAGAUCAUCACAAGCACAAGCAUCAAAACCAAGCAACACUAGUUAACACUAAUCCACCAUGAAGACCUUCCUCAUCUUUGCCCUCCUCGCCGUUGCGGCAACAAGUGCCAUUGCACAAAUGGAGAAUAGCCACAUCCCUGGUUUGGAGAAACCAUCGCAGCAACAACCAUUACCACUGCAACAAACAUUAUCGCACCAACAACAACAACAACCUGUCCAACAACAACCACAACCAUUUCCACAACAGCAACCAUGUUCACAGCAACAACAACCACCAUUAUCGCAGCAACAACAACCACCAUUUUCACAACAACAACCACCAUUUUCGCAGCAACAACAACCAUCAUUUUCGCAGCAACAACAACCACCAUUUUCACAGCAACAACCACCAUUUUCGCAGCAACAACAACCAGUUCUACCGCAACAACCAUCAUUUUCGCAGCAACAACUACCACCAUUUUCACAGCAACAACCACCGUUUUCGCAACAACAACAACCAGUACUACCGCAACAACCACCAUUUUCGCAACAACAACAACCAAUUCUACCGCAACAACCACCAUUUUCGCAACAACAACAACAACCAGUUCUACCGCAACAACAAAUACUAUUUGUUCAUCCAUCUAUCUUGCAGCAGCUAAACCCAUGCAAGGUAUUCCUCCAGCAGCAAUGCAGCCCUGUGGCAAUGCCACAAAGUCUUGCUAGGUCGCAAAUGUUGCAGCAGAGCAGUUGCCAUGUGAUGCAACAACAAUGUUGCCAGCAGUUGCUGCAAAUCCCCCAGCAAUCCCGCUAUGAGGCAAUCCGUGCUAUCAUCUACUCCAUCAUCCUGCAAGAACAACAACAGGUUCAGGGUUCCAUCCAAACUCAGCAGCAGCAACCCCAAGAGUUGGGCCAAUGUGUUUCCCAACCCCAACAGCAGUCGCAGCAGCAACUCGGGCAACAACCUCAACAACAACAAUUGGCACAGGGUACCUUUUUGCAGCCACACCAGAUAGCUCAGCUUGAGGUGAUGACUUCCAUUGCGCUCCGUACCCUACCAACGAUGUGCCGUGUCAAUGUGCCGUUGUAUAGAACCACCACUAGUGUGCCAUUCGGCGUUGGCGCCGGAGUUGGUGCCUACUGAUAAGGAAAGGUCUCUAGUAAUAUAUAGUUGGAUCACCGUUGUUUAGUCGAUGGAUAUGUCGAUGCAGCGGUGACAAAUAAAGUGUCACACAACGUCGUGUGUGACCCGCCCAAACUAGUUGUUUAAAUUCUGAAAUAAAAUACAAAUAAAGUUGUAUCAAGACAAUGUUCAUAUUGGCAUUGUGUGGAUGUCCAUAUGAUUGCCAUGCUUGCAAGUUCAUAAGUUUGUCUUUCCUGGUCACAAGCGCAACCUGGUGCCUUAAUUAAUUAUGCAUGUAUUGGAAUAAUUACUAUUUAAAUAUAAUAGUGUUACUGUAAAAUUUGGGUUGAACUCUUUAUCGGUUGGAGAUUUGAGAUCUUGUUUUUUAUUGGUUUGUAUCUAGUUCCAACUACUACCAUUGUCUAUAGUGACAAUCACAACCAGUUUUAUCGUUAAUCAUGUUUGCUUUCUUGCAAAUACAUUCAUUCAUUCUUUGCAUCUUAACUUAUUUGUCGAGAAAAGACCAGCUUUUUCUUGAACUUCACAAACACCACUAGCUAGUUAAUUUGAAAUAAGCUUCCAAUUUAUUUCCUUGUAUUUAUGUCCUUUACAUCAAACCAGUACAAUUAUUGUGCUACCUAGAGAAAAGGAGUUGCUGGCAGCACGGUCAUGUCAAGAACUAAAUCAGAUUGAAUUGAACUUGUUCUUUACAACUAGCUAGGAGCAGAAAACUUACUGUGAAUUGCACUUGAUUAUAUUUAAUUUUAUUUAGGGCUACAGGAAAAAAAUCAUCAAAGAAUGCCCUAAAAAAAUCUUAUCGUAAAAUAGGUUCAUCAGGAGAUACAGUCGCAAGAAAAAAAGGUUCACCAGGAGAUAGAUGCUGCACAUUAUCAUUUACUCCCUCCAUUCCAAAAUAGAUGACUCAAUUUUAUACUAACUUUAGUCAACUUUGUACUAACUUUAUACUAAAGUUAGUACAAAGUUGAGUCAUCUAUUUUGGAACGGAGGGAGUAGAAAUUAGACCAAGAGAAAUGUGGAUUUGGCGGCUCAUAAUUCUAUAAGACUAUAGCAGGCUGUCCAAUCAUUUACAAAUUAGAUCAAGAAAAUGUGGAAUUAAACAUAUUAAUGGCUAGGAUCAUAUUUGCAAUGUGCGAUUGGUAUGCACGCUCCAACAUGACCGCUGAAAGCAUUUUUCCUCUGAUGCACAUAUGAAAUAUGACUGGUAGAAAACAGAAGAAACACAGAGAUUAUAUGGAUGAUUGGAUGUUUUAACAAACUUAAACUUAUAAUCCACCGAGCGGACGAACUUCCUAGGAGCCUUUCUCUCGGACAUCGAUAAGAAACGAAAUGUUCCACGCGAACUUCUUCUUCUCCAUCUGUAUAACGCAUGCAGAAGAAUUAUUUUGAUGAUUAUUUCAAGUGGCAUCCAUAUAGUGUACAAAGCUAUUUAGCUAGAAAAGCCACAAAUGUACAUCACUGUCAGGCUACACGACUGAAUUCUGCUCCAUGACCUUCCUGAUUCAUGCGGCUCCUGAAUUUAUCUGAAUCGAAUCAUGGAAGAGACAGGCUUUCAGGGUCGAUAGCUCAUGUUCAUGGGGAGGCCAAAGAGGCUGCGUCGACGUACGGCCUGAAACCGACGAGGAGCUCGAAGACCUUCUUGUAGAGACCAUCUGGUAGAGAAGUAAGGAGGGAGAUCGGAAGAGGAUACAGGAGAGGUUGGGGGUGGGGUGGAAGGGGAGGAGGCUGUGCCAGCGAGCGGCCGCGGCUCGAGGCGGUCUGGCCGAUGAGGAGGGUGAACAAGGGAGAGGAAGAUGCAGAUUGGCAUACUGUGGGUUGGGUUUGUGACGUUGGGUUCUCAGAAAACUAUAGCCCAGUUCGAAUUUGGUGCCCGUGACGACACACACUGAGCGUUUAUGUUGGGCCUAAUCACUCACUUCCAGCCCCCCACUCUGAUUUCCCCCUCAAAGAAAACAAAAGCUUCAACCCUUCUCACCCCCCCCCUUGAUGACAACAACAACAACAAAAAUAUCUAUAUGCAAGAUCAAGAAAUAUCUAUAAGGAGCAUUCAGAAUGCACGUGAAUUAAUCGCUAUAACAGCUUGGUAUUUAUGGUGGGAUAGACAUAAACUGGUACACGAAGGAAAGUUUCAAGAUACAAAUCAAACUUCGAUAGGAGCUCGUGCCAUAAUGGCAAACUAUUUUAAUGCCUACUCCCCUAAGGCAACUAAUAAAAGAGGGGAUGAUGGAGCAUCCCUCCUAGGGUUUUUGGGAAGCUGAAUGUUGAUGCCUUUUUUGAUCAUGAUCUGCUUCAGGGUACAGUGGGGGUGACUCUUAGACAUGACAAAGGCAGGUUCAUUGUCAGUGGAAAUUGGAGGAUUGAUUGUCGUGCUGAUGUAUUAGUAGCAGAAGUUGUGGCGCUAAAGUUUGGGUUAUUCCUUGCACAGAAGGCGGGUUGCAAUCGUCUUGUUGUUAACUCGUACAAUAUAGAAGUGAUUGACACAAUGAAGAAUGCAGGACACUCGGCCGGUGUGGCGGCUAUAGUUUUCUAUGAUUGCUAUUUUUUGGCUUGUGGUUUUUCUUUUAUUAGAUUUGAACAUUGUAACAGGGAAGUAAAUAAGGUGGCUCAUGAAAUUGCUAAGCUAGCGAAUUUUUUUGUUAUUAGUGAUUGGUUUGAGGAGCCUAUGAAUGAGAUUGUACUUUUUUUUAUUGACGAUGUAACAGUUGUUUCUAAUUAAUAAAGAUGAAGUUUUAUUAAAAACAACAACAAGAAAAAAAAUCUACUCAUCUUGUCCCGAGGGAUCCGAAACCCCAGUAUCCUUGCAUCUUUCUUUUGCAUGGCAUGUACAUAAGAUUUUCUUUGUUAGUAGCAUGUGUUGUUGGCGGCGGCUGCUCGAUGUUAGAGGCGACAUGUGUGGACGGAUAAUUGUUUCGAUCCAUAUAUGUUCUGAUAGCCUUCUUAGGCCCUGUAUAAUGCUACGUGUUUAGGGAGGUGCUUAGGAAAAUAAACCAAGUUUUUAAAGCGUUUUCUAAGCACCAGUGUCUAUUUCUAAUGAGAGACACCUAAUUAAGCGUUUAGCCUAUACAAAUAAACACCGAUGCUUUAAGAAAUACUAGUUUAUUUAUCUAAGCACCUUCCCCACGCGCCUUACAUGGUAAGGUUCUAGAGCUAGUGGUGUUUUGGUUUCUCUUUUUUCUGUCACAUCAAUAUCAUUCUUUCGAAUGGGUCAUGGGUCAACCAAAAUGGGUUUGUCUCGCGACACGAAGGCCGUAAGAGCCGAGCAUCACUAGUCUAAGAAGACCAUCGAACAUGACAUCAUGGAGCGUUUUCUUUUCUUCUUGCCGUCUUCUCCUCCUAGUCCACUAUGUCUCCUUCAACACCAAGGAGUAUUCUUUUUCUCUACAAACACCUCGUAUCGACCUUACGUCCUGCAAAUCACUGAUGGUAACUUCCAUCCUAUCACGAUAACAAUAUUCUCUUUCAAGAAUCAGCCUUCCUCGAGUUACUUAUACCACGUUAAUUGUUGAUGCUGAAAUUAAUAACCUCAACCGUCAACUGCACCCUUGCAAACAUUAAAACACGCGGGUCCAACUUGGUUCAAAACCCAUCGAUCGAUGAUAGUCGGUCAUGUGGGAUUCCGAUCGACUUAGACAUUGAGGCGUUAAAGUCACGUAGAAUAUUUUCUACAAGAAAACAUAUAAUAUAUUCAUCUUCAAUCACGACAGUAUAACAAACACGAGAAAUAAUAAAAAUUACAACCAGAUCCGUAGACCACCUAGCAACGUCUACACCAUAGAUCGAGACAAAGAAGACGAGGACUGAUCCAAAUACUUAAUCACAUGGUGCAUUCGUCGUUCGUUUCAUCAUCACCUCCCGACUGGUAUAGGCACGUCUGGUUCACGUAAUACCCCACAUAACAAUACAGUGGUUGCAUGGCCGGGCAAUAAGAAUAGACGGAGGGCGUGUAGCAUUUUGCUGAGCUCAAUCGCCGUGCAGCCGAUCAAGUUUAGGCAGAUCAAUGUUCCACAAAAUUACAUAGGCGACAAGACAGCCAUAGGCGACAAGACAGUAAAUAAACUACCACAAGCGAUAAUGGCGUACCACACAAAGGAGGCGUCGUCGACCGUCCUCGAAUUACUUAUACCACAUUAAUUGUCGAUGCUGAAAGUAAUAACCUCGACCGUCCACUGCACGCUUGGAAAAAAAAUAGUUCUUGUCAUGGAUAUAAUCAUGACAAUACUAUGGUGAUGUGAAUGUAGAGGCAAUUAUUACCUGAUUGGUACGUAAAGCAGAUGGGAUUAAACACACAGAAUUAUACAGGUUUGGGCUCUCUACGGUGUUGGUAACACCCUACUCCUGUGUGAUCUCGCUCUUGGCGUAGAUUACAAUGUGAGAGAGUUCAACCCUCAGUGUGAUGUCCUACUCUUGUCUUAUAUAUAUGGAGUACGCUAGGAGGGAGUGCCAUAACGGGCUGGUGUAAAUACUAUUGAUGGUCACAUGCAUGAUUGACUAUUCGUGGCUAUUAUUACUGCUAACUGGUGUAACGGCAAUGAUGAAUGCUCAUGGGGGGUCACGGCAUCCUAGGACGUAGCCGACUGUAGAUGGUCCGACUACUCCUGUCUUGCCGAUGUCCGACUGUAGAUGAUCUUACUGCUCCUAUCUUGCUCAUGACCGACUAUCGAGUCUUGUCUGUUAGGGGGCGUGUGAUCCUACUUUAGACACUGGACUCCUUAAUUAGCGAGUAUUCCCCUUGUAUCUGAUGCCCUGGGCUUGUAGCUCCAAUGCCCCAUUUGGGACCGUAUCCUUGAUUAGCCUGGGCUUUUGGCUGGGCCAUAUGUGUACUUAGGCCUAUCCCUUAUAUAUAACCCCAAUACUAUGUUCAUGGAACAAGUAGACGUCAAAAAAUAUAAGUUUAAAAAAGGUAAUCAUGUAUUUGAAAACUGUUGAACCUCUCUAUCAAAAAUAUUUUUGAUAUAUACAAAAAAUAUAUGUCAAAAGGUUGACACUAAAAGAAAGGAAAACAAUGAAAUCCCUAAACCCUAAACAAAGAAAACUGUGAAAGAAACAAAGAAAAAAAAGGAUAGAUAAACGAGUAAAAAAGGAAAACAAGUGUAAAACAUGAAAGAAACAAAGAUAACCAAUGAAGAAACAAAAGAAGAAAGAAAAUAAGAAGAAAAAACUAACCAAACUAGUAUGUGGAACCGAGUGAGCGAAUGACCUGAGCAUGAGCGAACGACCCAAGGUUGUCAGAAACAUGAUUUUGAAUCGGAUAGAAGUUCUGAUGGUAGGAUUGCAAACCUUACAACGACCUGAUGCUAUUCUUGCACCUUCAGGCGUGGCAAAUGCUAAUCUCGCUUUCAGCGAGAUAUAGCAUUCGUGAAGCAAUGAAGGGUGUCAAAUCGUCAUAGCUAUAUCACGCAUAUUCAGGCUCACCUCUGGAGUCCGCAUGUAUGGGCUGGAUCAUUAACGUGUUCUCUCAUAUCUCUGUACGUUCUUUUUCUUUUCGAGUCUUUUUUAAGUCGGGUUUCUUUUCAUCUACAUGAGAAAUAAUUUUAAAUAGAAUCAUUAACAUUAAAAAAAAUACAUGUUUUCAUGUCUAAUUUUUUCAUACACAUUAGAAAUUGUUUUGUAUGCACCAGGAACAUUUUUUCUCUAUACACAUUUAACAUUUUUCAAAUACACGAUUAAUACUUUCAAAAUAUAUCAUUUGAUGUAAAAAAAAUCCAUGUACAUUUUACAUCUGUCUUAUAUAUUAGGAACAUUUUUUUCUAUACACAUUUAACAUUUUUUCAAAUACACAAUUAACACUUUUCAAAUAUAUGUUUUGAUGUAUAAUUUGUUUCAUGUUUUACAUUACAUUAGGAACAUUUUUAAACAAAUUUAACAUUUUUUAUAAUUUCACAUACAAUUUUUUAAGUACGUGAAGAUUAUUUUGUUACCACAAUUUGUUUAAUGCUAUCAAUAUUUUUUUAACAAUGCACAAACAUUUUUUUCAAAAUUUCAGCAUUUGUUUGUGGAAUAUAUUUAUUUAUUUUAAUAUGAAAAAAUAGAAGUAAAAAAUAUAGAGAUAAUCUGAGAGAAAAAACAAAACUGAGGGUAGAACUGAACAAAUCUGUCUCUAGGGCGGCCCACCCGGGCGUUUCUUCAGGAGACGCUGGCUUUCGUGUCGCUAUAAGCUACCCAUAGCCGCGCGCAUAUCGAACCAGACAUGAUUGGGUGUUUGCCAUCUUCUUUCACAAGGUGUGGAUAUUGUAGGCAAGCAGCUUAUAUUCAGUGAUGGCUUUUGUCGUAACACGACAACGGUUUGCUCUUUCAGUUUCUUACCAAAGCAACUGCGGUCAUAACAUGAACCUAUCAAUCACACUUGUAACAUUCCCAUGCAACUCUAGCUAGAUUGGUUCAAACACAUUGGCUCACACAUCGAGGCGAUAUAACCGUAGAGUUCACAACAGGCAACCGAAUAACAAAACAUAUGCAACCCUAAUAUCACAAACUCAAAAAUGAAAGAUGUCAUAGCUUGACAAAAAGAAGGCACCGUAAUGCACCAGAUAAGCGAUCGAGAGACUUAAUCACAUUGUGCAUACGCUCGUUCGUGUGGUCAUUUGCUCCCUGGUCCGUGCAGCUACCCUACAACAGACUGCAAGCAAGUCUUUUGAUCGUGGCCAUUGCCGAAGCACCCUUGAUCCCACUUGUUCCCCGCCAAGAAAAAGGCAUCUAAGUACAGCUAGCGCGGCAUAAUUCAAACGUGACACUGGAACCGAUAUAGGUGGACCGGGGUGGUCAGGAACACUGUCAUCGAGGUUAUUAGGCAUGGUUUUCAUAUUUGUACUUCCUACCCUAAAACACGGUUCGGAUUAGCCGUGUUUUUUUUUUCCUUUCAUCGACCUUAGAAAUGUAGAGGCGAUUGCUGCGUCACCCUGUUUCUGUUUUUGCCGCCAUUUCUGAUAUAGCGAUAUAGGUACGGUCCCUAACUGUCCAUUGCAUGGCCGGAGCCUAAGAAUAACGGACGGCGUGCAUCACUUAAUUUGCAUGCUAAGCUUAAUCACCGUGCCACCGGUCAAGUUGAGGCAAAUCUACCCCGGCCGGCUAAAUUCUCGCUGAGCAAUCAAUGGAAAGGAGAUCGCCCUGUUUGAAAAACCAUAAGAAGGAGACGUUGUCAUCGUCGGGAAGCUAGUUAGAAUGGCGUACCACGGGAAGGAGAGCUCGCCGGCGGCGGGGCAGGUGCUGGUGGUGGCGGUGGCGAUGGCGGUGCUGCUGCUGGCGCAGCAUGCGGGGCGCGCCGACGCCAAGAUGAUCUUGUACGACGUGAUGCAGGGGGACGAGGUGCCGGGACGUAACGGGCUGACCCACGUGGAAGACGAGGCCAACAAGUACACCCGCGGCUGCGAGAGCUCCAACAAAUGCAGAGGCUGAGAACCACGGCAUAGCCGGGAUGGUAGGCAUGGGCUGAUGCAUGCCUGCCCGCCUGGGUUCGAGCCUCCGUGCUCGCAAUACCAGCGCGUACUCACCUAAUUCUUCUAUAAAAGUAAACCGAGGGAUUCUUCCCCUCCGGUCUCGAAAAAAAAUACUAACCAAUUUGCACUCAUUACAUUCCUUCCUACCUUUUUUUUGUUAAUAAGCGGGAGAUAAAUACCCACGCGAUUGCCACGGAAUUCGGUUGUAAUUAUUUUAAUAAGAAUUGGUUGUAUGAAAUAUCAUUAGUUAGAUUCACUUGUAGAAAACAGGGCUUUGGUUCGGGCAGAAAAAAGCAUUAAUCCCGGUUGCAUUACGAACCGGGACUAAUGUGAGCAUUAGUCCCGGUUCGAGCGGCUAGGGCACCGUACAGGCAUUAGUCCCGGUUGGUGCCACGAACCGGGACUAAAGGGUGCGAUGCCCAUUAGUACCGGUUCGUGGCACCAACCGGUACUAAAGGUUAGACCUUUAGUUCCGGUUCGAGCCACCAACCGGUACUAAUGGGGUUUGAGGCAUUAGUACCGGUUCAUGGCACGAAUCGGUACUAAAGGUCCCAUUUCCAAACUCUACCCCCUAUCGCCUUUUCAGUUUUGUAAAAAGCAAAAGAAAAUGAUAAAAACUUCAAAAAUUAAAAUCCUUCCAGAUGUAGUUAUGUUACUACAUGUACUAGUUAGGAAAAUUAAAAAACUUAAAAUUGGACAUGUUUUGCAAAAAGUGUAGGGAAAAUGUAAAACGGCUAUAACUUUUGCAUAUGACGUCAGAAAAAAACGUAUAAUAUAUCAAAAUGUUCAGCACGAAAAUCCGCAUCCGAUUUUGACUGCCUACGGCUUGUUUGCAAAUUUUUAGAAUCCUCAAAUUCUAAAAGGAAAAAAAGUUAUGCUCAAAUUUCUGUUUUUUUGAAUUUUUGUUAAAUCUGGUCAAACUAUGGUCAAACUACUUAUUCAAGAAGUAUUAGUGUUACUAAAUAAUUAUCCAAGAAUAUUAUUGUUACUAAAUAAUUAUUUCAAUUUUUUGAAUUUUGGUCAAAUCUGGUCAAACUGUGGUCAAACAAUGGUCAAACUAAUUAUUCAAGAAAUAUUAGUGUUACUAAAUAAUUAUUUCAGUUUUUUUGAAUUUUGGUCAAAUCUGGUCAAACUGUAGUCAAACUAUGGUCAAACUACUUAUUCAAGAAAUAUUAGUGUUACUAAAUAAUUAUUGUUUUUUAGAACAAUAGUUUCAAAUUCAAACAAUGAAAUGUGUGACUUCAUGCUCAAGCUAAAUUCCUGAGGGUUAAUAGGAUUGACAUCUUACUAUUGUCAGGAAAACAACAAGUGAAGACUUGGAAACGAGGGAGAAUAGAACCCGGAAGUUAAGCGUGCUCAGGCUGGAGUAAUGAGAGGAUGGGUGACCGUGUGGGAAGUUAGAUGAUUUGGAAUGAUGAUGGGUGAUUAGAGAUUAGAGGUUAAAUUGAGCAGUGAUGAGGGGUGAUUAAAGAUUAGAGGUUAAAAUAAUUCAGAAAUUUGAAAAUAAAAAAAAAUUCAAAAAAAAUCAUAAAAUUUCCUUUAGUACCGGUUCAACCGGGACUAAAGGUGGACCUCCAGGCAACGGCCACGUGGAGGGCCUUUAGUCCCGGUUCAUGUAAGAACCGGGAUUAAAGGGUCGUUACUAAGUUAAUGGAGAUAACUAUUUAGCUUGGUACUGAUUGAUUUGUUGUCACAUGCACAUUGGCCAAUUUCAUCGAUUCAUGUCGUCCAAUUAGCUAGCCAAGACCUGGCCGUACAUGCUCUGCUGAUUCCUAACUAACAUAGGUUAGAGACCAGUCGAGUGAAAAUGAAUUUUGCGUUUGUCCAAUCGUUUCCACCCUUCAGAUACAGAUCCAACGGUGUAGGUGCCUUUUUCUACCUCUCAAUCAUUUUCCCUGUUCAUCUUCUACCCUAAGCCGUCCGCGGCCAGCGGCGCUCCGGCACCUGCCUCGCCUCCCCGCGCACCGCCGCGCUGCCAUCGUCUCUGGCCAUCCCUCUAACCCUGGCGAUGAACAGAUUUUUCCGGCGGACCAGCACCCUCCCCCCUAAAAUAGAUAGCCGGCGAGCCUACCAUCCUAAUGUAGACACCGGGGUCGCCUGCCAUCCUAAGAUAGACACAAAGGGCUUCGCUGGCGAGCCGGCGGCUGUUUCCUUCAUGUGAACUCGACUGACCCAUAUAUUAUUUUGAUGCAACUUACAAGUAGCUAAAUUGGAAUAAACAAAGCCCAUAUUCCAUAAAAGUGUUAGUAAAUGAGGUUUCCCAAUGUUAAUAAUGCUGUCGAUCGAUGGGGAUGUCCCGGUAGAGAAAGUCAUCAUGCUACAUGAGCGCAUGGCCACCCAUGUGUACAUCACGGCUUUCUUCUUCUCAUCCAACUUAUCUGCAUUGAUCGAGACCACGCACCAGGCCACCUAGGCGGAUUAGGCGCCAUAGCUCCUUCCAGGAGGACAAGUUGCUAGUGGUAACCGGAAUCGUCAUGCCCUUUUGUCGUUGCCACUAACCAGGACGAUCGUCGAUUGAAGUGUAGACGCAUGAAGGUGACGCUUGCGUAGCAGCUACUACAAAACAACCUAUUUUAUUCAUCUCCCGCUUAAUUUAUUUUCUUCCCUCUGAAAUGCUUGCAUAUUUCACAAAACAAAACAUUAAUAACGUCGUGAAGGCGCCUUAGCACAAUCGAGACAAGGAGAUUUCAAGUGGCUCCUCUAUUUUCUCCGACGACGACGUGAACACCACGGAGGGCCGUCGGUUUGAUCCGGGACACUGAGAUUAGCGAAGCACGAAAUGAAAGAGAAAUCUAGCCUUUUUUUUUCUUCUAAUGGAGGAGACGGGUACUAGUAGUCAGCUGAGAACUACGAACUAAAACCGCGACAUUCUUUUUUUGGAAUGGAGGAAGUAACUAUUUUCGAAUCGAUCAAGUCGUGUGUGCUUGAUUAUGAAAACAUUUCAGUUUUAUAAUUAAGAAAAUCUCCUUAAUCGCCAGAAAGAAAAUGAAAGGAGAAAGAAUACUACUACUAAUAUAAAGAGCUGCUUUUGUAGCUAGGCAACAUUCUCGCAGCAUCAACGUUAAGGCGGUAGCUGCCAUGGUAGUGGUUGGACCGGCAGUGAUCACCGUCAGCUUGAUCACGACUGAUCGACUGAUUGGUGUGAGACUAGGGCGUGCCAUACGUGCACACCGGCCAGCCGCCCACCCGACCCGGGCAGGCAUCAACAGCACAAGAGUACAGUGCAGUACGACUGCACAAUGAUUUCCCUCAUCUUCCUCUUUGAUUGGAAUGCACAGGACUAACAAAAUUUUAAAAAGUAUUCAAGCAUGUAUUAUGUGUGAUGGAAAGCGUAUGUGUGGGUAGCUAGUUUUCUCAUUGAUCAACGUACGUACUUAAUUGAUGGAGUAUUGCAUAAUUACUUGGUUAAAUUCAGCUAUCAUCAAGUAGCUAAUUCAUUGUAUCAGCAGAAUCAUGAACCCAAGAAUAACACAUGGGUAAAACUACUGAUUAUAAUCAAUCCAUACUCUGGAUAUCACAAGGGAGGGUUGUAGGGGUAGUUGAAAAGCGCUGUAGCUGAAAAGAAGGUCGUUGCUUUGCAAGAAAAAAAAUAAUGCAAACCUUACUAUAUGUACACAUCUACCGGUUAAUCUAGAGCUUCAGAUGAUUAAAUAACUUUGUAUGUGCCACUCCAUGGAAAAUUGAGUAAACACAUCUCUUUAUUAAUCAAGAAGCUACAUACGCGGCAACAAACAAACAUGAUCACAUGUACUACUACAAGUAGUUGCAAGCAGCAAGAGCAGAACAGAACAGAAGAUAGGCAGGAGUCAGAUGGAUCGGAUGAAAAAAAGAAAACGGAAGAAGGGGAAGAGCAGCUUAAUUGGAGCUGGCCGGCCGGGGUGAUGGAGCUCAGCCGGUCUCUAGUCAGUGGUGAUGUGCACGCCGAUGACGAUGACGAAGAGCGCGAUGAGGGCGAAGUAGAUGAUGGCGUGGACGAGGAUGGCCAUGGCGCUGGUGUGCAUGUUGCCGAACUCCACGAAGUGGUGCUUCCCGGGGAGCUGCAGCAGCAGCCCCGGCGACAGCAGCACGAACAGCACCACCGCGAUCACCACCGGCCCCCAGUCCGACAUCCUCCCUCUCCCUCCCCUUCUCCGACUCCGGCAAGCUUCUUUCUUUCUCUCUAGCUAGCUCCUCGCGGCAGAGAAAGGAAGGCAAUGGAGCAGAGCAGAACAGGAGCGGGGGCGCAGAGUAGAGCAGAGAAGGAUGGUGUGAUUGUGGAGGGAAAGGCGUGAGGGCUCCCUUUCAUCGCCAUUCGGUUGGUGACGUCUCGCUUUCCCUACCGCCUACGACCACAUCGCCCGUUUUCUAGUCACACCUUUUGCACUUGUAUUUUCUAGUCACGCCUUUUGCACUUGCGCUUCAGAAAAGAAAAGAAAAGUUUUUUUCUAAAUUAUUAUAUACUGUUAGCAGCUCCAUGCAUGAAUUUUUUUUAAUCAAAUCUUAUGAUUAGGUAGUCCUUUUUGCGAAAAAGGACCUAGAUCUUUUACAAAGGUUUGUAAAAAGGGCAAAGCAUCCUAUAUACAUAAUAAAAUAAAAUCGAGCACAACCGAAGGACCACUGCCACCGUCGGAGUGGCCAUCUAUGCGCAGCUAUUGAUGCUCUCCUCUACCUGAGCCGGUUUGACUUCGUUGAUGACAGUCGGGAAGUCUUCAUGCACGUGCCCCUAAGGUGCGGCGUACUAGAGCUGAUAUCAUCGCCACUGAACCCUUGAAUAGAUCUAAAACAUCUGACUCCAAAUCUAAUCAUCGCACACAAACAACGAGAAACUGUAACCUCAUCACACCAAGGAGACAUCAUGGAUCUACACCGGAGCUCCAUCGAAUCCAUCCCGAUGGACAAACUCGAUGAGAAUCGAUGUCCGGAAGACCAACUCGAAAUGAACCACCGACAUCUACCUAAACGCCGCUUAUGCGAGAACAAAAACCCUAACCUAAACUACUACCCAAAGUCGAGGCACCGAGAUCCCCCUUCCCCAUCACGGCCGCCUGAGCGGCACGCAGAGGGGAGGUGGAUCCAUGGGCUCACCGGCGAAGCCUGAAGGGAAUGAGUGCCCUAGCCGCCGGAGUCACGAAAGUGAAAAGGAAACCCUAACUUGGCGGGAAGGUUUGUGUAUUUUCUUUGACCAUUUAUAAUUAGGUAGUUAAAUAGGUGAUUUCGACAACAACAGGAGCGAGGAGAACAACUUCAGAAACGAAACCUUUUUUAAAUUUCACUUGUUUAACUCCAUGGAUGGGGAGUUCAAACAAUUAUGAUUAGCUAGCUAUAUCUAGGUGAUUUCAAUGCCACAACAACAUCAAGGAGGAGAACAACCGCAAUUUUGCUUUUUUUUAAUGAGCUUGUUGAUAACAGACAGGCAGGCAGGCAGGCAGGCUGGUGGACAGUGAGUGUGAGAGUGAGGUCUCUCUGGCGGGACACCUCUCACUCUCGUCCUGUCCUCCAUGAGAGUGAGUGCUGAGGUCAACUGGCAAUGCUCAUUGCGUGACCAAUAUCUCCUCCCAACUGACAACGACUUGGCCUGAACUUUUCUUAUCUAUUCGAGCAUAUCGUACCUUAAUCUAGAAUACAAUCCAGUGGAACCAAUGCGGGAGAUGUAAUUGCGAUUAACCUUCAGGAAGCUGCAUGAAGAAGAUGAUGAUGGUCUCUCAUGUUUUAUGGCCGUGCCUGAAACUUCGCUUUCCACCGAGCAAGAACAAGUGGCGGAGGGCGAAAUGAGGAAAAGGUGGAGAAGAAAAAUGUGCGUGUAGAGGAUACGCAACACCUAAAGCCACACACACAAAAACAAUAUGCUAGCUAGCUAGCUGGUCCAUGCCAUGGCAUAUUGACAUGACAACUCCGCUUAUUUGCUGCAACCAUUUCAAAGGACACAGUGGAUAUGCUAUACUCCCUCCGUUCCUAAAUAUAAGCCUUUUUUAGAGAUUCCAACACAGACUACAUAUUAAGCAAAAUGAGUGAAUCUACAUUCUAAAAUAUGAUUAUAUACAUCCAUAUGUAGUUCCUAUUGAAAUAUCUAAAAAACUUAUAUUUAGAAAUGGAGGGAAUACAUUAUUUAGAAACUUAUAUUUAAAAAACGUAUCGAAAUAUCUAAACAAUACAUUUUUUUUUAAUUUUCAUAAAUAUUACGCUGGGUAAUUUUUUUCAAAAAUAAUACUCCGUCGGCCCGUUGCAGGCCGACUGGGCCUAGUCGGCCCACAGCAGGCCGAUUGGACUGGCCCCUGUCGGCCCACUGUGGGCUGAUUGGGUCCUGUCGGCCCACUGUGGGUCGACUGGAGCUAAUUAGCUCGUUGUGGGCUAAUUGUUUUUGCAAAAAAAGUAGGCAUAAAAAAUAUGUUUAAAAAAUAUUAAUUAUGUAAUUAAAAAAUGUUAAACGUGUAUAAAAAAAUGUUCCUAAUGUAUAAAAAAAAUGUACAAUAUAUAUGCAAAAAAGUUGACAUAAAAAAUAUGUUUUAAAAAGUGUUAAGCAUGUUUUUAAAAAUUGUUAAAUGUGUCUAUAAAAAAUGUUUCUUAUCUAUUCAAAAAAUAUAGAAUGUGUAUGAAAAAAAGUUGACACCAAAAAAAUAUGUUUGAAAAAAAUAUUCCAGUUCCAUACAAAAAGAGCAACCAAUCAUACUUAGGUCUGUGAUGCUCCCAUACCGGAUCCGGAGCUGGAACAUUUUUUAUACACGUUUAACCUUUCAUUCCAAUACAUGAAACAUUUUUGUGUACUCGUUGAACAUUUUUUCAAAUACAUGAUUAACUUUUUUUCAAACAUAUUUUUUUGGUGUCAACUUUUUUCAUACACAUUCUAUAUUUUUUGUGUAGAUAAGUAACAUUUUUUCAAAUACAUGAUUAAUAUUUUUUUCAAACAUAUUUUUUUGGUAUCAACUUUUUUUCAUACACAUUCUAUAUUUUUUGUAUAAAUAAGGAACAUUUUUUAUACACAAAUUUAACAAUUUUUAAAUACAUGCUUAACACUUUUUAAAACAUAUUUUUUAUGUCAACUUUUUGCAUAUAUAUUGUACAUUUUUUGUAUACAUCAGGAACAUUUUUUUUAUACACAUUUAACAUUUUUUAAUUACAUAAUUAACUUUUUUUAAAACAUAUAUUUUUUAUGCCUAAUUUUUUUGCAAAAAAAUUAGCCCACAGCGAGCCAAUUAGCUCCAGUCGGCCUACAGCUGGCCGACAGGAGUCCAAUCGGCCUGCUGUGGGCCGACUAGGCCCAGUCGGCCUGCAACGGGCCGACGGUGUAUUAUUUUUGAAAUUUUUUUAUCCAGCGUAAUAUUUAUGAAAAUUAAUUAAAAAAUGUAUUAUUUUAAAAAAAUAGCCAUUAUUUGCAUGGAUGAAUAUAUCGUCGAGGAUAUAACAAGAAAAAGAACACUGACAAGAGUUACCAAGCAAGAUCUGCUGCAUAUCAGUUUGUGCUCCUUAAUUAUAUCCAAGUGUAUCGAAACGGCAGUAUGGCUUUUGUUUGCUGCAUGAUGGAGACUGGUUCCCCCAUUCAGUUAGGCCGAUCUACAGUUUACGCAACUCAGCCAUACUCAUUCCUGAUUUCAUCUAUUCUCAUAUCGUGGGGAAACAAUGAAACACUUUCUUUCCUGCCGGCUCCUUGCUUGCUUAGUCUUUCUCUGCUCCCAUAAAAUCGACGAUGAUAAGAAGACAAAAAUAAAAUUCACCAGACAAGCUCAACCCCUUUCGUUCCUGAAUGCGUGAUCCACCCAAGUGUAUUCACAUGCCUUUUGUUGAUGCUAUGAUGGAGACAUGUUUUUCCCAUUCAGUUAGGCAGAUCAACGUUUUUCUUUCUAGCAUAUUGUUAACUCCAUGGAUGUGUUUAUUUAAUUCUUAAUUAUGAUUAGGUAGCUAAGUAGGUGAUUUCAACAUCAACAACACCAAGCACUAGGGCAUCAAUAAAGAGAACAACCAACUUCAAGAAAGAAAACUUCUUAAAAUUUCACUUGUUUAAUUCCAUGCAUGGGACUUUCUUUCCUUUCUUUUUUUAAGAAAAUGAGGAUUAUGAUUAGCUAGCUAAUUAGGUGAUUUCAACACAAGAUUAACAUCAAGGAGAAGGAGAAGAGUGAUUUCACUUGUUUUUAAUGAGCUUGUUGUUAACAGACAGGCAGGCAGGCAGGUGGGCAGUGAGAGGGUGAGAGCUAGGUGUCUCUGGCUGGACACCUCGCACUUUUUCCUCUGUGGGAGGAAAAAGUGCUUAAUUGUGUAGAGGAUAAGUAACACCUAAGGCCACACAGACAUUGACAAUUUAAUUGAUUUGCUGCAACCAUCUCAAAGGACAUGUCGGAUAUACAUAUAUACGCAUGGAUAAUAUCAUCACAGAUAAUAAAGAAAAAACAAUCGAUGAUUCUUACUUUACGGGCAGAUAAUACAUGGAAAACAAUGUGUGUAGAGGAGACGCAACACCUGAAGUGUCACACACACACACACACACACACACACAAACAGUACUAUGCUAGCUGGCUUGUCCCUGACAUGGACAAUUCAAUUGAUUUGCUACAACCAUUCGAAUGACACAGUGGACACAAAAACAUAUAUGAAUGAAUAAUUUCUCCAAGAUAAGAAGAAAAAACUGUAUGCAUACCGGUGUGUUCUUCUUUUGUUCAUGCAUGCAUGUUGGAUGGACCAAGUGUAUCAGCAGUAUGGCUUUUAUUUGCUGCAUGAUGGCGACAGGCUCCCCCAUUCUGUUAGUCCGAUCUAAGAACUUCACAAUUCAGGCAUGUGCUUAGUCCAAAAUUCAAUUAUUUAUCGUAUCCCGGAUUUAAAUUAAACGAUAAAACGCUUGAGACAGGUUUCUCUGCAUGGAUAAAAACAACAAGGAUAACAAAAUAGAAAAACCCAAAUGAUAAGUGCCACACGUCAGGUGCGUGGCACUCCGGCCCUGACGUUUUUCGAAGGAAAUUCCAGUCAUGCAAGGAUGACAAAUUGCAGUGAUCUGUCAAAAAUAAACUGAAGCACGAAAGUUGUCAUGCUUGUCAACUAAAGUUGCCAUCCUUGUGUAACUAAACUUGCCAUCAAAAACGUUCGAAGUUGCCAUAUGCAUGCACCUGACGUGUGGCACUUAUGAGGGUCCUAGAAAAAGGAAACAAAUAUAGUUAUCAAGCAAAAUCAACUGUAUGUUGCUCUCUUCGCCCAUUGUUCCUGAAUGCAAUACCCAUCUAAGUGUAUUCACAUGCCUUUUGUUGAUGCUAUUGCAAUGGUUGAGACAUGUUUUUCCCGUUCAGUUAGGCAGACAUUUUUUUAGCAUACUGUUAACUCCAUGAAUGUGGUUAUUUAAUUCCUAAUUAUGAUUAGGUAGCUAAGCAGGUGAUGUCAACAUCAACAACAACAACUACUGCAUCCGUAAAGAGAACAACAACUUCAAGGAAGAAAAACUUCUUAAAAUUUCACAUGUUUAAUUCCAUGCAUGGGACUUUCUUUCCUUUUUUAUAAGAAAAUGAGGAUUAUGAUUGGCUAGCUAGUUAGGUGAUUUCAACACAAGGUUAACAGCAAGGAGGAGGAGAAGAGUGAUUUCACUUGUUUUUAACAAGCUUGUUGUUCACAGACAGGCAGAUGGACAGUGAGAGGGUGAGAGCGAGGUGUCUCUGGCUAGACACCUCCCACUUUUCCCCUGUGAGAGUGAGUGCUGAGGUCAAUUGGCCACAAGGCAAAUGCUUAAUUGUGUAGAGGAUACGCAACACCUAAAGCCACACACACAAACAACAUGGUAGCUAGAGGUCCAUGACAUUGUCAAUUCAAUUGAUUUGCUGCAACCAUUUCAAAGAACACAGUGGAUAUACAUAUAUACGCGUGAAUAAUAUCAUCAAUCAAAGAUAAUAAAGGAAAAACCACCGAUGAUUGUUACCGACGGGAAAGAUAAUACAUGGAAAACAAUGUAUGUAGAGGAGACGCAACACCUAAAGUCACACAAACAAAAACAAUACUAUGCUAGCUAGCUGGUCCAUAAAAAGGGCAGGGUCUUUGGGUCUUUUCUAUGCAGUUUUUCUCUAUAUUUUUGCUAGAGGUUUCAGGACUCGAACCCGUGACCUGACCAAGACAACAGCUCUACCGCUAGCUAGCUGGUCCAUGACAUGGACAAUUCAAUUGAUUUGCUACAACCAUUCGAAUAACAAGGUGGACACACAAACAUAUAUGAAUGACUAAUUUCUCCAGGAUAAGAAGAAAAAACUGUAUACAGACCGGUGUUUUUUUUGUUCAUGCAUGCAUGUUGGAUGGACCAAGUGUAUCAGCAGUAUGGCUUUUGUUUGCUGCAUGACGGCGACAUGCUCCACCAAUCAGUUAGGCCGAUCUAUGAACUUCACAAUUCAGCCAUGUGCUUAGUCCUAAAUUCAAUUAUUUAUCGUAUAACUAAGGUGUCCAGCAGGGUUACGCCUUGGAGGGGGCGCUACAAUUCUACUGCUGGAAGGGUCUGUUUGAUCAAUGUGUGUUUGUCUUCUCUUCGUAUGUAUGUUAUGGGUUUCUAUCGCCUUAUGGAGGGUAUUCAUGCCGGUUUUGAUAAAUAUCGGGGUGGUUUCUAUUGCAAUACCAUGGACAAUAAAAAGAAGUACAGAUUGGUUAAGUGGAAACUCAUGUGUAGGCCCAAAAGUAUGGGGGGUUUGGGGAUCCUUAACACUUUCAUUAUGAACAAGUCUUUGAUCCUUAAGUGGUGGUGGCGUAUUCUUUCAGAUGAUCAGGGCAAGCUUUGGUUCCACAUAAGCCCAAAUAUUUUCCUCACUCCUCCCCCCUCAUGUGCAAUCCUGUGGCCAGCUCUUCCGUUUCUCAAUUCUGGCGCUAGCUGCUCAAUGUUCGGGAUGACUUCAAAGCUUUGGUGAAAUUCUCUGUUGGCAACGGUGCCUCCGUUCGUUUUUGGUUGGAUUGGUGGGUUGGGGAUGGGACCUUUGCGCUUUCCUUUCCUGUUUUUUUCUUUUGUUACUUAUCCUUCUGUCUCCAUCGCGGAGCUGGCGGCUAGUGGUUGGGACCUCGGCUUUCGCCGGGUCCUAUCUCCUGUAGAGUUGGAGGACUGGCACCGGCUUGUUGCCUGCGCUCUCGGAGGCUCAGGACUUGGCCCCAUUCUGCUUCUGGCCGCUUUUCUGUUAAGUCCUGUUAUCGUGUUUUGUCCUCGAGGUCAGUGGUGUCUAAGUUUAAGCCCAUCUAGGUGGUCAGAGUGCCUCCGAAGAUCAAAAUUUUCAUGUGGCAGGCCUUGAGGGGCUGACUGCCCUUCGCGGAUUAUAGUAAGAAGAGGCACGGCCCGGGUUCGGAGUUUUGCUCCUUGCGUGGGAACUUAGAGGAUAUUAAUCACAUUCUAUUCUCGUGUCCUCUGGCCCAGCUACUUUGGAGUUGUAUUAGGGACUGGAUGGUUGUGUCGUGGGCGCCUGCUAACUUUAAUAAUCUUCUUGCGCUUUUGGUUCCUUUGUCUAUUCAAGUCAGAUGGGUGUUUUGGUUCGCCUUCCCUGCCAUGUGCUAGACCCUCUGGACGACCAGAAAUAAAUUUACUAUCGAACAGGUGUUCCCUAACAAGGCGGUUCAUGUUGUUUCCAAUCUCUCAAUAUUUUUGAUGCAGUGGAAAUCUCUGAUUAAGGAAGGCAACAAGGCAGCUGUGGAGUUGCUCAUUUCCCGUGUUCGUGCUUCGGGAAUAUCUGUCUCAAGGGGUGAUCGACUCAGGCCGCAGUAGGUAUUGCUACUUGUCGUCGUUUGGUGUUAGUCAUCUGGGGACUCUUGAUGCUGGCCUGCGUGCCAUUUUGCCGGUUGUGGCCGUCUGUUGAAUUCGGUGCUGUGGUGUGUGUCCGUCCUAAACUCUUGUUGUCUGUCCUACUCGGUUGCCUGGUGCCUUUAUUAAUUUAAAGCCGGGCUGAGGCCUUUUCUCUAAAAAAUUAUUUAUCGUAUCACGGAUUAUAUGAUAAAACGCUUGAGACAGGUUUCUCUGCAUGGAUAAAAACAACAAGGAUACGAAAUAAAAAAAAGACACGGAUAUAGUUACCAAGCAAAAUCAACUGUAUGUCGCUCUCUUCGACCUUUGCUCCAGAAUGCACGACCCAUCCAAGUCUGCUGACAUCCCAUUUAUCGACCAAUGAUUGGCACAGGUUUUUCUAUUCAGUCAAGCUAAUUUAUGGAUUUCAGUAUUUCAAACUAAUGGAACUAUUUCUUUCCUGUCGAUACCUUGCUUGGCCUUUCUCAGCAAGAUGAAAUUGAUGACACCCUUUUUCACUGCCAUUGAUCCGACCUGUCUCUAGCUGUCCAUUGGUGCUGGUCACCGCGACGGCAAGGAGGGCAAGGAGGGCUGCCCACCUUUGAUUAAUCAUGCAUGCAUCUGAAUUAUCCAAAUUCAUCAAGAUAUCCUAAAUAGAUCCAACCUGAAGAUUAAACGUAGUGCAGUGGAGGAACAUAGGAGUUGUAAAUGUAAUUAGCAUGCACUGAUUGUUGGGCAUAAGCCACCGCAGGACGCGUUGGGUGCGAGCCAGGGCGCGCCGGAUCCGUGGCCGUGUGUGUGUGCGCGCUUGAGUUUGUGGCUUGAGUGAAAUAGUGGCUGUUCGUGCAGCCGGGUGGCGUUCGUGCGCCGGAUAUAUCUGCUGUGUGCGCCUCGUUCUUCUUCCUCCUUUCCUCUAGUCCUGAGCGAGAGAGAGUGAGAGCUCCGUUGAGAGGCACGGCAAGGCUACGGUAACAACAAUUGGUAUUCAGAGCCACUAGUUCGGGGGGCGGCCGUGGCGCGCGGCGGACAUGAAGGUCUCGGCAACGCGCGGCGAGUCCACGGCGGUGUGGCGUGAUGCCGGGUGCGCGGCGAGCGCGUGGCGUCAGCAACGCGCGGCGAGUCCACGGUGGUGUGGCGUGAUGCCGUGCGCGCGGCGAGCAGCGACGGUCGCAGAGACGAGGAGGUCACGAAGGACCUGCGUGGUGUCGCAGAGGCCGCGGCGGCUCGGCGCGACGACCGUGGAGGCGCUGCGCUGUGGUUGACGGCGCAGCGGUGCAGGGCAAUAAGCGCGGCGGCGAGCCGGGCGCGACCGGUGCGUGUUAUGGAUGCGCACCGGACGCGUCGGGCACGUCGGGACCGCGGGAGUGGACCGCGUCGAGGCGCAGGACCUGGUUGCGCAGACCGCGUACGUGCGCGGCGGGAGCGCGGGGACGUGGGGAGUGCACGCGAAGGGCACGGCGGCACGGUGGCAGGCGUGGCAGCGACGUCAGGGCGGCGGCGGCUACAACAACGUCGACGGCACGACGGAGGCCGCAGCGGUGCGGUGCGACGGCCAUGGCGACAUCAACGACGAUGGACUCACCUGCUGUAGUUCGUGGCUUAGGGGGGUGUGUGUUGGGCAUAAGCCACCGCAGGACGCGUCGGGUGCGAGCCAGGGCGCGCCGGGUCCGUGGCCGUGCGUGUGUGUGUGCGCUUGAGUUUGUGGCUUGAGUGAAAAAGUGGCUGUUCGUGCAGCCGGGCGGCGUUCGUGCGCCUCGGUCUUCUUCCUCCUUUCCUCUAGUCCUGAGCGAGAGAGAGUGAGAGCUCCGGUGAGAGGCACGGCGAGGCUACGGUAACAACACUAAUCAACUAGGUUAUUCGGCCAUCCGUUGUUGUACUAGCUAGCCAGAGCCAUAAGGAGGAGGAUGUGAAGAUGACACGCACACAAUAUCAAGUUUUUGGGUUUGUGCUCGUGUUGCAUAUUUCACUUUCCAUCAAGAAAAAAAAAUUGUGGUAUAGGAUGGCAGAAUGAAAAUAACGAAAAUCAAUAUAUGGAAUUACGGAUGCAACAACUAAGGUCAUACCCACCACAAGAAUUGUGUGUGUUAUAGCUAGUUCAGCAGAUGACAGUAUUGCCAGCUUCUCCUUUGUUCUAGCUAGGACACAAAUUCGAUCCACUGAUUUGAGGCAUCGAUCUGCCGCAAGUCCUCAAAGGACAUAUAGACAAGGCGAAGAACUAAAUAAAGUUGCAAAGCAAAAUUAUCGAAAAAAUAUGAUCCCAGAGAUACACAGUAAUGUUGUCAUCAAAUCUCAAGAAUAUAAAUUUCACAUGAUCCCACCAUGUAACAUAUCCCAGGUCAGCAAUGACUGAGCGCAGGCUAACUAAUUAACAUGAAGCAAGAACCAAACAGACAGAAAGAGCAAAAGAAACAGCUAGAACAGGAUGAAGCAGAGUAUUGUACUACUCAUGAUGACGAGCCGAACUCGAUGUGGACGCCAACGACGACGAGGAAGAAGGCAUCGAGGGCGAAGAAGAUGAUGGUGUGGAUGAGGAUGGAGACGGCGCUCGUGUGGAAUUUGCCGCACUCGAUCGUCCGUGAUUUGCCAGGGAUCUGGAAGACAAGCCCUGGGGACAGAAGGAUGAAGAGCAUGAAGGAGAUGAGAACUGGACCCCAGUCUUGCAUCUUCUUCUUCUUCUUCUUCUUCUUCUUCUUCUUCUUCUUCUUCUUCUUCUUCUUCUUCGAAGUCUUUGGGAUGACGAUGAUGAUGAAUACUCAAGCCAGCUACAGCUAUGCUUCUUCUUCUUCUUCGAAGUCUUCUGGUUCGUGUCUCAAACCGGGACUAAAGGGGUUCUGAAAUUUGUUAUUUGUUUUCUAUUUUUAGUUUAUGUUUUAAAUUGCUUAUAUUUUUUAGGAUAUUUGAUGUUUUUGAGUGAUUCUUUUUGCAUUAGAUUCAAAAUUUUGUCUAGUUUUUGUUUGUGCCAUUAGUUUACAAAUUUGAAUGUUUUAAAUAUGAAUUUUUUUCAAAUUUUCUUCAAACCCUAGAUUGUGAAUAAUUUGAGUUUAAAAAUGGGUUUUAAUUUAAUUGUUUUUGCUCCUAGUCACAUGUAAGACUGUUGUCACACAGUAAGAUUUAUUUGGUUAUUUUUAGAAUAAUUUGAAUUAGGAUUUUAGUUAAGUUAAAAAGUAAUUCUUUUUGCCACUUUAAUAGAACGUGACUCUGGCUGGGACGGUGCUAGCAGAUGUAGUGGACGGUACGAUUGGAUGGACACCAUCCGGGACUAAAGGGGUUCAAACUCUACCCCCACUAGUGCAGAACCGGCCUUUAUCACCGGUUCGUAAGGGCCUUUAGUGCCGGUUCUGCAACCGGCACUAUGGAGUGGAGACUAAAGGCCCCCCCUUUAGUACCGGUUUGGCACGAACCGGCGCUAACGUGCCACCACGUGGCACGAGCCAGGCCCGGGUGCGUGUAGGACAUUAGUACCGGUUGGUAACACCAACCGGUACUAAAUGUUUGGGUGUGUUUUGGUUUUAAUUUUUAUUUUUCCUUUAGUUUUGUGUUUUCAAUUUAAUUUAGUGAUUGUUUUACAUUAUAAUGAGUUGUUAAAUCAUUAGGUGAAAGUACCGCAGAUUAGUUUCGACUGGAUGCAUGUGGAUCCUAGCUAAGUGAUCUAAGUAAUAUGGAUAUGGCAUAUACUUGAUUACUUAGCUAGGAUCCAUCCAGUUGAAACUAAUAUGCGGUUUCUUUCAUAAAUGUUAUAAUAACUCAUCAUCAUCAUCAUCAUAUUAUAAGCGUUCAUAACACCACAAAAGCAAAUCACUCUUUGAGAUUAAGUUCAGGACGAAGAACACGGACACGCAUGAGAGGACAACAAGUACUAAGAGCAUGAUAACUAGCUAAAUCACUCCUGCUGCUCUCUCACAGGUAAAAUAGCAUAGAACAUGUAUAGCUCUCUUGAUUCAUCAUAUUGGAGCAUGCAGAUGAACCUGUCUCCUAAUCGUGGGCUGCGCUUCUGAUUGGUGCCCCCUAGUACUUCUCUGCGAUCGUUAACAAUUUUGCUCCAAUCUUUCACUAUUAAGCAUUCAUCGCUUUCAGAAAUCCUGAAUGCACUCAUGUGCACUGUAGGAUAUCUUGGCCGUAAGCUAACAAUUGACAUGCGACCUUUAGUCUCGAUCCACUGAGGCACAACUGUCAUCGGGAGUCCCUGUUGAAGAACAUCGUAUAGUAAUUAAUAUACUUAGCAAUGAAAGUUUAGCUUGAAAAAUAAUGUAUGCAAAAGAUGCACUGAGGACUAAUAGUAAAAAUCUUACCAUCUUUCCUAAAUACAUGUGACCGUAGUUCAAUACGAUCACUAUUGGUCGCACGUUUUGAGUACUAAGAUUUUCAAAUUCAGGAAAAUGAUUUCUCUUAACAGCAUCAAGAUCCUCAAGCCAUGAAACAUAAUGACUUAUCUCCUCGCAGUUUAGUUCAACUCCGGGACAGUAGUAGGUCCUGUCUACCAAGCGCCGGACAUGUUUGCUUGAAUGGAAAUAAGCUGUCAAUAGAAAUUAGUUGUGAACUAUUUUUGAAUAAACAAUAUCAAAGACAUAAAUAUGGUUGAGAAACUCACAUAAUGGUAGAACUGGAGGCGUCUGCACAUCGACCCAGAUGUCUCUAUUACCUUCAAUAUCAUCUUCCGGACGAAUAUCAAAGGUGAUAACCAUAUCAGGCUCAAAUGCAUAAGCCUUGCAUAGUGCUUGCCAAGUUUUGCAUUCAAAAUAGGUGUACGUGUCUGCAUUGUAUAAUUUGAUGUUGAAAGUAUAACCAUGCUCGGUCUUCAGGUAAACUCUUUUUACCUCCAUAGUUUCCAUAGCACUGAAACCUAUCUUAUCCAAGACAAAAAUUCUUGCAUGGCAGGGGAUGCGCUAGUAGAAUAGUGAAAAUUUAAAAUUAUAAGUUGAAGCAAAUGAAGCAUAUAUAAGUCAUGCUUAAUUACGAAAAAAGACUUGUCGUUGUGACUUACUGUAUCCACUUCGAAGGUCUCAUCCAGCUUGAUGCUGAAGCGCCUAUCAUCAACAAGGAAAUUUCUGUCGCACAGGCCGCGCUGGUCUUCACAGGAUUCGCACUUAAUGAAAUCUUUUUCGUCGUCAGACGACAUUUCCUAUGUUCAUAUAGGUGAAACAUUAAACACUUACUAGUUCUAUUAAUUCAACUAAUUCAACUACUUCUAUUAGUUCAACUAGUUCUAUUAAUUCAACGAAUUCAACUAAGCAUUUACUAAAAAUAAACGUGUUCUAUUAAUUUUCUUACUAAAAUAAAGUAGCUAGUUCCAUAUAGUAAUAUUUUAAUUAGAUCAUCAAAUCUCAGGUAUCUAAAUUUUCUUACUAAAAAUAAACUAGUUCUAUUAAUUCAACUAAUUCAACUAAGAAUUUACUAAAAAUAAACUAGUUCUAUUAAUUUUCUUACUAAAAUAUAUAAGGUAGCUAUAUAUAUAGUAAUAUUUUAAUUAGAUUAUCAAAUCUCAUAUACCUAAAUUUUCGUACUAAAAAUAAACUAGUUCUACUAAUUCAACUAGUCCAACUAAGCAUUUACUAAANNNNNNNNNNNNNNNNNNNNNNNNNNNNNNNNNNNNNNNNNNNNNNNNNNNNNNNNNNNNNNNNNNNNNNNNNNNNNNNNNNNNNNNNNNNNNNNNNNNNNNNNNNNNNNNNNNNNNNNNNNNNNNNNNNNNNNNNNNNNNNNNNNNNNNNNNNNNNNNNNNNNNNNNNNNNNNNNNNNNNNNNNNNNNNNNNNNNNNNNNNNNNNNNNNNNNNNNNNNNNNNNNNNNNNNNNNNNNNNNNNNNNNNNNNNNNNNNNNNNNNNNNNNNNNNNNNNNNNNNNNNNNNNNNNNNNNNNNNNNNNNNNNNNNNNNNNNNNNNNNNNNNNNNNNNNNNNNNNNNNNNNNNNNNNNNNNNNNNNNNNNNNNNNNNNNNNNNNNNNNNNNNNNNNNNNNNNNNNNNNNNNNNNNNNNNNNNNNNNNNNNNNNNNNNNNNNNNNNNNNNNNNNNNNNNNNNNNNNNNNNNNNNNNNNNNNNNNNNNNNNNNNNNNNNNNNNNNNNNNNNNNNNNNNNNNNNNNNNNNNNNNNNNNNNNNNNNNNNNNNNNNNNNNNNNNNNNNNNNNNNNNNNNNNNNNNNNNNNNNNNNNNNNNNNNNNNNNNNNNNNNNNNACGGGGACGGCGCAACGACGAGCGGCAGGCCGGGGGCGACGGCGCGAUCGAGACGGCGACGUGGUACGGGGCGGCGGCGACGAGCGGCGGGGGCGACGGCGGUGACGGCGACGAUUGGCGGUGAGGGCGACGGCGGUGACGGCAACGACGGGUGGCGGGGGCGGCGAGGGCGGCGGCGAUUUUGCGCGAAGGAGUUGGAGAAGAAGUGGUGGUCGAUGAAACUGAAUUUUUUAUAAGUGCCAUAUAUAUAGGAGGGGCCUUUAGUACCGGUUGGAGCCACCAACCGGUACUAAAGGCCAAUUUUUGCCAGGCCAAGGGGCGGAAAACUGCCCCUUUAGUACGGGUUCGCGGCUCCAACCGGUACUAAAGGCCCCCCUUUAGUACCGGUUGGAGCCACGACCCGGUACUAAAGGUAUGCGCUGGCGCAGGAGCGGUGCGGGCAAGUUUAGUCCCACCUCGCUAGCCGAGAGGCGCCCGCACCAGUUUAAAAGCCCCGGCGCGGCUGCUGUCUUGAACUCCUCUCUAUAGCAGGCUUUUGGGCCUAACUCUGGCGCGCUGCCCGUUGAGCCUGCUGGCCCUUCUGGGCCUGUAUUUGCAAACCCUAUGGUUGGCAGGCGCAGCGGGCAGCGCCCCAACAAUUUUUUAUAUAAUUUUCUUCUAUUUAUUUCCGAGUAAUUUUUUUGCUGUAUUUAGUUUCUUUGUGAAUAAAAAAGAAUUAUAUAGUUUUUUUUCUUUUCUGCAUUAUUUAUUUUCUGCUAUUCAUUUUGUAGUGAUUUUUAAUUUCACUGUCAUUUAGCUCUCUAAACAAAUCGGUAAAUGACUGAAAAACAACAAAUGAUGUCAGAACGUGUUGGAAAUUGAUGACGUCGCUUUGAAUGAUGCAUACUGAACGCAAAAAUAGGCUGGAGUUCAAAUAAGUUUAAAAAACAUUGAAGUGCCCGUGUAACAGAUGAGUUCUCGUCCGAAACCCUGAUACUCCGAAAGAGAUUGUCCAGUUUGUACACGAGGUGCGUCCAGUUUUCGCCGUGACCCUCUCUACUCUUUUGCACAUGCUAUGCGGGCGAAAUGAUGAUACCAUGCCAAGUUCCAACAUUUUCAGAGUUCAUUUUGUAGUAAUUUUCAAUUUCACCGUCAUUGAGCUCUCUAAACAAAUCGGUAAAUGACUGAAAAACAGCAAAUGAUGUCAGAACGUGUUGGAAAUUGAUGACGUCGCUUGGAAUGAUGCAUACUGAAUGCAAAAAUAGGCUGGAGUUCAAAUGACUGAAAACAACAAAUGAUGUCAGAACGUGUUGGAAAUUGAUGACGCCGCUUUGAAUGGUGUGUACGGAACGCAAAAAAGUCUGGAGUUGUAAUAAGUUUAAAAAAAUGAAGUGCCCAUGUAACAGAUGAGUUCUCGUCAGAAACCCUGAUACUUCGAAAGAGAUUGUCCAGUUUGUAUACGAAGUGCGUCCAGUUUUUGCCGUAACACAAGAAGUCCGGAGUUGUAAUAAGUUAUUAAAGAUAAAAAAGACCCUGAUACUUCGAAAGAGAUUGUCCAGUUUGUACACGAAGUACGUCCAGUUUUUGCCGUAACACAAGAAGUCCGGAGUUGUAAUAAGUUAUUAAAGAUAAAAAAGAGGCACAAUGCUCGUUAAUUAGCUUCAAGUCUUUCGGAAUAGUGCAAACUGCACUGCACAUAGCUCCGUGCAGUCUACACUAUUCCUCAAGGCUUAAAGCUAAGCAACAUGCAGAUGAGCAUUGCGCCUCUCCUUCAUCGUCUCUGCACUCAGAGCUUAUAAACCGCUCCUAGUGCCUCUCUCUUCGCGAGGUGGGACUAAAAAACAGCUUACUAAGAAACUAUAGUACCGGUUCAUGGCACGAACUGGUACUAAAGGUGCCCGUGGGGCCCCAGCCUGACCACAGCCUGACGCAACAUCAUUAGUACCGGUUCGUGACACGAACCGGUAUAAAAGGUUGCUCACGAACCGGUACUAAUGAUCUCCGUCCGCCUAGCCGUUGGAACCGACACUAAUGGACACAUUAGUGCCGGCUCAAAAUCAAACCGGCACUAAUAUGCUUCACAUUUGACCUUUUUUCUACUAGUGCCCCCCCCCGCGUGUAUCGCCAUUCCAGUUUUGAAAAGAACAAAAGAAACUGAUAAAAACUUCAAAAAUUAAAAUCCUUCGAGACGUAGUUAUGUUACUACAUCUACUAGUUACGAAAAUUUAAAAACUUAAAUUUGAACAUGUUUUGCAAAAAAGUGUUAUGAAAAAGUAAAACGGCUAUAACUUUUCCAUACAAUGUCGAAAAAACGUAUAAUAUAUCAAAAUAUUUAGCACGAAAAUCCAGAUCCGUUUUCGACGGCCGUAGGCUGUUUUGCAAAUUUUUAGAAUCCUCAAAUUUUGAAAGGAAAAAAAGUUAUCUUCAAAUUUUUUUUUUGAUUUUUUGGUCAAACUCUGGUCAAACUACUUAUUUAAGAAAUAUUAGUGUUACAAAAUUAUUGGUUUUAAGAAUAAUAGUUUCAAACUCAAACGCGAAACUGUGAUUUCAUGCUCAAGUUCAACUCCUAAGGGUUAAUACGAUUGACAGCUUACUAGUCAGGAAAACAACAAGUGCAGACUUGAAACGAUGAGGAAUAGAACUCGGAUGUUAAGCGUGCUCAGGCUGGAGUAGUGAGAGGAUGGGUGACCGGCCGGAAAGUUAGACGAUUUGGAAUGAUGAGGGAUGAUUAGAGAUUAAAGAUUAAAUUGAGCAGUGAUGAGGAGUGAUUAAAGAUUAAAUUCUCAAAUAAUUCAGAAAAUUGAAAAUCAGAAAAAAUUAAAAAAAUAUUCAAAUAUUUUUCUAUUUUUUUUUCAAAAAAAUUCCUUUAAUCCCCAACCGGGACUAAAGGUGGAGCUCAACAGACGUGGAGCCCCUUUACUCCCGGUUCGUAGGUGAACCGGGACUAAAGGUUUUGGGCUUUAGUCCCGACAACCGGGACUAAAGGCCCUCUGAAACCGGGACUAAAGACCCGUUUUCUACUAGUGCAUGGUCCCUCUUACCUUUUAUUUUCACAUUAGAGGUAAGAGUAUAUAAUAAAUUUGAGCCGUUGAUUUCAUUAAGUAGUCGGUCUGAGUAACUCUUACCUUCUUACCUCCCAUGUGAAAAAAUGAGCUACGUGAGAGGGACUAUGUUAAAAUUUCUCGUCGUCAAGGAUAUAAGAAGAAAAUGAACAAUGGUAAGAAUUACCAAGCAAGGAUCAGCUGUAUAUCGAUUAUAUAUAUAUAUAUAUAUAGACUAUUCGUCACCUUGGGUGAGAAAUAGUUAUUCUUCACCCCCCUCUAUUUUACCUUCAAUGCACCGUAAUUUUAUGUUCCGUAAGUUUUGUCUUAUUUCUGACACAAAAAGAGACCGUAAGAAAAUAUAUAAUCGCCGUAAAAAAUAUUUCAUGUUCUGUAAAAUUACAAACGUAAAAACAUAGUGUAAAAUACACAUAAACUGCAAAUUUUCUUGUCUUAUGACCUAUAUUUUUAUUUUCUUAUGCCAAAUUUUACAUAAUGAAUCAAUAUGAAUGUAACUAUAUAUCGCUCUCUUCUUCGCCUUUUUUUCCUGAAUGUGGGAUCCAUUCAAGUGCAUUGACAUGCCUUUUCUUGAUGCUAUGAUUGAGGCAUGUUCUCCCAUUCAGUUAGGCCGAUCAAUGUUUUUUAUUAUACUGUGAACUUUUUAUUAUGAUUAGGUAGUUGAGAAAGUGAUUUCAGAAAACAACGGCCGCGGCAAAGAGAACAACAACCUUAGAAGAAGGAAAAUAAAACUUUUUACAAUUCACUUGUUUAACCUUAGUUGAGAAGAGGAUUUCAGAAGGUGACUUUCUAUUCUUUUUAAGAGAAGGGUGAAUAUGAUUAGCUAGCCAGUUAGGUGAUCAACACAAGAUUAAUAUCAAUGAGAAGGUGAAGAACGAUUUCACUUGUUUUUAAUGAGCUUGUUGAUAACAGACAGGCAAGGCAGGUGAAAAGUGAGUGAGGUCUCUCUGGCUGGACAUCUCUCACUUUUCCUUCUGUGAGAGUGAGUGCUGAGGUCAACCGGACACAAGGCCAACUCUGCUAGUCGUCCUUCUACUCCUAUCACUUUUCUUUCCUGACAAAGACUUGCUCUGAACCCGUAAUUCAGAUUCACGGUGAUGACUAAUCCAUGAACAGGAAAGAAAAAACAUGAUUUAAACAUCCGAUGUUCAAAUUCUGAAUCCACCGAUCCACUAAUCCAGCAUAUUUACACGAAUCUAGAAUGACAUCAACUAGGAUUAACAGGAGCAAUAACUAUGAUUAGCCUUCACGAAGCUUCAUGGAGGAGGAUGUAGUCGUGUUUUCUUGCCGUGCCUGAAACUACGCUUUCCAUCAAUCAGAAAACAAGAGGUGGAGCGGGCAAAAGCGGAAAGGAAAACAAUGUAGAGCGGUCACACACACACAACAGUACUGUACAAUGCUAGUUGGUCGAUGACACUGACAAUUCAAUUGAUUUGCUGCAACCAUUCCAAAGGACAUAGUGGAUAACUUGAUAUACAUACACACACACACAACAUGUUUUGGUUCGCGAAGAUAAGAAGGAAAAACCACUUAUGAUUGUUUCCAAGCUCAAUCAAUUGUAUAUUUUUUUUGAUACAGUGUGAUAUAUAAAUAUCAAGAUGAUAUCAAUUACACCUGGCUUCUGCAACGACACUAUAUCAAGACCAAGUCGUGACAUCGAGGAUGCACACAAUCAAUCGUGUAUAUAUGGGUAUGUUCUCCUUAUGAUCAUGCAUGCAUGUUGCAUGGGCCAAGUGUAUCAGCAGUAUGGCUUUUGUCUGCUGCAUGAUGGAGACAGGUUUCCCGAUUCAGUUAGGCCGAUCUACGGAUUUCGCAGUUCAGCCAUACUUUGUCUGAAAUUCAUUUAUUCUCGUUUCGUGGAUGGCUCUUUUCUGCAGGGAUAAAAUGGACAAGGAUAAGAAGAAAGAAGACACUGCUAAACCAAAGUUACCAAGCAAAUAAACUGUAUAUAUGUCGCCCCCUUCGCCUUUUGUUCCUGAAUGCGUGAUCCAUCCAAGCUUGUUGACAUGGCUUUUGUUGAUGAAUGACUGAGACAGGUUUUCUCAUUCAUUAGGCUGCUCUAAGGAUAUCCGUAUUUGAACUAACUCAACGCUUUCUUUCAUGUCGAUUCCUUGCAUGGACUUUCUCAGCAAGAUGAAGUUAGUGAAACCCUUUCACUGGCAUUGAUCCUGCUGCCCUCGAGCUGUUCAUUGGCGCUGGCCGGUGCAAUGGUGGUGAGGGAAAGGAUGGGGAUUUGUCUUUAUGGUGAAUUGCUCUUGACUACUGCUACUUGUCUUCGAUGUUUCAAUUUGUAUUUUGUACUUGUGAUGAUCUUUAUCGCACAAGUCCAUUUAGGGCAUAAUCUCUUGCCGUCUUUGCAUUUUUUUCUCUUUUUGUUUUGGACGUGUUGGAUUGUGGACAUCUUGUUAUGUAGAUGUCGGAUUGCAGUCAGUGUGGUUGUACCAGCUUUGAUGGGAUGAUUGAAUGAAAUUCCAGCUAGCGAUUUUUUUCUUUUUUUGCAUCCAUUUUCCAUUUUUUUGCAUGCAUGCUUCUGAAAUGGAUCAUUUUGGAUAUUCUGUCAGGUUGCACUAGCCACAAGUUUAAUAGAGGAUUGAUCAUCAAAAGUUGUUUGUCUAGUUGUCCAAAAGAUCGUAUGUUUAUCACGAAAGCAUGGUGCUUGGUAUUUUAUUCUGAGGAAAAACUGACUCUCCGUUUUCACUUUACGUAUCAAAUCCUUAUCAAGGUUUUGUACUUUUUUGCGGUAGAGGUUUGGAACUUUCUACAGUUUGUGUAGAGUUCAGUAUCUGAACUUUGUACAAGAUUAGUAAAGCUUUACACAUCGAGUUUUUUUUUCUGGAACCAACUUUGUUGUGUUUUCUAAAGUGAUAAGACGAAGUGGAAUUGGUAGAGUGACACGACUCGUCAAAUUUGCUUUAAGGCAUCAAGAACUGUAAUCCAAAAACAAGAAGUUUAACCAUUUCACUUAAUUUUAAUGAGUUUACUGAUGUUUGAUGACAGACAUGCAGAGACGGUGAGAGCGAGGUCUUUUAUUUUCUAGAUCAUGGAAGAACAUAUAACUUUUCUCCUUUGUGUGAGUGAGUGGUACUAGUAACUGGUGAGGUCAACUAGCAGGCAAAUGUUCAAUGCUCUCUUUUCUGAUGAAGGUUGUUCUUAACUAACUCUGAAUUACAUGGAGGAUCGGCUGCCUGCCUUUGAUAAAUCAUGCAUCUGAAUUAUCCAAAUUCGAUCCAACCUGAAGAUUGAAUGUGAUGAAGUGGGGGAACAUAGGAGCUGUAAAUGUAAUUAGCUUGCACUGAUCAACUAGGUUAUUUGGGCAUCCGGUGUUGAACUAGCUAGCCAGAGCCGUAAGGAGAAUGAUGUGAAGAUGACACACACAUCCAAUCUCAAGUUUUCGGGUUUGUGCUCGUGUUGUAUAUUUUGCUUUCCAUCAAGAAAAAAUUGUGGUAUAGGAUAAUAGAAUGGAAAUAAAUAAAAGGAAUAGACACUUGCAACAUCUAAGACCAUACCCACCACACGAAUUGUGUGUGUUAUAGCUAGUUCAGGAGAUGACAGUACUGCCAGCUUCUCCUUUGUUCUAGGACAAGAUUUCAAUCCUCUGGUUUGAGGCAUCUUUGCUGCAACUGCUCAAAGGACAUAUAGACAAGGUGAAGAACUACAUAAAGUUGCAACGCAAAAUUAACUAUGCAUAUAUCUAUAUGUUCUCCUUUUCUUCCUGCAUGCAUGAUCCAAGUGUGCCGACAUGCCUUUUGUUGCUGCACCUGCAUGACCGAGAUUAUUUCCCAAUUAUGAUGUCUGAACAUGACUUUUCUCUUAUGCCAAAAUUCAGUUCAAACGAUCCAUGGGUUUCAUCAUUAUGCCAUACUUAUUUUUAAAUUAGUUCACCAAUAUAUACCAUGGAGCACUAGUGAGACCCUUUCUUUCCGGCCUACCAGUACCUUGCCUAGCCUUUCCGUUGAUUCAUUAAGAAGACUGGUCUCUUUUAUGCUGAAACUAGACGCAAAACCAUAGAACUUUCUUUUUCUUUUUCAAAAAGGAGGAAGACCCACGGCCUCUGCAUCAUGUGAUGCACACAGCCAUUUAGAACUAGAAACUGGUAAGUUACUUUCAGUUAACUAGCUAGUGGUUUCCGAGAAGUUCAAGAGGAAACUCAUGUCUUUCUUCGAGAAAUAAGUGAACUUGAGAAAAAUUGACCAACACGUUUAUAAAAGAACAGAGCAACCAUAAUUGCCGAUGUGGUUAGACAAUGGCAUGUAGUACUUGGAAUCAGACUCACACCAAUCAAAAGGGUCUCAAAUCUCUAAGCAUUAAGAUUUUUCAGAUAGUCCUAGCUUGGCUUGGUUUUAGUUCAAUCCAAAUUUAACAAUAGCGCUAAUGUACUUAUAUUAAUAUUAUUGCAGUACAUGAUAAUUAAUUAAUGCAUGAGGUUGUGGUUGUGACCAGGCAAGACCAACUUAUGAACUUGCAAGCAUGGCAUUCAGAUUGAUGUGCAGACAACGCCAACAUCAACAUUGUCUAGAUAAAGAUUAAUUUGUAUUUUAUUCCAUAUUUUAAACAGCUACUUUGGNNNNNNNNNNNNNNNNNNNNNNNNNNNNNNNNNNNNNNNNNNNNNNNNNNNNNNNNNNNNNNNNNNNNNNNNNNNNNNNNNNNNNNNNNNNNNNNNNNNNNNNNNNNNNNNNNNNNNNNNNNNNNNNNNNNNNNNNNNNNNNNNNNNNNNNNNNNNNNNNNNNNNNNNNNNNNNNNNNNNNNNNNNNNNNNNNNNNNNNNNNNNNNNNNNNNNNNNNNNNNNNNNNNNNNNNNNNNNNNNNNNNNNNNNNNNNNNNNNNNNNNNNNNNNNNNNNNNNNNNNNNNNNNNNNNNNNNNNNNNNNNNNNGCGACUAAUAAAAUUUUGACCUCUUUUACAAAAAAAGUGGGUUGUCUAGAUAUGCAACUAGAUGAACAAUAUAUAUGACAAUCUUAAGAAGUAACAAGUGCAAGAAAGAGUAAAACACAAGAUAUAAACUUGCAUAACCGAAAUAAUCACAAGUGGAGUCGUGGAGACUGGGAUGUGUUUUCGAAGUUCCCUGCUUUGAAGAGGUACGUAAAUAAUAGAUGGUGUGCUUUUGUUUGUGCUCCACAUGGUGGCAAUUUUAAAUUCAUAUGUUUGUCUCUUCAUUUAUAUAGAAAAAAUAGCAUGUAAAUUUUUAAUCCACAUUUCUUGCCAUCAUGGUACAGAUGCAAAAUUGCCAUGAACUUUUUCUUUUUUGCCAUCAAAAAUUACACAAACAAUAAUUCCCCCAACAACAACAAUUACCGCAACAACAAUUGCGCCAACAACAAAAGUUCCCCCAACUGCAACAAUUCCCCAAGCAACCACAACAACAAUUUCCCAUACCAUACCCACCCCAACAACCAUUCCCCCAGCAACAACAACCUUCCCCACACCAACAACCAACUGGGAGCGAUGUUAUAAGUAUCAGUGGCCGAUGAAAUGAAGAGAUGUAAUACUAGACGGGUGAAUCAUCGUUGUUAGUCAAUUGAGCAUUUAAUGUAACAAUGAUAAAUAAAGUGAUGUGCACCAUCAUGUGUAACCCCGACCUAUACUAGUUCAAACAUGGGGUAAAAGACAAAUAAGUUCUUUUCUAAAGCACAUUGCUGGCAAUUGUUACAUUCAUGCCAUAUUUCGAUUUUCAUCCCUAACUACAAUCUCAAUGUUAUGCGCUAUCUACUUAUUUAUGAAGUGUAGUAUUAUGAACAUAACAUAUUAACGUGUGUGAAACUUGGUUCAAAUUGAUGUACUAUUAACUCGGGAGUAAGGAUUAAUGACAAUUUAAUAUUUCAAUGGAGAGCCACAUGAGUUGUGCAACCUUCUUAUCUGACAUGGAUCUACAUCAAACUAGGUGUUAAUGUUCUCCACAAACUCCAUGUCAGAUUUCAUUGUUCAUUUAUAGUGAGAAUAAUUGAUUACUUAUGCACUUUUCGCCUUUGAUGUUCCACUCACAAAAUAAGUUUAACUACCAACUAUCUCCAAAAACAAUCUUAGCGGGACAAAAAGUAUCCUCUGACAAAUCACGACCCAUCAAACAAGGUUCAAAUUUGAAGGAAAAUGACCCCUUCAACUUGAGUCAAACAAAUAAUUUGCAUACAAUCAACCGAAAUCAUUAUGGGCUUCUUCAGCCCUCCACUCGAUACACACCUACGCAGGGAGUCCACCAUUGCCGCUACCGAACAACAUUUUUGGAGGCGCACAUUAUCACCCAUAAACACAAAAUAAAUCAAAACGCAAUACAAGCCUAAAAGCGGUCAGUUCCUAGGGCCAGAAAAAGCUUGUUGACCUGCAAUUGCACAUGGUUUAUUUUUCACCUAUUUAAGUAUGAGUAUAAAUCCCACAGGGAAUACAUGAAUUGGACUUUGUCCCUAAGAGACACUUAUGGUAAUGUGCCUGCAUAUUAGUUUUUGACACAAAGCAAAGUGAACGCCAAAGAUUAUAAUGACUUCUGAGUUUAGUGCGAACAAAAGUAAAUAAUGCAAAAGAAUUAAAACAGCGCAGCGGAACGAAUAAAGCAGGGAAACCGGUGGAGGAUUGAAGCAUUCUCAAGGACUCCAUAAUUCCCAUUGCAGUGUGUCUAAGGUAACAUAUGCCACUUCAUAAUUCUAAGCUAGAUACUUGAGUCACUCUUGACAUUUGUUAUUGGGCGUAUCCGGGUACAAAAUACGUUCUACUCGAGGUGUACUCCGUACCACGAAGGCCACCACAGAAGCUUCCCCACUCUAGUUCUCACUGCGGUAAUUAAGGGUUUCCCCGUGGAAGCGGCCUUAUCAAGGGUUCUCCGUUAUGCCCCUAUCAGUUGCAAAGGCGAGGUAAAGAGUCUUUUACACUCACCUUGAAUUACCUCAACAUCCUAACCUUUACAACCAUGGUAAUAUGCCUCGUGGCCUUGCGACAGAAAUGGUGAGUGGGGCACCUUCACAAAAUUCAUGAAGGCUAUUGAAAAAAACAUUCAACAGAGAAUAUCACAUCCUUAUUAACAUUUCAGCCUCCUAUACAUACCAUGGUUCAUCCAAAUCCCUGAGAACUGAGGAAACUACUCACACGUUGAGACAUGGAUGAAACAUCGGAUAAUACAUGUAUGGAUCGUACGAAUAGUGGAAAUAGUGGUGGUAAACAUGGUUUAAACACACGGAUAAUACAUGUAUGGAUCCACAAGGUUUCGGUAUUACAAUGGGAAGGAGAUGGAUGAUGCUGACGUCCCCUUGCACGAGCUGGUGGUGAUAGUGAUCUCCUCCUUUCCUUAAAUCUGCAAGCACAUUUAAAACAACAUCUUGGAGAGAACAGGAAAAAAGAAUUGUGCAGACGCGGUAAAAGCUAGCAAAUUUUACUGUGUAGGCGGGCUUGUGAUGGCUGUGGCAGUGUGGAUCUGACUACCGAGUUGUGACAAGUUGUGUGGGGCGAUGGUGGAGGUCCUCCCUCUUCUGAGCGUGAUAUCUGGCGACGGUGGGUUUCGACAGUCCCUCUCACGGGUGUGGAGGCGGGUCAAGGGGCGGUGAGUGUUGGCCGUGGUUUAGGCUGGCACUGGCGGAUCUGGGCAGGGGGAUUCAAUGGAGAGGCGGGGCUGGCAUUGGUGCGACUUCUCAGCGACUGGAGUUGCCGGCUGUUCGGAGCGCCCCCGCCCCUCUUGAUGGGGUGGCGCCCCCCUCGUGCAUAUGUCGGCAGCGGGUCGGUGAUGCAGACUAGCCGCCGGGCAAGGAGUUUGACAUGGUCGUCCUUGUCGGGGUUAGUUGCUCCCCACACAAGUUUUAGUGCUUAGUCGCCUAGGAUUAGGGUUUUUUGACUCUGGGUCGUUGUCGGUCAAGCCAAGGUGAAUGCUUGCAGCUCUGUUGGGGGAGGCACCUCCACACAUUGUAGUGUCGGUGAUGAUUGGUAGAUGUGGUGGUCAGGGCUAUGAUAUGCCGGCUGGUGGACCAGUGCCUCAGUUCACAGACUUGGCAUCUACGCUGGUCUCGACGAUGGUCGUCGGCAGUCACCUAGCGAGGUGACUGAUGCCGGGCUUUACUUGCUGCGAUUUGUGCAUUGUGAAGCGAGCGGGUCUAGGUGGUGCUCGGUGGUGAUGGUUGUGUUAGCAUUGCAUUCGUGCGCGGAUCAGUGCCGGUGAUCGCAAACAUGGCGUGGUGCGAGCUCGCCUGGCCAAGGGCUCGGUGCUGGCUCACCGGCGGUCCCCCUACUCCACCGACCAUUGGCUGGGGAUGCAGGUGUGGGUGCGUCCUAUGGUGGAGGUGCCCAACCAAACUCUUGGACUGAGUCUGGGCUAGGAGUAGAUGGAGUGUCGUCGCUCUUCCUACCAUGGUUGGCUACGUUGUCAUGUGAGCGGCGUAUGGUAUUUCGCAACAAGGAUGCCGGGUUGGCGGCCCCUGAUGGCGGGCCGCAUGAUUGCUCUUUGGCAGCCAUUAUUUCGUUGGUGGUGGCUCCCCUCCUGGGUUGUGGGGGCAACGGGAGGUGUUGCGGUUAGUAGCUCAGACGUGCCCUCUCUCUCGGAGGGGCAGCGUCCUGAUCAAGAUCUGGGGAUCUAACAUCAACGCGCUAGUCCUGAGGACCUCGUGGUGGCACAGGUGAGUUGUCGAGCAAAAGCUCCGUGCCUUGGCGUCGCCGCUGACGACACUCAUGGGUGCCACACUCUUCUUGAAGACGUCGUUGUGGUUCUUCUCUCCGUGUCAGGGCUCCGGGUGUAGAACUUUGUCUGGUGUGGACUCAGCAGGGGCGACGCUGUGCGGAGUUCUCCCACUUGGGGCCGUUGUCGUGGAGCUUAGGUGUGCUAGGUCGUAGCGUGAGGAUGUUUUGUUCUUCCGGUGCUUGUUGCUGGUAGCGUAGAAGCGUGCGUUUUGCAUGUGCCGGACAACUCAGGACCGACUUUGUAAGGUCUACGUGACCAUAUUGUAUCGUUUGGCCGUGUGCAUCUUUGGAUGUUGCUUUGUUUAUAAAGCGGGGCAAAAGCCUAUUUCGAGAACAACGAAAACAACAGCAACAACAAACAAAUCAACAACUUCAGAAUAGUUUAUCUUUUAAAAUUUCACUUGCUUAAUAAACUACAUGCAUAGGACUUUCUACAGUGUUUUAGAGAAGGACAACUACGAUUUGCUAGCUAGCUAGUUAGGUAUUUCAACACAACAUCAACAGGAAGGAGGAGAAGAACUGUUAACAGCCAGGCAGGCAGGUGGAGAGUGGAUGUGUGAGAGUGAGGUCUCUCUGGCUUUUUCCUGUAUGGUACCCCUACUUCCUUCGCUGACAAAGACCUGUUCUGAAUCUGUAAUACUGAUUCACAGUAAUGAUGGUGGAUCGACUAUAUCUUGACUAAUCCAUGUACAACGAAAAUUACUACGUACAUGAUUAAAAAUCCAAGGGUCAAAUCCUGAUCAAUCGAUCCGGCAAAUUCUGCACGAAUCUAGCAUGACAUCAUGUGUGAUUAACAAGAGUUUCAAUUAUAAUUAGCCUCCGAGAAGCAACAUGGAGGAGGAUGUAGUCGUGUUUUUGGCCUUGUUAGAAACUUCGCUUUCCAUCAAUCUGAAAACAAGUGGUAGAGGGCAAAAAAAUUAAAAAAAACAUGUGUAGAGGAUACCGCAACACAUAAAGCCACACACACAAAAACAGCAGUAUGCUAGCUGGUCCAUGACAUUGACAAAUCAAUUGAUUUGCUGCAACCAUAUGUAUGAAUAAUAUCGCCAAGGAUAAGAGAAGGAAAAAAUAUAAAUAUACCGAUAGGCUCUUCUUUUGUUCAUGGAUGCAUGUUGCAUGAGCCAAGUGUAUUGGCAGUAUGGCUUGUGUUUGCUGCAUGAUGGCGGCAGGUUCCCAUUCAGUUAGGCAUGCUAAGUCCUAAAUUCAUUUAUUCACGUAUCAGGUAGAAGUAGAACAAAUUUCAUUUCUUUUCUGUAGGUUCCUUGCUUAAAAGAAAAUAGAAAAAAAUACACUUCUAUAAUUACCAGAAAAAAUCAACUGUAUGUCGCUCAGCCUUCCCUUUUUGUUCCGUAUCAGUAUCAACAAUCAUAGUACUAAUAGCUUUCUAUACUGGCGGUAGUAAAUUCAAUAAAAGAAACCUGGAGACUAUCUGAACAAUUUGAAACAAUAUAUACAAAUUGAGAUCAACUAACGACAAAAAUCCAAAAGAAAUGUUCAUGUCUACGUGGAGUGAAUCGAUCAAGCCGUGCAAAGCCCUAACAAUUCGUUUUGUAUUAAUAACUCAUAUGACAAUACAACCGCUCCAUAUGAAAAUGUAAUAUGAUGAUUCAUGAAUGCUUAUCCAUCUUAUAAAUAUAUUGUGCAAAAAAUAUCGAGUUAGUUCAGAGAAAACGCUGUCUAGAACAAUCUUCACAUUAAUAGUGUGAUCUAUCUCAACGACUCACACAAGAUUACAUAGUUUGUUCCCUUAAGUAUGCCAAUCUGGAUACGCCUAACAAUAUGUAGAACAUGACAAACUAAAUCAGAACAAGGGACAAAAUCUAGAUCAAUGUUUGAAGUGUAAAGUGAAUACGAUGAGUCAUUUGUCGUUAUCAAGCAUUCCAUACACCUAGAUGAUAUGUGCAAGAACAAUCAACUAUGACGAAUAAUCCAAAAUCACGAUAGUAAGUAGUACCAUAAAACACGACAUACCAAAUUAUUGUAAAUGAUAAGCUUAAGAGCACUUUUUCAAGAAGCACGUGUAAAGAUUACAAACUUAGUUCCCUUAAGUUAUGCCAAUCUGGAUACACCUAACAACAUGUAGAACAUCACAAACUAAAUCGGAAAGACGGACAAAAUCUAGAUCAAUGUUUGAAGUGUAAAGUGAAUACGAUGAGUCAUUCAUCGUGAUCAAGCAUUCGAUACAGCCAGAUGAUAUGUGCAAGAACAAUCAACUAUGAUGAACAAUCCAAAAUCAUGCUAGGAAGUAGUGCCACCAAACACAACAUAUCAAAUUAUUAGGUCGAUAAUCGUAAGUGCACUUUUUCAAGAAAAGAGUGGGAAGAUGAAAACAAAAUAUGUCAUGCCUGCUAUAAAUACGACUACACCAUGUGGGUCUCUUCCAUCAUCUAACCUUCAAACACCUAAAGCAAAAACACCAAAGCCAAGUGAGCAAUAGUAAACACAAAUCAAACAUGAAGACCUUCAUCAUAUUUGUCCUCCUUGCUAUGGUGAUGAGCAUCGCCAGUGCCACUAGGCAACUAAGCCCUAGAAGCAAGGAGUUGCAAACACCACAAGAACAAUUCCCCCAACAGCAAUUUCCUCAACCACAACAAAUCCUCCAACAACAAUUCCCCCAACAACAACAAAUCCCCCAGCAACCGCAACAAUUCCCCCAACAACAAAUCCCGCAACAGCAAAUCCCGCAACAACAAAUCCCCCAACAACAACNNNNNNNNNNNNNNNNNNNNNNNNNNNNNNNNNNNNNNNNNNNNNNNNNNNNNNNNNNNNNNNNNNNNNNNNNNNNNNNNNNNNNNNNNNNNNNNNNNNNNNNNNNNNNNNNNNNNNNNNNNNNNNNNNNNNNNNNNNNNNNNNNNNNNNNNNNNNNNNNNNNNNNNNNNNNNNNNNNNNNNNNNNNNNNNNNNNNNNNNNNNNNNNNNNNNNNNNNNNNNNNNNNNNNNNNNNNNNNNNNNNNNNNNNNNNNNNNNNNNNNNNNNNNNNNNNNNNNNNNNNNNNNNNNNNNNNNNNNNNNNNNNNNNNNNNNNNNNNNNNNNNNNNNNNNNNNNNNNNNNNNNNNNNNNNNNNNNNNNNNNNNNNNNNNNNNNNNNNNNNNNNNNNNNNNNNNNNNNNNNNNNNNNNNNNNNNNNNNNNNNNNNNNNNNNNNNNNNNNNNNNNNNNNNNNNNNNNNNNNNNNNNNNNNNNNNNNNNNNNNNNNNNNNNNNNNNNNNNNNNNNNNNNNNNNNNNNNNNNNNNNNNNNNNNNNNNNNNNNNNNNNNNNNNNNNNNNNNNNNNNNNNNNNNNNNNNNNNNNNNNNNNNNNNNNNNNNNNNNNNNNNNNNNNNNNNNNNNNNNNNNNNNNNNNNNNNNNNNNNNNNNNNNNNNNNNNNNNNNNNNNNNNNNNNNNNNNNNNNNNNNNNNNNNNNNNNNNNNNNNNNNNNNNNNNNNNNNNNNNNNNNNNNNNNNNNNNNNNNNNNNNNNNNNNNNNNNNNNNNNNNNNNNNNNNNNNNNNNNNNNNNNNNNNNNNNNNNNNNNNNNNNNNNNNNNNNNNNNNNNNNNNNNNNNNNNNNNNNNNNNNNNNNNNNNNNNNNNNNNNNNNNNNNNNNNNNNNNNNNNNNNNNNNNNNNNNNNNNNNNNNNNNNNNNNNNNNNNNNNNNNNNNNNNNNNNNNNNNNNNNNNNNNNNNNNNNNNNNNNNNNNNNNNNNNNNNNNNNNNNNNNNNNNNNNNNNNNNNNNNNNNNNNNNNNNNNNNNNNNNNNNNNNNNNNNNNNNNNNNNNNNNNNNNNNNNNNNNNNNNNNNNNNNNNNNNNNNNNNNNNNNNNNNNNNNNNNNNNNNNNNNNNNNNNNNNNNNNNNNNNNNNNNNNNNNNNNNNNNNNNNNNNNNNNNNNNNNNNNNNNNNNNNNNNNNNNNNNNNNNNNNNNNNNNNNNNNNNNNNNNNNNNNNNNNNNNNNNNNNNNACAACAAUUCCCCCAACAACCACAACAACAAUUCCCCCAACAACAAUUUCCCAUACCAUACCCACCCCAACAACAAUCACAAGAAGCUUCCCCAUACCAACAAUACCACAACAACAACUAUCUGGGAGCGACGUUAUAAGUAUCAGUGGCCGAUGAAAUGAAGAGAUGUAAUACUAGACAGGUGAAUCAUCGUUGUUAGUCAAUGGAGCAUAAUGUAACGGGUAUAAAUAAAAUGAUGUGCACCAUCAUGUGUAACCCCGACCUGUACUAGUUCAAACAUGGGAAUAAAAGACAAAUAAGUUCUUUUCUGAAGCACAUUGCUGGCAAUUGUUAUAUUCAUGCCAUAUUUCGAUUUCCAUCGCUAACUACAAUCUCAAUGUUAUGGUCUAUCUACUUAUUUAUGAAGUGUAGUACUAUGAACAUAACAUAAUUAACAUGUCUGAAAAUUGGGUCAAAUUGAAGUACUAUUAAUUCAAGAGUAAGGAGUAAUUACAAUUUAACAUUUCAAUGGAGAGCUCUAAUUGUAGACUGCGUUGUUAAUUCCCCGAAGAGGAGAGGAUGAUGUAGUAUAGUAGAGAUAAGUAUUUCCCUCAGCUAAGAACCAAGGUUAUUAAUCCAGUAGGAGAACCACACAAAACCUCGUUAGCAGCACCUGCACACACAACAGCAAACACUUGCACCCAACGCAAAUAAGAGGGUUGUCAAUCCUCUUAGCGAUUAUUUGCAAGGAUUAGUUCUGACAGUGAUACAUAGAUAAAAUAAAUUACUAAAUAAAAUAAAAAUAAAUAAAUUGCNNNNNNNNNNNNNNNNNNNNNNNNNNNNNNNNNNNNNNNNNNNNNNNNNNNNNNNNNNNNNNNNNNNNNNNNNNNNNNNNNNNNNNNNNNNNNNNNNNNNNNNNNNNNNNNNNNNNNNNNNNNNNNNNNNNNNNNNNNNNNNNNNNNNNNNNNNNNNNNNNNNNNNNNCAGAGUUUUCACUAGAGGAUUCUCUCUUGAUCAUAGAGCAUAUGGUGGGUAAACACAUUACUGUUGGGCAAGCUAUUAUAUACUAAAAGGAAAAUAUUGGUCCAAAAUAGAGAAUAGGCUAGAAAAUCCGGCGUUAAUUAGAAAAUAUGAACCCUUGAUCCGUUUAAUUUUAAAAAUUAUAAAUCUAUGACCGUUCAAUAUACGUAACAAGGUAGGGCGUGGAUAACUUCCCGCGUAACGUGACACAUGUAAGAAACACAAACAUGGGUCCAGUUAAGGCAAACACGUAGAUGUGUUGAAGUGGGAAUGAAUAGAAUUGCUACGUCCGAAUAUGCAAGAGAUAUAAAAGAAGAAGAAAACUAAAGAACAUGUCGUGUUCAGAUUGGACUAAACGUAUGUGCGUAUACAACCACAACCACAAUCCGAAAGGUCCAGCCAUUAAUCCCGUGGGUCCAUCCAAAACAAAAGGUGGAUAUCCAUCUAAUUGCCCCACGUCCAUGGAACAUACUUAUUAGAGUCCACAAACAACAGCUGCUGGUCUCUUUUACAUGAUCCUCCUUGCACUGUUAGGACUUUGCCGUCGGACAUCCCAAAGUUCUUGUGAAGUUCACAUCUAAAAAUACUAUCAUAAUAAAAAAAAUCCAUUUCAUACUCCAGGAAAGAUAUCACCGUCCCAAAGUUUCAAUUGCAAUCUAAGUUUUGCCACAACUGGGUAUUUAAAGCUUAUUUUGCCAUAGCCAGGCAAUUUCAGCCACUAAGGUUUUUGUGGCAGAUCAAGCAUCUUCCCAUUGGAAACUCCCAACUGUAAAAAGACCAGCAAAUUAGCAAUCAUUGGCAAAUCAGCAAUCUUAUAGCGGCAGCAGCUCCCAUCAAUCAGGCAACUCAUCUUUCAAAAAUCAGAGACAAUAAGCAACCAUACACAUCAUGGACAUAUGAUAUUAACGAUAAUUACAUAUGUGAUUUCUGUGUUGAAUUUCGUACAACAUCACCAUGAAGAGAAGCGCAUCCACAUGGCAAGUAAUUUCCAAAAGCCGCCAAGAAGGUGAAAAGCAAUCAAAUAUGCAAUCCAACAAGUUAAUUAUUAAGCUAUAGACCAUGCAUGUUUCAGUGGUGCAUACAAGAUCAGUAGAACAAAUUCCUAGCCGUUACGACAUUCAUCAGGGAGGCGAGGACUGUGAAGCGAGGGGUUGCGAGCUGGAGGGAAUGGCGGCACACCCCGUGUCUCAGCCGAGAGAGGAGAGGCCGGGGAUAGAAUUAAGAGAGACACGAGAGAUGACAGAUGAUAGGCUAGGGAUCGUUGGGCGUUCUCACAUAUUGCGUGGAGGUGGUUAGCUAAAUGGGGCAGCACAAAGGCCCAGUCAACCGCAGGUGGCAGAGUUUUCUCCCAGUGCAGCAGCCCUUUAGGACAGUUGAGCCAAGAAAUAUAAUUACAAAAUUAGGGAUUCAUCCAAUAGUCAGAAAUGAUCUAUACAAGUGAUCUGAUAGUUACAAAUGUUGAAUGCUUGAGAGAGCUGGGAUAAGGCUAGGUUUUACUGUCCUAAAUGUAUUAGAUAUGUAGAAUCUGACAGUUAUUAAAGUUUAAUUGUCCUUCGAAACAAACUAUGGCUAAUCACCACUACGCUAAUUACUUUUUACAAUUGUUGAACAUGAAUGGGGGUUAGGGGGGCGUAACACUGCUGAUGAGGGUCCCAACCCCGAAAAAGGUGGAGGGUGCAUGAUCAAAUUAACAUCUAACACUAACAUGCAAUACCUUUUAAGUUCUUAUAUUGAUUCAAUCGCAAAAGGGAGAAAUGAAACAAAAGUAGGCAGCGGGACCUGGAAGUCAACAGAGGAAACAGAAGGGUAUGCUCAUCGUGUGGAAUCGUUUGUGGGGGCGAGCUGAGUAAACAGAGGAAGGUGAUCGAAUGACGUCUCAGGUUUAUUUGUUUACUGAACAGACAGACAUGUGUAAGUUUUUUUUCCCUUUGAGGGGAAAGACGUGUGUAACUAGGGAGAGAUGAUUUUGCACGUUCUGUAUUUUUUUCCACCAGAAAACAGAUACUACUUUAACAAAUAAAUCCUACACUAAAUAUUUUAUAUGCUGCAAAUUACAGGCCACAUACGCAUGAGCCUAAAUUAUAGGCGACUAUUUCAUAGGGUGAAAGUAAACAAAAUAGAAAAUCUUAUAGGCGACAUAAGCAUGAACCUAAAUUAUAUAUUUUAUAUGCUGCAAAUUAUUUUAAAAACAUGUGAAAAUAUAGUGCAUGAUCAUCAGACCAAAAACUCUAGCCUGUACAAAACACUCAUAUUUAGACGUAUAUUUCAUAUGGAGCUGCCAAUUCAUAUCAAUCCGGCACUACAACAGUAACACUAUCGUGCAGCCGCUUAAGUCAAAUCUAAGGUUAAAGCUAAUCAACACAAAAUAUCCAAUGUAAAAGGAAUUACUUAUACUAAAAAAUAUAAAAUAUACCUAAGAGUGCGAACAAUGACGAAUAUUUACUAUAAGAGUGCUAGCCCUCGCAUUUGCGAGGGCCACCUUGCUAGUUGAUAAAAAACAAAUAAUUAUGAUGGAUUCAUGGCAAUGAUCAUGUAUAUAGGCAUCACGUUCGAGACAAGUAGACCGACUCCCGUCUGCAUCUACUACUAUUACUCCACCCAUCGACCACUAUCCAGCAUGCAUCCAGAGUAUUAGGUAUAAAACAGAGUGACGCCUUAAGUACGAUGACAUGAUGUAGAUAAAGUAAAUUCAAGAAAUAUGAUUAAACCCCAUCUUUUUAUCCUUAAUUGUCAGCCCAUUGGCUGUUAUUUUCCCCGAUCUGACCGUCCGCGACGCUCCUGUUGUUCGCAACGCUACCGCUACGACUGCGGGAGCAUGUCAUUUUCGUUAUACAUGUAACCCAAAAAUAUCUCUAACAUUAAUGACAACAAUACAAAUACGUGUUAUGUCCGUUUUUGUCACUGGGAUUGAGCAAUGCAAGAUUGAAUCCAUCACAAAGCACCUCUCCCCAUUGCAAGAUAAACCAAUCUAGUUGGCCAAACCAAAUCGAUAGAUCAGGGAGAAAUAUAAAGCUAAAAUAAUCACGCAUAAAAGAGCUCAGAGAAGACUCAAAUAUUUCUCAUGAAUCAUAUGAUCAUAAACUCACGAUUCAUUGGAUCCCAACAAACACACCGGAAAAGAAGAUUACAUCGGAUAGAACUCCAAGAACAUCGGGGAUAACUUUGUAUUGAAUAUCAAAGAGAGAGAAGAAGCCAUUUAGCUAUUGGCUAUGGACCCAUAGGUGUGUGGUAAAAUACUCACACAUCAUCGGAAGGACAGCAUUGUUUAUGUGGAAGCCCUUCGUGAUCGAUUCCCCCUCCGGCAGAGUACUGGAAAAGGCCUCCAGACGGGAUCGCGGAAGAACAGAGGCUUGCGGCGGCGAAAAAGUUUUGUCAUCUAUCUCUCUGGUGGUUAUGGAAUAUUUGUGAAUUUAUAGUGGAAGAAUUAGGUCAGGAGGUGCCACGAGGGGGCCAUAAGCCUAGGGGCGCGGUGAUACGUCCAUUUUGCAUCAUGUUUUAUUACGGUUAUUUAUUAAGUUUUGAGCCAAUAUAACACUUCAUGGAGUAUUUCUAAUGCCUUUUCUCUCUUAAUCUGCAAGGUUUACACAAAGAGGGAGAAUACCGGCAGCUGGAUUUCAGGGCCUGAAAAAGCUACAUCAGAGAUCCCUAUUCUGCACAUCUCCAAAUGGGCUGAAAAUUCACGAAGAUUUAUUUUAGAAUAUAAAAAAAAUACUGGGCCAAAGAUCCACGGGAGGAGGCCACCCAGGUGCCCACACAACAAUAGGGCGCGCCCCACCCCUGGGGCGCGCCCUGAUGCUGUAUGAGGCCCCUGGCCCACUUCAGCCCCCCUCCUUCUGGUAUAUAAGUCAUUUUACCAUAAAAUAUUUAUGGGGAGACUUUCAGGACGAGGCGCCGCCGCCACGAGGCGGAACUAGAGCAGGAGAAAUUUGGCUCUCCGGCGGGCAGAUUCCGCCGGGGAUACUUCCCUCCGGGAGCUGGAAAUCAAAGCUUACGCCAUCACUAACAACCCUCUCAUCGUGGGAGGGCCAAUCUUCAUCAUCAUAAACCACAACACCAUCUCAUCUCUAUCCCUAGUUCAUAUCUUGUAUUCGAUCUCUGUGUCAAAACAUUAGAUUGGUACUUGUGUUUGACUAGUAGUGUUGAUUACUUAUCGUAGUUGAUGCUAGUGGAUUUGUUUGGUGAAUUACCAAAUGUUCUGAUCGUGCAUCCAAAUUAUAUCCUCUCUGAUCAUGAACAUGAUGAUGAUGUGUGAGUAGUUACUUUUAUUCUUGAGGACAUGGGAGAAGUCUUGUCAUUAGUAAUCAUGUGAUUCCACUGGUAGAAAACUGGGCUUUGGUCACAGGGCAAUAUUCACAUUAGUCCCGGUGCAGUCACGAACGGGGACUAAUGUGAGCAUUGGUCCCGGUUCGUGCGGCCAGGGGCCUGCCGGGCCUCGUGGGGGCAUUGGUCCCGGUUCGUCCGGCCCCUUUGGUCCCGGUUGGUGGGACAAACCGGGACCAAUGGGCCACGCUCCUGGCCCACCACCCUUUAGUCCCGGUUCAUACCACAAACCGGGACUAAAGGGCUGGUCCUAGUUGCGGCCAGUGUUUAGUCCCUCCUCGCCAACCGAAGGGCGCUCACACCAGUUUAUAAGCCCGUCCCUCUCUGCCUUGUUGAGCUUCUCUUAAAGUGAAAAUAGAUGCCCUUAUACAGGGAAUUUGACCUAAAUUCACAGUAAAUUUCAUAGAAAUUUGUUAUGAAUUUAGGUUUAAUUUUCUCUAUAAGCGCAUCUAUGUUCAUUUUUUAUAUUUAUAAAAUAAAUAAACAUUAAUAAAAUAAAUAAAACUAAAUAAACCUUAAUAAAAUAAAAUAAAAUAAACUAUAGUAACUACAAUAAAUAAACCUUAAUAAAUUAAGUAAAAAUAGCAGCAGUAAAAUAAAUAAAAAUAGCAGCAGUAAAAUAAAUAAAAAUAAAAUAAUUAAAGUAAAAUACAUAAGUAAUUAUAAAUAAAAUAAAUAAGUUUUUUGUUGUAAGUAGAACAAAACAAAACAAAUAAAGCAAAAGAGAAAAAAAACAGAGGAACAAAAUUAUGCCACCUACUGGGCCACCACGGCCUGAAUACGACUAGAAACCCAUCCAUGGGCCAGGAUUCANNNNNNNNNNNNNNNNNNNNNNNNNNNNNNNNNNNNNNNNNNNNNNNNNNNNNNNNNNNNNNNNNNNNNNNNNNNNNNNNNNNNNNNNNNNNNNNNNNNNNNNNNNNNNNNNNNNNNNNNNNNNNNNNNNNNNNNNNNNNNNNNNNNNNNNNNAAAAAAUUAUGCCACCUACUGGGCCACCACGGCCUGAAUACGACUAGAAACCCAUCCAUGGGCCAGGAUUCAGGCCCGCAGAAGGCCCAGUAGGCCCCACAGGCAAAGAGAACAGUUAGGCCCGAAAGCCUGCAGUUGAGAGGAGUUCGAGAGGGUGGGCGCAGCAGCGCUUAUAAACCACUCUCGAGCUCUCUCAACUAGCGAGGUGGGACUAAACUUUUGACGCGGGGCAGCACAAGGCCUUUGGUCCCGGUUGGUGCCACCAACCGGGACUAAAGGAGGCAUUGGUCCCGGUUCGUGGCACCAACCGGGACAAAGGCCUUUAGUCCCGGUUGGUGCCACGAACCGGGACCACCGAGUUCCCUAUAUACCCCAUCGCCACAGCAGAGCACUCCAGAGUGCUCUGUUUUUUCUGGCCGCGAGGGGAGGGCAUUUGGGUGCUCUAGCUCACCUCCUAUGCACAUGAGGUGUUCGAUGAAAUGUCUGAGCCACACUAGUUAAUCUUUGUCCUCUCGAAACUCGACCUCCGAGCUCCAUUUUCCCCGAGAUUUGUCUAGGUUUAGCGGUCCGUCACGUCCCGUCCCCGUCUUCACCGCCGUCGAUCGCCCGCGCCGAUCUCGUCGCCAGCACCACCGUGGUGAGCCUCUUGUUCUUAUCUUCUUUCUGAAAGGAAAAAAAUUCUUACUUUAGAUAGUUACUUGUCUAAUUUUGUUACUUUUAUUAUUCCUUCUUAUUACAUAGUGCGAUGGUUUUGGUAUCCGCCCCCGUCGGCCCUCAUCCUGUCUAUGAUUCGGAUGUGGUAUAUAUUAUCUUUUUAUAACUAUUUGGUUCAUUUACUGUUUAUGACAAAUAUACCGACCAACGUGACAUAGAUUUUAUUUAUCUAGGAGGUGGUUGAACCGGAAAUUCUAACCGACCCUAUUGUUGAGAGGUUAAAUUUAGUUGAAGAAGAAAACAAUUAUUUGAAGGAAAAAAUAAAAAAAAUUGAGGAGGAGAAGAUGAUAUUGGAGUGGCAUGUUGCGGAUGUCGUCGAUGAUCACAAGAUCAAGAUGGAUGCAAUGCGCUUAAAGAUUAGAAAGAUUAGAAAAUAUGCCAUUCAUACUGAGGCUUGGUAUCAUUAUGCCAUUGGAUCAAUUGUUACCUUGGUUGCGAUUAUGAUCGCAUUUGUUUUCGCAUUGAAAUGUUUUACAUAGUUUCAAUGUAUGGUUUAAUUAAUUAGAUGCUCUGGAGAGCUAUAUAUAUGUUGUUAGAUGAGAACUAUGUAUGUACUUUGGUUUUAAUGUGAUGAUGAACUUCUAUUAAUUUGGUCACUUAAUUAUCUAUUCAUGAUGUUCUGUAAUGGUUUUUGACACACUUAAUUAUAUAUAAUGCACGCAGAUGAACCGGCAAUGGAUGUACGAUGACAGACACACCUCCGAGUACAUUAAGGGCGUGCAUGAUUUUCUCGAAGUGGCUGAGGCAAACAAGCAGAAUGGUUUUAUGUGUUGUCCAUGCCCUAUAUGUGGGAAUACGAAGUCUUACUCUGACCGGAAAAUCCUUCACACCCACCUGCUUUACAAGGGUUUCAUGCCACACUAUAAUGUUUGGACGAGGCACGGAGAAAUAGGGCUUACGAUGGAAGACGGUGAAGAAGAAGAGGAUGAUGACAACUAUGUGCCCCCUGAAUACGGUGAUGCUGCAACGGGGGAAGCUGCUGAAGAUCAAGAGGAACCAGACGAUGUGCCCAAUGAUGCUGCAAGGGGGGAAGCUGCUGAAGAUCAAGAGGAACCAGUGCCCGAUGAUGAUGAUCUCCGCCGGGUGAUAGUCGAUGCAAGGACGCAAUGCAAAAGUCAAAAGGAGAAGCUGAAGAUCGAUCGCAUGUUAGAGGAUCACAAAAAAGGGUUGUACCCCAAUUGCGAAGAUGGCAACACAAAGCUCGGUACCGUACUGGAAUUGCUGCAGUGGAAGGCAGAGAAUGUUGUGCCUGACAAAGGGUUUGAGAAGCUAUUGAAAAUAUUGAAGAAGAAGCUUCCAAAGGAUAACGAAUUGCCCGACAGUACAUACGCAGCAAAGAAGGUCGUAUGCCCUCUAGGAUUGGAGGUGCAGAAGAUACAUGCAUGCCCUAAUGACUGCAUCCUCUACCGCGGUGCGUACAAGGAUCUGAACGCAUGCCCGGUAUGCGGUGCAUUGCGAUAUAAGAUCAGACGAGAUGACUCUGGUGAUGUUGACGGCGAGCCCCCCAGGAAGAGGGUUCCUGCGAAGGUGAUGUGGUAUGCUUCUAUAAUACCACGGUUGAAAUGUCUGUUCAGAAACGAAGAGCAUGCCAAGUUGAUGCGAUGGCACAGUGGGGACCGUAAGAAAGACGGGAAGUUGAGAGCACCCGCCGACGGGUCGCAGUGGAGAAAAAUCGAGAGAAAGUACUGGGCUGAGUUUGCAGCUGACCCAAGGAACGUAUGGUUUGGUUUAAGCGCGGAUGGCAUUAAUCCUUUCGGGGAGCAGAGCAGCAAUCACAGCACCUGGCCCAUGACUCUAUGUAUGUAUAACGUUCCUCCUUGGAUGUGCAUGAAGCAGAAGUUCAUUAUGAUGCCAGUUCUCAUCCAAGGCCCUAAGCAACCCGGCAACGACAUUGAUGUGUACCUAAGGCCAUUAGUUGAAGAACUUUUACAGCUGUGGAAUGGAAACGGUGUACGUACGUGGGAUGAGCACAAAAAGGAGGAAUUUAACCUGCACGCGUUGCUGUUUGUAACCAUCAACGAUUGGCCCGCUCUCAGUAACCUUUCAGGACAGACAAACAAGGGAUAGCACGCAUGCACGCACUGUUUAGAUGACACUGAAAGUAUAUACCUGGACAAAAGCAGGAAGAAUGUGUACCUGGGCCACCGUCGAUUUCUUCCGACAAACCAUCAAUGUCGAAAGAAAGGCAAGCAUUUCAAAGGCGAGGCAGAUCAGCGGAAGAAGCCCGCCAUGCGUACCGGUGAUCACGUACUUGCUAUGGUCAAUGAUUUACACGUAAUCUUUUGAAAGGGUCCCGGCGGACUAGCUGUUCCGAAUGACGCUGAGGGACACGCACCCAUCUGGAAGAAGAAAUCUAUAUUUUGGGACCUACCCUGCUGGAAAGAGCUAGAGGUCCGCUCUUCAAUCGACGUGAUGCACGUGACGAAGAACCUUUGCGUGAACCUGCUAGGCUUCUUGGGCGUGUAUGGGAAGACAAAAGAUACACCUGAGGCACGGGAGGACCUGCAAUGUUUGCACGAAAAAGACGGCAUGCCUCCGAAGCAGUAUGAAGGUCCUGCCAGCUACGCUCUUACGAAAGAAGAGAAAGAAAUCUUCUUUGAAUGCCUGCUCAGUAUGAAGGUCCCGACUGGCUUCUCGUCGAAUAUAAAGGGAAUAAUAAAUAUGCCAGAGAAAAAGUUCCAGAACCUAAAGUCUCAUGACUACCACGUGAUUAUGACGCAACUGCUUCCGGUUGCAUUGAGGGGGCUUCUACCAGAAAACGUCCGAUUAGCCAUUGUGAAGCUAUGUGCAUUCCUCAAUGCAAUCUCUCAGAAGGUGAUCGAUCCAGAAAUCAUACCAAUGCUAAGGAGUGAUGUGGCGCAAUGUCUUGUCAGUUUCGAGCUGGUGUUCCCGCCAUCCUUCUUCAAUAUCAUGACGCACGUCCUAGUUCAUCUAGUCGACGAGAUUGUCAUUCUGGGGCCCGUAUUUCUACACAAUAUGUUCCCCUUUGAGAGGUUCACGGGAGUCCUAAAGAAAUAUGUCUGUAACCGCGCUAGGCCAGAAGGAAGCAUCUCCAUGGGCCAUCAAACAGAGGAUGUCAUUGGGUUUUGUGUUGACUUCAUUCCUGGCCUUAGGAAGAUAGGUCUCCCUAAAUCGCGGUAUGAGGGGAGACUGACUGGAAAAGGCACGCUUGGAGGGGACUCAAUAAUAUGCAGGGACGGAUAUUGUUGGUCUCAAGCACACUACACAGUUCUACAGAACUCUACCUUGGUGACCCCGUAUGUCGAUGAACACAAGAACAGUCUGCGCUCCAAACACCCGGAGCAGUGUGACGACUGGAUUACAUGUGAACACAUCAGGACUUUCAGCAGUUGGUUGGAAACACGUCUCAUAGGUGACACCACUGUUUGUGUUGAGUUGUACUCAUUGUCCAGGGGACCAUCUUCGACUGUAUUGACUUACAAAGGAUACGAGAUAAAUGGGAAUACAUUUUACACGAUCGCCCAAGAUCAAAAGAGCACCAACCAAAACAGCGGUGUCCGCUUUGAUGCAGCAACCGAGAGGGGAAAGGACACAUAUUAUGGUUACAUAAUGGACAUAUGGGAACUUGACUACGGACAUGAUUUUAAGGUCCCUUUGUUUAAGUGCAAAUGGGUCAAUCUGUCAGGAGGUGGGGUACAGGUAGACCCACAGUACGGAAUGACAACAGUGGAUCUGAACAAUCUUGGGUACACUGAUGAACCGUUCGUCCUAGCCAAUGAUGUGGCACGGGUUAUCUAUGUGAAGGACAUGUCUACCAGACCGAGGAAAAGAAAAGAUAAGGAAGCGAAUACAUCAUACGAUGAGCCAAAGCGCCACAUAGUUCUUUCAGGAAAAAGGGACAUUGUGGGAGUGGAGGGCAAGACAGACAUGUCUGAAGAUUAUGAAAAGUUUCAUGAAAUUCCUCCCUUCAAAGUCAAGGCUGACCCAAGCAUCCUGAUAAACGAUGAAGAUUAUCCAUGGUUAUGGCGCAAUAAGCCAAUGACACAAGCGAAGAAAAAGUGAAGACUUUCUCCCGCAACUAUUAUGAUGAUACCAUGCCAACUUUGUAAUAGACGAGUAUGAUACCAUUGUCCGUUUUGUACAAGAAGUGCAUCUAGUUUUUUGCCGUAACCCUCUCAACUUUCUUGCACAUGCUGUGUGGAUGAAAUGAUGAUACCAUGCCAACUUUCAAUCUUUUCAGAGUUCAUUUGAAAUGCUUUUCAAUUAGUAAAUGCAUGAAAAAUAACAGGCCAAAAAUUAAAAAUUAUGCCACCUACUGGGCCACCACGGCCUGAAUACGAUUAGAAACCCAUCCAUGGGCCAGGAUUCAGGCCCGCAGAAGGCCCAGUAGGCCCACAGGCAUGUACAGAGAGGUUAGGCCCGUAAGCCUGCUUUAGAGAGGAGCUCGACAGCUCAGGCGCACCGCACCUUAUAAAUAGGUGCGGCUCUCUCUUAGCUAGCGAGGUGGGACUAAACUCACCACCACGCCGCUGUGCAAGGCCAUUGGUCCCGGUUGGUGGCACGAACCGGGACCAAUUCCACCCUUUGGUCCCUGUUGGUGCCACGAACCGGUACUAAUGAGGCUGUGGCCCCACGAGCACCUUUAGUACCUGUUCGUGGCACGAACCGGUACUAGAGUUUCUUACUAAGCAGUUUUUUAGUCCCACCUCGCUAGCUGAGAGGCACUAGGAGCGGUUUAUAAGCCCUGAGUGCAGAGACAAUGAAGAAGAGGCGCAAUGCUCACGUUGCUUAGCUUCAAGCCUUGAGGAAUAAGGUAGACUGCAUCGAGCUAUGUGCAGUGCAGUCUACACUAUUCCAAAAGGCUUGAAGCAAAUCAACGAGCAUUGCGCCUCUUUUUUAUUUUUAAUAACUUAUUACAACUCCGGACUUCUUGUGUUCCGACAAAAUAAAAUGAACUUUAAUAAAAUUUAUGAAACUAAAAUUAACAAAGUAUUUUACGUUCAAAACAUUAUAAGAAACCUCUAUUAUUAUUGAAACUAAAAUCAUAUAAAAUUGAUGCAACUAAAAUUAUUGAAGUAUUUUCUGUUCAAAAUCAUUAAAAGCAAAAAGAAUUUUCAUAAAGAACUUUUUUUGAUCGAAACUUUAAUAGCAAAAAGAAUUAUCAUAAAGUAAAAUAAAUAAGUAAUUAGAAACAAAAUAAAAUAAAAUAAAUAAGUUUUUUGUUGUAAGUAGAAACAAAACAAAAUAAAUAUAGCAAAAAAGAAAACAAAAAAACUAAAUACAGCAAAAAGAAUUUUCAUAAAGAACUAAUGGCACUAAUAGAAAGUNNNNNNNNNNNNNNNNNNNNNNNNNNNNNNNNNNNNNNNNNNNNNNNNNNNNNNNNNNNNNNNNNNNNNNNNNNNNNNNNNNNNNNNNNNNNNNNNNNNNNNNNNNNNNNNNNNNNNNNNNNNNNNNNNNNNNNNNNNNNNNNNNNNNNNNNNNNNNNNNNNNNNNNNNNNNNNNNNNNNNNNNNNNNNNNNNNNNNNNNNNNNNNNNNNNNNNNNNNNNNNNNNNNNNNNNNNNNNNNNNNNNNNNNNNNNNNNNNNNNNNNNNNNNNNNNNNNNNNNNNNNNNNNNNNNNNNNNNNNNNNNNNNNNNNNNNNNNNNNNNNNNNNNNNNNNNNNNNNNNNNNNNNNNNNNNNNNNNNNNNNNNNNNNNNNNNNNNNNNNNNNNNNNNNNNNNNNNNNNNNNNNNNNNNNNNNNNNNNNNNNNNNNNNNNNNNNNNNNNNNNNNNNNNNNNNNNNNNNNNNNNNNNNNNNNNNNNNNNNNNNNNNNNNNNNNNNNNNNNNNNNNNNNNNNNNNNNNNNNNNNNNNNNNNNNNNNNNNNNNNNNNNNNNNNNNNNNNNNNNNNNNNNNNNNNNNNNNNNNNNNNNNNNNNNNNNNNNNNNNNNNNNNNNNNNNNNNNNNNNNNNNNNNNNNNNNNNNNNNNNNNNNNNNNNNNNNNNNNNNNNNNNNNNNNNNNNNNNNNNNNNNNNNNNNNNNNNNNNNNNNNNNNNNNNNNNNNNNNNNNNNNNNNNNNNNNNNNNNNNNNNNNNNNNNNNNNNNNNNNNNNNNNNNNNNNNNNNNNNNNNNNNNNNNNNNNNNNNNNNNNNNNNNNNNNNNNNNNNNNNNNNNNNNNNNNNNNNNNNNNNNNNNNNNNNNNNNNNNNNNNNNNNNNNNNNNNNNNNNNNNNNNNNNNNNNNNNNNNNNNNNNNNNNNNNNNNNNNNNNNNNNNNNNNNNNNNNNNNNNNNNNNNNNNNNNNNNNNNNNNNNNNNNNNNNNNNNNNNNNNNNNNNNNNNGCCGCCCCUGCCUCGACGCCGCCCCUCCUCCCCGUUCGGUCUGGCUCCGGCGACCCCCUUUCCUCCCUGUCCCCUCGAUCCUCUUCAUAUAAUUUGUUCAUAUAUUUUUUUUCAUAUAAUUUUUUUCAUAUGCAUAUGUUGAUUAUAUGGAUGGAUGGAUGAUGUAUAUGUUCAUUAUAUGGAUGGAUGGAUGAUGUAUGCUUUUUUUCAUAUAAUUUUUAGGCAGAUUUUUAGAAUUUUUUGUGUAUGUAUGUUAUGUUUAUAUGUAUGUAUGUAUGUAUGUUCAUAUGUAUGUAUGUUUAUAUGCAAAGCAUAUGCAAAGAAAAUGUAUGAAUGGUCAUAUGCAAAGAAAAAAUGUAUGUAUGGUCAUAUGCAAAGAAAAUGUAUGUAUGUAUGUUCAUAUGAAAGAAAAAUGUAUGGAUGUAUGUUCAUAUGCAUAUGCAAAGAAAAUGUAUGUUCAUAUAUAUGAUGAUAUGUUCAUAUAAAAAGGAAAAUAAGAAGAGGAAGAAAGGAGAAGAAGAGGAGAGGAAGAAGAGGAGAAAUAAAUAAGAAGAGGAAAAAAGAAGAAAAAGAAGAGGAGAAGAAGAAAGGAAUAGAAGAGAAGAAGAAAAAAUAGAAAAAAUUCUAUUUUUUCUUCUUCUCUCCUCUAUUCCUUUCUUCUUCUCCUCUUUUUUUUCUUCUUUUUUUUCUUCGAUCUUCUCCUCUAUUCCUUUUCUUCUUCUCCUCUUUUUNNNNNNNNNNNNNNNNNNNNNNNNNNNNNNNNNNNNNNNNNNNNNNNNNNNNNNNNNNNNNNNNNNNNNNNNNNNNNNNNNNNNNNNNNNNNNNNNNNNNNNNNNNNNNNNNNNNNNNNNNNNNNNNNNNNNNNNNNNNNNNNNNNNNNNNNNAUAUACCCCUCUCCCGAUAACUUCAACACGAGGGGGGGUCGAUAUACCCCCUCCCCGCCGAUAAUAUUAUUUUCCCAUGCACGUAUGUCGUCGUUGUCGAUAUAACCCCCUCCCGAUAACUUCAACACGUGGGGGGGGGUCGAUAUACCCCCUCCCCGAUAACAUUAUUUUCCCAUGUAUGUAUGUCGUCGUUGUCGAUAUAUAUAACUCCCUCCCAGAUAACUUCGACAUGAUGGACGGUCGAUAUUUAUACUCCCUCUCGACCGUGAUAACUUAUACCACGGGAGCACCCCCUAGCCCUCUCGCUCGACCAAAACUCUCGAGGACACCCAAACCCUAGAAAAAACUAUGUCGGUCUCCUACCCCCUCCCGCCGCGCCCCUACCCUUGAAGCGUUGCCUAGGCCACCCCAAACCCGGAAUAAGCUAGGUCUACGUUUGCACUAAUAUAUCCACCUGCUGUCAUGUUUGUGUAAUAAUUGCCAUGUUGUAAUAUUUGCAGAAACAAUGGAGCACGGACGAGAUGAGCAAGCAGAAGAGGUGUUGGGGGACAUAAUCUUAGCCGGAGGUGAUAUCUUGUCGUAUCUUAACGACAAUGAUGGUCUGGAAGAACAGGGUGAAGAAGCAGGCUACGGUGAUUGAAGAGUGGAGGAGGAAAGACAUGAUUAUGAUGGCUCCGGUGACCCAAUGCUGGUGCAAGAAGGAGCCCGUGGUGACGGCUCCGGUGACCGAACAGAGUCCGGCCAGGUAAAUAUAUUAGUUAAGCCUGUGCUGACUAGCUAAUUGAUGCAUUCAUUGUUUUGGUAUGUACAUAUAUUAAUUAACACUCGUCUUUCUUCUUUUUUCUAGCCCUCCGGAUCGAGCACAACUGCGGUAAAGAGACGAGGCCCGAAGAGAAAGUUGCGCUCGGAUGAAAGGUUUGAGAUCACAGCAAUCGCGCGCGACGGCCAACCGAUUGAACCCAUCCGGACAAAGGAUGCAUUUGCUGCUCAGUGCGGGAUUCUAGUUAGGGACAAGAUCCCGAUCAGCAUCCACCAAUGGUAUAAGCCUAAGAAGGAAGACCCUGAGGUGUCUUAUGUCAAUGAUAUGCAGAAAGAUGAUCUUUGGACUGAUCUGAAGGCAAAUUUCACCCUACCGCCAGAGGAGGAUUCGGAGAAGCCAGUUAUAGAGCAAUUAAUCAAGUCUCAUGCUCUUAAGAAGAUGGCAGACCUAUUCAGGAGGUGGAAGAAUGAGCUGAAAACGUUUGUCGACAAACAAGAGACACCAGAAUUCAUCGGCCGGUAUGAGAAGAUCAGAGAUCACUGGCCCGCAUUUGUGGCCCACAAGACAUCGGAAAAGAGUAAGAAGAUGUCAGCGACAAACAAGAAGAAUGCUGCGAAGAAGAAGCUUCACCAUCGCACGGGGUCAGGUGGCUACCUCAAAGCCCGACCUAAGUGGGCAAAGGCUGAGAAUGAUCUGCUUGAAAAAGGGAUCGAACCACAGACAAUGAACUGGACAGACUGUUGCCGGACUUGGUUCUUCGGGGCUGGCGGAACCUUGGACCCUGUAUCAGGGAGGUGUGUUUGGACGAACGAGCUUUUGAGAAUACUAGUCAAGAAGAUUCGGCAAUAUAUCGAUGCAGCGCAGGAAGGGACGUUCGUUCCAGACAGAGAGAACAACGAGCUCACAAUGGCCCUCGGGAAUCCUGAGCACCCUAGACGGACACGAGGCAUGCCAGGCUCCGUUCCGUGGAAGGCUGGUUUUCCGGACGCAGGCGGUUACAAAAGCCAGGAGAGGAGGAAAAAAGUGGAGCAGAUCCAAAUUCAGAAGCUGCACGAAAGGGUUCAAGCGCUAGAGGAACGAGACGGCAAUCGACAUGCCGAAACUGCCCCCGAAGCUACACCGCCAUCUCAGCGGAGAAGCAGCAUGGCUUCCACCGAGCUGCUUCAGCUGGAGCAUGCGGCUCCUGCUAGCUACCCCGUGGAUGCUAUCACGGAGUCUCAACAUUGCCACCUUAUGGCGGAAUGGCAGAACUUCAAAGUCAAGGCAGCGGUUGGCUCUGUUUUACCUCCUGAACCCGGCGCAACCUACCACUGCCGGCCGAUUCCAGAAGGAUAUGCUAGGGUGAUGGUUGAUGAAAUAACGGAGGGAUUUGAGGAGCUCCAGCUUGACCACCCUACCGGUGAAGGGGAGACUUGGCUGGGUUCUGCUCUGAAGACUCCAUGCCUAUGGCGGAAGGAGCUCAUCAAGCUUCCGAACUCGACGGCUCCGGCGAGUAAGGGCACUCCGCCUCCUCCUCCGCCUCCUCCUCCGGCGAGUGAUCAGGGCACUCAGCCUCCUUCUCCGGCGCGUGACGGCACUCCGCCUCCUUCUCCGCCAGCGCCGGCGCCCCAGAGCAGCCAGCCUCCUCCUUCUCCGCCUCGUCAGCAAGGGCGGAAGAGACCCGCCACCGCUGCGGCUGCUCCGGCGCGUCGUAGUCCUUCUCCUCCGCCUCGUAAGCAAGGAAAGAAGACAGUCGCAGCCGCUCCGUCUGCUCUGUCGGCGUCUAGCAGUACAGCUGCCAGAGGCGGGAGGCAAUACAGAUUCGGUCCUUCUCUGAAGACUCCAGAGAAGUUACCAUACGAUAGGACCGAGGAGGAAACCAGGAAGAUCGUGCGAGCCGAAGUGACAAACUUCUUUGAAGGGGUGAAUGCAAAGAAACAUCCACCUCCGGAGGAGAAGGUAGAUCCGGUGAAAGUAAAGCGCACUCUGGCUGCCUUGACAAAACCACCAAAGUCUCCGCCGAGAGGCCACUAUGAGCGCAUUCUUGCAAAGACAUAUGCCGAAGCGGAGCGGUCGGGAAGUACUGUUAGUGAUAAAAGGUUAAAAGAACGACGAGCUGGCAAAAAAAUUGCCCAGCUCGGCGAACAAGCGAACCAAUCGUGCCCCCCGCUCAAGGUGUCAAAAGACAUCGUCGCUAAUGAUCCGAGUAUGGUGCCCGGUUAUAGCAAUCUUGGAGAUUACCUGCCCGACGAUGUACAUUAUGAAAUCAUGGAGGUGGACGAACACAAAUACCAUUACGGGAAGCCUCUCGUCAAAGAUGAAAGAUCUCUAACAACGAUGAUGCGAAGACUACAUGAUUGGUACAUGAAAACCUGCAGAGAGUCUGAUGGGAUGGAUAAUUUGACGCUGAGAGUUAAACCGGAGCAUGACCUCAUUGGAAUUGAUCUGCUGAAUGUUCCAUUUGAGGAUUUCUUCCAGUUUUACAAUCAAAAGGCCCUCAAUAAAACAACGAUCACUUGCUACUGUCUGUAAGUAGUACUACUUCUGUCAUUAAGUCUCUCUAUAUAGGUCAGCUCUUUCAUUGCAUGUAUUUAUACUUAUCCUCACUAUAUUAUGCAGAUUGAAGAUCGCCGAAUUGAAGAAAAGACAAAUCGGUGAUAUUGGGUUCAUUAACACAAAUCUCAUAUAUGCAUAUACGGUUGAAAAACAUCCAAAGAAGCCGAGGCCAACUUGCUACAAUCGUUGGUAUUAAAUCAAAACAAAGAUAUAAUACUCUUUCCUUACAACUUCAAGUGAGUGUUACUGUCUUGUGCAUAUUCGGUUUCCCUUAUUAGUCCAGGUUAUGGUAAUGUAAUUGAUGACUUAUGCAUGCAUGCGCAGCUUCCACUAUAUUCUCCUAGAGAUUAAGCUUGAGCAGGGAGUAGUAACCGUCUUAGACUCGAGACGAAAAGAUCCCUAGGACUAUGAGAACAUGACUCAAAUGCUCGAGAAGUAAGUUAAAUCGAUCAUUAUCCACCAUAUCAGCAACUUUGUUCAUUUCAUAAUAUCAAGUAAUUGUUUUCUUUGUCUGGCAGGGUUUGGAGAAAAUUCACCUCAAAAGCUCCGGGACUGCCGAAGAAGCUGCAAUUUAAUCACCCGAAAGUAAGUACUAUAGUAGCAUGUUCCGCGCAUCUCCUAGUGAUUCAAGCGCUAGUUUCUUCAAUACCAUUUAGCAUGCUUGCUUAUCAAUUUGAUUGACCUCUAUUUCUUGUAAAGUGGUUGUGGCAGGAAACCGGGAAUAAUUACUGUGGAUACUACGUUUGCGAGUCCAUCCGCUACACGACCUGUGAGCGGGGCUACACUGAAGAACAAUAUGAAGUGCGUAAGCAAUAAUAUUCACAAUUUUAUUUUAUUACCAUCAUUUGUGUUGAGUUUCAUUUAUUCAUAUAUAUAUAUAUAUAUAUAUAUAUGUAUUGACCCCCUUCUUCAAAUUAGAUGUUUCGGAAGCGGGAUGAACUCCUAGCACCAGAUCGUAUGCGAGGAAUUCAAGAGGAAUUGGCGGCAUUCUUCCUUGACCACGUGAUCGCUGAAAACGGAGAAUACUAUGUGGACCUUGUGUUCCUACAAUUUAAUUAGGAGAUUGUAUUGUAAGAGAUAAUUAUUGUAUAUAUGUAGCCGGUAGUGUCGGAUAGAUAUACGAGAACUUGUUGUUCGACCAAUAUCUCGGAGAAGGAGAGGUGGUCGAUAUCACUUCUCUCUGUAUGCAUAUGUUCAUGACGAUCUUCUGUUUCCUUCAUUUGAUUACUAGCUAGCGUGUCUACUCCUCUCCAUACGUAUAUAGUAUGUAGCGUCGACCAAGCACGGAGAUAAGAGAGGACACUUCUCUCUAUUAAUUAGCUAGCUAACACAAUAUAUGAAACACCUAAAUUAACCCCCCAAAACCCCUAAACCACCCCCUUUCAAAAAAAACAAAAACCUCAGCUCCUGCCAGCUGCUGACGCGUGGAUGCCUAUUGGUCCCGGUUGGUGACACCAACCGGGACAAAAGGCCCUGCCUAUUGGUCCCGGUUGGUGCCGGCCCCCUGCCUGGGCUGGCAGCAGCGGCCACGUGGAGGACCUUCUGUCCCGGUUCGUGUAAGAACCGGGACUAAAGGGGGGAGGCAUUAGUAACGACCCUUUAGUCCCGGUUCGAGAACCGGGACAAAAGGCCCUUACAAACCGGGGUAAAAGCCCCUUUUCCUACUAGUGUUCCGGUAUUCGUUCAAUAUUUUGAUGAUAUGUAUGUUGUGAUUCUCUUAGUGGUGUCAUGUGAACGUCGACUACAUGACACUUCACCAUUGAUGGGCCUAAGGGAACUCAUUGUGGAGUAGUAAUUAGAUGAUGGGUUGCUAGAGUGACAGAAGCUUAAACCCCAGUUUAUGCACUAUUCCGUAAGGGGCUGAUUUGGAUCCACUAGUUUAAUGCUAUGGUUAGACUUUGUCUUAAUUCUUUUUUCUUAGUUGCGGAUAUCGGUGUCAAAACCGACAGAUCUCGGGUAGGGGGUCCCAAGUUGUGGGUCUAGGAUCAAUAGGUAACGGUGACGAUGAACACGGUGUUUUACCCAGGUUCGGGCCCUCUUGAUGGACAAUUUUUUUUAAAAAAAAAAUUUAGAAAUAUUUUUUUCAAUUUUUUUUUCAUUUUUUCUUAAUCUCGGGUCACUAUGGCUUAAUCUCGAGUCAAUAUGAUUAAUCUCAAGUCAAAUCGCACUAAGUGGUCAAACUUCCCGGAAGGUCACCCAUCCUCACACUACUCCAGCCCGAGCACGCUUAACUUCACAGUUCUAUCCAACCCCAGCACCACCUCACUCAACAGGCACUUGUUGAUAUAUCUACCAUAUCAAUCCUAUUAAACCUUGUUGAUGUCUAGGACUUUGUUCAUGUUCAUGAGUAUGAUAAAAUUUUGAAAAAUAUUUCAAACUUCCCGGUCAUAUCACGUAUCAUUUUUUGAAAAAAAAUUCCAAGAAAAAAUUCAACACCAAUUUUUUUUCUGUUACUAGUGGCGCACCUAGCAAACGGUGCGCCACUAGUAAGUUUGAAAUUUUUUGAAUUUUUUUGCCUCUAGAUCUUGAAAGCCCCGUAACUUUUUUUCUGUUAGGUUUUUGAGGAUUUUGAAAAUGUUUAACGGGGUUCCCCCGAUUAAAUUCGGAUGUAACUUUUCGAGUAGAUGAUUUUUCAUACAAAAAACUUUUUAAUCCGAGUUCGUAUGCAAAAGUUAUGCCCAUUUUACAAAUUCCAGAGAGAUUUUGCAAAUAAAGUUGAAAUUCAUAUUUGUAAAUUUUCCCAACAACUAGACCACAUAUCACAUGGGAAACUUAUUUUCUUUUAUUUUUUUAACAUUUCCAUUAUUUUCUUUUAUUUUUUUAAAACUGAAAAGGCGGUCCAUGAGGGGGUGCAUUCGGUGGAAUUUUUGGGUCAAGUUAGUAAUGGCGCACCGUGGGAGUGGUGCGCCAUUACUAGUUCAACUAGUAAUGGCGCAACACUCCCAUGGUGCGCCAUUACUAGUUUUGAAAAAAAAUAAAAAAAAUUUGAAAAAAAAUUUGAAUUUUUUUUACUAGUGGCGCACCGUGGAUGUGGUGCGCCAUUACUAGUUUAACUAGUAAUGGCGCACUAUCCCCUGGUGCGCCAUUACUAGUUUUGGAAAAAAAAUAAAAAAAUUUGAAAAAAAAAUUACUAGUGGCGCACCGUGGAUGUGGUGCGCCAUUACUAGUUUAACUAGUAAUGGCGCACUAUCCCCUGGUGCGCCAUUACUAGUUUUGAAAAAAAAUAAAAAAAAUGUUACUAGUGGCGCACAGUGGAUGUGGUGCGCCAUUAGUAUUUGGACACUAAUGGUGCGCCAUUAGUAUAUAGUAGUGGUGCACCACAUGUCUGGUGCGCCAUUAGUGUCCAUAUGAUCUAUAGCCCUUUUCCUAGUAGUGUUAGGGGUAUGAUCAGUAAUGUCAUAAUGAUGAUAAUAAUCUAUCGACUAGCCUGGCCUCGGCUUAUAUAAUGUACCAGAGGCCUAUGAUAACAAGACUCCUAGUUGGCUAUGUUGGUGGAGAGGAGUCCUUGUCUUGAUCAUCAAGUCUUGUGGAAUCUUCCCUGUAUAUGUCAUCGGUUGUCCGAACUGGCCCAUUAGUGAGGUCCUCGGCCCGACCCACUGGUCGGGAGACAACGUGGUGAGUACCCCCUAGUUCAGGACACCGUCAGCGGAUGCUUGCGAGAGGGGGUAAUCAUAAGUGGGAGGCUUGUUCAAGUAAGAACAACACCCAAGCACCGGUCCACCCACAUAUCAAAUCAUCAAAGUAGCGAAAGCGAACCGAAUGAACAUGAUGAAAGUGACUAGAUGAAAUUCCCGUGUGUCCUCAAGAACGCUUUUCUCAUUAUAAGUACUAGUUCUGGCCUGUCCUUUGCACUAAAAAGGAUUGGGAUAUCUUGCUGCACUUUAUUUACAUUUGUCACUUGCUACUCGUUACCAAUUAUCUUGCUAUCAGACUACUCGCUACCGCUUGUUUCAGUGUUUGCAAAAAUAUCGUUAUUGAAAACCGCAAGUCAUUUCCUUCUGCUGCUCGUUGGGUUCGACACUCUUACUUAUCGAAAGGACUAUGAUUGAUCCCCUAUACUUGUGUGUCAUCACGGGGCCACCCACCUGGGGUGCUCCCUCCCUAGCUUAUCACUCCCUCGAGACUCCUCGGGUCUUCCCCGAAGCUUCCAGGGUCUCUUUUGGUCCAGAAAACUUAAUCCAAUGUUUUUCUGUGUUUGUACCUUUUUUAUAAUGAUAUUAUAAAAUGAUAAAAACAAGCAAAAAAAUAACAACUGGCACUAGGCACUACGUUAAUAGGUUAGUCCCAAAAAAUGAUACAAAAAUAGCACAAAGUUGCAUAUAAAACAUCAAAGAUUGCUAAUAUAAUAGCACGAAACAAUAAAACAUUACAGAUAGGAGGCGUAUCAAGCAUCCCCAAGCUUAAUUCUUGCUCUUCCUCGAGUAGGUAAAUGAUAAAAACAAAAAAUUUGAUGUGGAAUGCUACCUAACAUGUUUCAUCAUGUAAUCUCUCUUACGGUAUGAAUAAUAAGAUCCGAAUGAUUCAAAGCAAUAGUCUAUAAUUUGAUAUAAAGACAUCAAUACUCAGGCAUACUAACAAACAAUCAUGCCUUUCAAAAUAACGAUGCUAACCCAAGUUAUCCCUACAAAAUCAUAUAAUCCUAUCAUGCUCCAUCUUCUUAACACAAAGUAUUUAUGAUGCACUACCCCAAUGACAAUCCAGGCAAUUGGUUCAUACUUCUUAACGUGCUUCAGCUUUUUCAACCCCCACGCAAUACAUGACGGCAAGCCAAGGACAUAACACUAUGGAUGGAAUAGAACAUGAUGAUAGAGAUCAAUAAGGGGAAAUCAAAAAUAAGAAGAUGGUCUCACAUCAAUGCGGCUAACAAACGGGCUAUAGAGAUGCCCAUCAAUUGAUGUCAAUGCAAGGAGUAGGGAUUGCCAUGCAACGAAUGCACUAAGAAGGCACCCAAGGUAAUAUCCAAGGAGACUCAAGCGUCGAAGCCUGGGGAUGCCCCGGAAGGCAUCCCCUCUUUCUUCUAAUGACUAUCGGUAACGCACUUGAGGCUACAUUUUUAUUCAUCACAUGAUAUGAGUUUUUCUUGGAGCGUCUUGUAUGAUAUGAGUCUUUGCUUUGUUUAUUUUUAGUAUAUCACAAUCAUCACCUCUGAACGCAUUUGCUUGAGAUAGCUUCAUGUCAUCAUGAUUUGCUUGAAUUGCCCUUUGUGCUUCACUUAAAUUUGUUGAGCUAGGUGGUUGCUCUAGUGCUUCAUUUAUAUCUUUUUUUAACACGGUGGUGCUUUUGUUUUGAAGAAACUUGUUCUCAUGCUUCACUUAUAUCUUUUUGAGAAUGCUAGAAAUUUUAUAAAAAUAUUAGUCUCAUGCUUCACUUAUAUCUUUUUGAGAGUUUGAAAUUAGUUAUGGUAAAAUGUACAGCUAUAAGCUUGGUCUCCAUAUGAUGAAUAUUCAAGAAGGAUAAUGAUAACUAGUAUAAAAAAUUUAUGGGACUUCAAAAACUUGAUUCUUUGCAACAAUUUUGAGAUAUGUAGAUGAUAAUACGUGAGUUAUGUUCAUGAAUAAUUAUACUCUAGUAUGAAUAUUGAUGUUAAGGUUUAUGAUUCCCUAUGCAAGCACGUAAAGUCAAUAGUUAUGCAAUGAAGUUACAUCCUACUUGUGGUGCAUUAUUCGGUGUUGGUUAUGUUUUCUGUAUGCAUGUGCAUCAUUACAAUUUCUUAGUUGGUCGCUUCUCAACCAUUUUGCUAGCCUCCAUUCGUACUAAGCGGGAAUACUGCUUGUGCAUCCAUUACCUUAAACUUGUUUUGCCAAUUGUGUCCAUCAUACCUACAUAUAUACGGUAUUUCAUUGCCGUCCCAAGUAAAUUUGCAUGUGCCAUCUCUAAUAAUUUUCAAAAUAAACUUCUCUUUUGUGUGCCUGUAUUGCUCAUGAAGUGAUAAGGGGUGGACGAUGAAUUCCGUGUUGUAUAUGUCAUUUUCAUGAUGAGUGUUUAUUCACUUGUCAUUGCACGAGAGUGUGGCGGUAAUAAAAGGGAUGCCCAGUCCCAAAAAUAAAUUGAAUUUCCUGGAAUAUGUUGUUAUGGAGGGCACCCGUGAAUACGGCUAGACAUGGAUUGUGAAAGGAAAGGUGGAAAAACUAACUCCUUCGGAUGUGAAUGGAAAAAAGGGACAAAAGUCUCAAAACCAUGGAACGAUGACAGGGAGCAAAAAAUUUCUUUUCAGUUUGGGAGCCGCCUAUGAUGUAUAUAACGUGGAAGGUAAGGAAAGCCUUGAGUCGCUGUCGUUGACGAGAAAACCAGGCCUCCCAAAAUAAAUUUUUUAUCUCUUUUUAAAACUUGAGGUCUGGCACCACUGUAAAUCAAUGCUUCCCUCUGCGAAGGUCGUUCUAUUUAUUUUUAUGUUGAGUCUCAUCCUUCUCAUUAAAAACCAACUAGGGGGUCAUGUGAUCAUGUGUGUGCAUGGAGUAUGAUUGACACUCGACUGUGUUUCAUAAAUCGAUCAAUGGUUGAGCAUAAUGGGCUAGGGAUAAUUUUCUUUAGCAUUGUUAUUUUGAAAGGCAUGGUUGCGUGUUAGCAUUGGAGGGGGUAUAUAUAGCCACAUCAUUGGUCCCGGUUCGUGGCUGGAACCGGGACUAAAGGCCACCCUUCUGUCCUGGUUCUAGGCACGAACCGGGACCAAUGGCUGUGGGCUAGGAGCGAGGACCAUUGGUCCCAUUCGUGCCUAGAACCGGGACAAAUGGGUCCACACGAACCGGGACAAAUGCCUCCCGAGGCCCGGCCGGCCCCCUGGGCGCACGAACCGGGACGUAUGACCCCCAUGGGUCCCGGUUCGUGACUGAACCGGGACUAAUGGGCUGGCCAGGCCCCAACCAAAGCCCUGUUUUCUACUAGUGAGGGGCGAUGCUCUGCGGAGUUCUCCCUCUUGGGGGCGUUGUCGUGGAGCUUAGGUGUGCUAGGUCGUAGCGUGAGCAUGUUUUGUUCUUCUGGUACUUGUUGUUGGUAGCGUAGAAGCAUGCGUUUUGCAUGUGCCGGAUAUCUCAGGAUCGACUUUGUAAGGGCUACCAAACCAUAUUGUAUCAUUUGACCAUGUACAUCUUUGGAUAUUGCUUUGUUUAUAAAGCGGGGAAAAGCCUAUUUCGAGAACAACGAAAACAACAACAACAACAGCAAACAGAUCAACAACUUCAGAAUAGUUUUUCUUUUAAAAUUUCACUUGCUUAAUUAACUACAUGCAUAGGACUUUCUACAGUGUUUUAGAGAACAACAACUACGAUUUGCCUGCUAGCUAGCUAGUUAGGUAUUUCAACACAACAUCAACAGCAAGGAGAAGGAGAAGAACUGUUAACAACCAGGCAGGCAGGUGGAGAGUGAGUGUGUGAGAGUGAGGUCUCUCUGGCUCUUUCCUGUAUGGCUACUCCUACUUCCUUCGCUGACAAAGUCCUGUUCUGAAUCCGUAAUACUGAUUCACAGUAAUGAUGGUGGAUCGACUAUACCUUGACUAAUCCAUGUACAACAAAAAUUACUACGUACAUGAUUAAAAAUCCAAGGGUCAAAUCCUGAUCAAUCGAUCUGGCAAAUUCUGCAUGAAUCUAGCAUGACAUCAAGUGUGAUUAACAGGAGUUUCAAUUAUAAUUAGCCUCCGAGAAGCUACAUGGAGGAGGAUGUAGUCGUGUUUUGUGGCCUUGUCAGAAACUUCGCUUUCCUUCAAUCUGAAAACAAGUGGUAGAGGGUAAAAGAAUGAAAAAAAACAUGUGUAGAGGAUAAGCAACACAUAAAGGCCACACACACAAAAACAGGGGUAUGCUAGCUGGUCCAUGACAUUGACAAGUCAAUUGAUUUGCUGCAACCAUAUAUAUGAAGUGUAGUAUUAUGAACAUGUGUGUGAAACUUGGUUCAAAUUGAUGUACUAUUAACUCGGGAGUAAGGAUUAAUGACAAUUUAAUAUUUCAAUGGAGAGCCACAUGAGUUGUGCAACCUUCUUAUCUGACAUGGAUCUACAUCAAACUAGGUGUUAAUGUUCUCCACAAACUCCAUGUCAGAUUUCAUUGUUCAUUUAUAGUGAGAAUAAUUGAUUACUUAUGCACUUUUCGCCUUUGAUGUUCCACUCACAAAAUAAGUUUAACUACCAACUAUCUCCAAAAACAAUCUUAGCGGGACAAAAAGUAUCCUCUGACAAAUCACGACCCAUCAAACAAGGUUCAAAUUUGAAGGAAAAUGACCCCUUCAACUUGAGUCAAACAAAUAAUUUGCAUACAAUCAACCGAAAUCAUUAUGGGCUUCUUCAGCCCUCCACUCGAUACACACCUACGCAGGGAGUCCACCAUUGUCGCUACCGAACAACAUUUUUGGAGGCGCACAUUAUCACCCAUAAACACAAAAUAAAUCAAAACGCAAUACAAGCCUAAAAGCGGUCAGUUCCUAGGGCCAGAAAAAGCUUGUUGACCUGCAAUUGCACAUGGUUUAUUUUUCACCUAUUUAAGUAUGAGUAUAAAUCCCACAGGGAAUACAUGAAUUGGACUUUGUCCCUAAGAGACACUUAUGGUAAUGUGCCUGCAUAUUAGUUUUCGACACAAAGCAAAGUGAACGCCAAAGAUUAUAAUGACUUUUGAGUUUAGUGCGAACAAAAGUAAAUAAUGCAAAAGAAUUAAAAGAGUGCAGCGGAACGAAUAAAGCAGGGAAACCGGUGGAGGAUUGAAGCAUUCUCAAGGACUCCAUAAUUCCCAUUGCAGUGUGUCUAAGGUAACAUAUGCCACUUCAUAAUUCUAAGCUAGAUACUUGAGUCACUCUUGAAAUUUGUUAUUGGGCGUAUCUGGGUACAAAAUACGUUCUACUCGAGGUGUACUCCGUACCACGAAGGCCACCACGGAAGCUUCCCCACUCUGGUUCUCACUGCGGUAAUUAAGGGUUUCCCCGUGGAAGCGGCCUUAUCAAGGGUUCUCCGUUAUGCCCCUAUCAGUUGCAAAGGCGAGGUAGAGAGUCUUUUACACUCACCUUGAAUUACCUCAACAUCCUAACCUUUACAACCAUGGUAAUAUGCCUCGUGUCCUUGCGACAGAAAUGGUGAGUGGGGCACCUUCACAAAAUUCAUGAAGGCUAUUGAAAAAACAUUCAACAGAGAAUAUCACAUCCUUAUUAACAUUUCAGCCUCCUAUACAUACCAUGGUUCAUCCAUAUCCCUGAGAACUGAGGAAACUACUCACACGUUGAGACAUGGAUGAAACAUCGGAUAAUACAUGUAUGGAUCGUACGAAUAGUGGAUAUAGCGGUGGUAAACAUGGUUUAAACACACGGAUAAUACAUGUAUGGAUCCACAAGGUUUUGGUAUUACAAUGGGAAGGAGAUGGAUGAUGCUGACGUCCCCUUGCACGAGCUGGUGGUGAUAGUGAUCUCCUCCUUUCCUUAAAUCUGCAAGCACAUUUAAAACAACAUCUUGGAGAGAACAGGAAAAAAGAAUUGUGCAGACGCGGUAAAAGCUAGCAAAUUUUACUGUGUAGGCGGGCUUGUGAUGGCUGUGGCAGUGUGGAUCUGACUACCGAGUUGUGACAAGCUGUGUGGGGCGAUGGUGGCGGUCCUCCCUCUUCUGAGCGUGAUAGCUGGCGACGGUGGGUUUCGACAGUCCCUCUCACGGGUGUGGAGGCGGGUCAAGGGGCGGUGAGUGUUGGCCGUGGUUUAGGCUGGCACUGGCGGAUCUGGGCAGGGGGAUUCAAUGGAGAGGCGGGGCUGGCAUUGGUGCGACUUCUCAGCGAGUAGAGUUGCCGGCUGUUCGGAGCGCCCCCACACAAGUUUUAGUGCUUAGUCGCCUUGGAUUAGGGUUUUUUGACUCUGGGUCGUUGUCGGUCAAGCCAAGGUGAAUGCUUGCAGCUCGGUUGGGGGAGGCACCUCCACACAUUGUAGUGUCGGUGAUGAUUGGUAGAUGUGGUGGUCAGGGCUAUGAUAUGCCGGCUGGUGGACCAGUGCCACAGUUCGCAGACUUGGCAUCUACGCACUGAUGCCAGGCUUUACUUGCUGCGAUUUGUGCAUUGUGAAGCGAGCGGGUCUAGGUGGUGCUCAGUGGUGAUGGUUGUGUUAGCAUUGCAUUCGUGCGCGGAUCAGUGCCGGUGAUCGCAAACAUGGCGUGGUGCGAGCUCGCCUGGCCAAGGGCUCGGUGCUGGCUCGCCGGCGGUCCCCCUACUCCACCGACCAUUGGCUGGGGAUGCAGGUGUGGGUGCGUCCUACGGUGGAGGUGCCCAACCAAACUCUUGGACCGAGUCUGGGCUAGGAGUAGAUGGAGUGUUGUCGCUCUUCCUACCAUGGUUGGCUACGUUGUCAUGUGAGCGGCGUAUGGUAUUUCGCGACAAGGAUGCCGGGUUGGCGGCCCCUGAUGGCGGGCCGCAUGAUUGCUCUUUGGCAGGCAUUAUUUCGUUGGUGGUGGCUCCCCUCCUGGGUUGUGGGGGCAACGGGAGGUGUUGCGGUUAGUAGCUCAGACGUGCCCUCUCUCUAGGAGGGGCAGUGUCCUGAUCAAGAUCUGGGGAUCUAACAUCAACGCGCUAGUCCUGAGGACCUCGUGGUGGCACAGGUGAGUUCUCGAGCAAAAGCUCCGUGCCUUGGCGUCGCCGCCAACGACACUCAUGGGUGCCGCACUCUUCUUGAAGACGUCGUUGUGGUUCUUCUCUCCGUGUCAGGGCUCCGGGUGUAGACCUUUGUCUGGUGUGGACUCAGCAGGGGCGACGCUGUGCAGAGUUCUCCCUCUUGGGGCCGUUGUCGUGGAGCUUAGGUGUGCUAGGUCGUAGCGUGAGGAUGUUUUGUUCUUCCGGUGCUUGUUGCCGGUAGCGUAGAAGCGUGCGUUUUGCAUGUGCCGAACAACUCAGGACCGACUUUGUAAGGUCUACGUGACCAUAUUGUAUCAUUUGGCCGUGUGCAUCUUUGGAUGUUGCUUUGUUUAUAAAGCGGGGCAAAAGCCUAUUUCGACAACAACGAAAACAACAGCAACAACAAACAAAUCAACAACUUCAGAAUAGUUUAUCUUUUAAAAUUUCACUUGCUUAAUUAACAACAUGCAUAGGACUUUCUAAAGUGUUUUAGAGAAGGACAACUACGAUUUGCUAGCUAGCUAGUUAGGUAUUUCAACACACCAUUAACAGCAAGGAGAAGGAGAAGAACUGUUAACUGCCAGGCAGGCAGGUGGAGAGUGGGUGUGUGAGAGUAAGUCUCUCUGGCUUUUUCCUGUAUGGCUACUCCUACUUCCAUCGCUGACAAAGACCUGUUCUGAAUCUGUAAUACUGAUUCACAGUAAUGAUGGUGGAUCGACUAUAUCUUGACUAAUCCAUGUACAACGAAAAUUACUACGUACAUGAUUAAAAAUCCAAGGGUCAAAUCCUGCUCAAUCGAUCCGGCAAAUUCUGCACGAAUCUAGCAUGACAUCAUGUGUGAUUAACAGGAGUUUCAAUUAUAAUUAGCCUCCGAGAAGCUACAUGGAGGAGGAUGUUGUCGUGUUUUUGGCCUUGUCAGAAACUUCGCUUUCCAUCAAUCUGAAAACAAGUGGUAGAGGGCAAAAAAAAAUAAAAAAACAUGUGUAGAGGAUACCGCAACACAUAAAGCCACACACACAAAAACAGCAGUAUGCUAGCUGGUCCAUGACAUUGACAAAUCAAUUGAUUUGCUGCAACCAUAUGUACGAAUAAUAUCGCCAAGGAUAAGAGAAGGAGAAAAAAAUAUAAAUAUACCGAUAGGCUCUUCUUUUGUUCAUGGAUGCAUGUUGCAUGAGCCAAGUGUAUUGGCAGUAUGGCUUGUGUUUGCUGCAUGAUGGCGGCAGGUUCCCAUUCAGUUAGGCAUGCUAAGUCCUAAAUUCAUUUAUUCACGUAUCGGGUAGAAGGAGAACAAAUUUCAUUUCUUUUCUGUAGGUUCCUUGCUUAAAAGAAAAUAGAAAAAAAGACACUUCUAUAAUUACCAGAAAAAAUCAACUGUAUGUCGCUCAGUCUUCCCUUUUUGUUCGGUAUCAGUACCAACAAUCAUAGUACUAAUAGCUUUCUAUACUGGCGGUAGUAAAUUCAAUAAAAGAAACCUGGAGACUAUCUGAACAAUUUGAAACAAUAUGUACAAACUGAGAUCAACUAACGACAGAAAUCCAAAAGAAAUGUUCAUGUCUACGUGGAGUGAAUCGAUCAAGCCGUGCAAAGCCCUAACAAUUCGUUUUGUAUUAAUAACUCAUAUGACAAUACAACCGCUCCAUAUGAAAAGGUAAUAUGAUGAUUCAUGAAUGCUUAUCCAUCUUAUAAAUAUAUUGUGCAAAAAAUAUCGAGUUAGUUCAGAGAAAACGAUGUCUAGAACAAUCUUCACAUUAAUAGUGUGAUCUAUCUCAAUGACUCACACAAGAUUACAUAGUUUGUUCCCUUAAGUAUGGCAAUCUGGAUACGCCUAACAAUAUGUAGAACAUGACAAACUAAAUCAGAACAAGGGACAAAAUCCAGAUCAAUGUUUGAAGUGUAAAGUGAAUACGAUGAGUCAUUUGUCGUUAUCAAGCAUUCCAUACACCUAGAUGAUAUGUGCAAGAACAAUCAACUAUGACGAACAAUCCAAAAUCAUGAUAGUAAGUAGUACCAUAAAACACGACAUACCAAAUUAUUGUAAAUGAUAAGCUUAAGAGCACUUUUUCAAGAAGCACGUGUGAAGAUUACAAACUUAGUUCCCUUAAGUUAUGCCAAUCUGGAUACACCUAACAACAUGUAGAACAUGACAAACUAAAUCGGAAAGACGGACAAAAUCUAGAUCAAUGUUUGAAGUGUAAAGUGAAUACGAUGAGUCAUUCGUCAUGAUCAAGCAUUCGAUACAGCCAGAUGAUAUGUGCAAGAACAAUCAACUAUGAUGAACAAUCGAAAAUCAUGCUAGGAAGUAGUGCCACCAAACACAACAUACCAAAUUAUUAGGUCGAUAGUCUUAAGUGCACUUUUUCAAGAAAGGAGUGGGAAGAUGAAAACAAAAUAUGUCAUGCCUGCUAUAAUUACGACUACACCAUGUGGGUCUCUUCCAUCAUCUAACCUUCAAGAACCUAGAGCAAAAACACCAAAGCCAAGUGAGCAAUAGUAAACACAAAUCAAACAUGAAGACCUUCAUCAUAUUUGUCCUCCUUGCUAUGGUGAUGAGCAUCGCCAGUGCCACUAGGCAACUAAGCCCUAGAGGCAAGGAGUUGCAAACACCACAAGAACAAUUCCCCCAACAGCAAUUCCCUCAACCACAACAAAUCCUCCAACAACAAUUCCCCCAACAACAACAAAUCCCCCAGCAACCGCAACAAUUCCCCCAACAGCAAAUCCCACAACAGCAAAUCCCGCAACAACAAUUCCCCCAACCACNNNNNNNNNNNNNNNNNNNNNNNNNNNNNNNNNNNNNNNNNNNNNNNNNNNNNNNNNNNNNNNNNNNNNNNNNNNNNNNNNNNNNNNNNNNNNNNNNNNNNNNNNNNNNNNNNNNNNNNNNNNNNNNNNNNNNNNNNNNNNNNNNNNNNNNNNNNNNNNNNNNNNNNNNNNNNNNNNNNNNNNNNNNNNNNNNNNNNNNNNNNNNNNNNNNNNNNNNNNNNNNNNNNNNNNNNNNNNNNNNNNNNNNNNNNNNNNNNNNNNNNNNNNNNNNNNNNNNNNNNNNNNNNNNNNNNNNNNNNNNNNNNNNNNNNNNNNNNNNNNNNNNNNNNNNNNNNNNNNNNNNNNNNNNNNNNNNNNNNNNNNNNNNNNNNNNNNNNNNNNNNNNNNNNNNNNNNNNNNNNNNNNNNNNNNNNNNNNNNNNNNNNNNNNNNNNNNNNNNNNNNNNNNNNNNNNNNNNNNNNNNNNNNNNNNNNNNNNNNNNNNNNNNNNNNNNNNNNNNNNNNNNNNNNNNNNNNNNNNNNNNNNNNNNNNNNNNNNNNNNNNNNNNNNNNNNNNNNNNNNNNNNNNNNNNNNNNNNNNNNNNNNNNNNNNNNNNNNNNNNNNNNNNNNNNNNNNNNAACAACAAUUCCCCCAACAACAAUUCCCCCAGCAACCACAACAACAAUUCCCCCAACAACAAUUUCCCAUACCAUACCCACCCCAACAACAAUCACAAGAAGCUUCCCCAUACCAACAAUACCACAACAACACCUAUCUGGGAACGACGUUAUAAGUAUCAGUGGCCGAUGAAAUAAAGAGAUGUACUACUAGACAGGUGAAUCAUCGUUGUUAGUCAAUGGAGCAUAAUGUAACGGGUAUAAAUAAAAUGAUGUGCACCAUCAUGUGUAACCCCGACAUGUACUAGUUCAAACAUGGGAAUAAAAGACAAAUAAGUUCUUUUCUGAAGCACAUUGCUGGCAAUCGUUAUAUUCAUGCCAUAUUUCGAUUUCCAUCGGUAACUCCAAUCUCAAUGUUAUGGUCUAUCUACUUAUUUAUGAAGUGUAGUAUUAUGAACAUAACAUAAUUAACAUGUCUGAAAAUUGGCUCAAAUUGAAGUACUACUAAUUCAAGAGUAAGGAGUAAUUACAAUUUAACAUUUCAAUGGAGAGCUCUAAUUGUAGACUGCGUUGUUAAUUCCCCGAAGAGGAAAGGAUGAUGUAGUAUAGUAGAGAUAAGUGUUUCCCUCAGCUAAGAACCAAGGUUAUCAAUCCAGUAGGAGAACCGCACAAAACCUCGUUAGCAGCACCUGCACACACAAAAGCAAACACUUGCACCGAACGCAAAUAAGAGGGUUGUCAAUCCUCUUAGCGAUUAUUUGCAAGGAUUAGUUCUGACAGUGAUACAUAGAUAAAAUAAAUUACUAAAUAAAAUAAAAAUAAAUAAAUUGCAGCAAUGUAUUUUUGUGCUUUUAUAUAUGAUAAAAGUAGACCCGGGGGGGGCAUAGUUUUCACUAGAGGAUUCUCUCUUGAUCAUAAAACAUAUGGUGGGUAAACACAUUACUGUUGGGCAAGCUAUUAUAUACUAAAAGGAAAAUACUGGUCCAAAAUAGAGAAUAGGCUAGAAAAUCUGGCGUUAAUUAGAAAAUAUGAACCCUUGAUCCGUUUAAUUUUAAAAAUUAUAAAUCUAUGACCGUUCAAUAUACGUAACAAGGUCGGGCGUGGAUAACUUCCCGCGUAACGUGACACAUGUAAGAAACACAAACAUGAGUCCAGUUAAGGCAAACACGUAGAUGUGUUGAAGUGGGAAUGAAUAGAAUUGCUACGUCCGAAUAUGCAAGAGAUAGAAAAGAUGAAGAAAACUAAAGAACAUGUCGUGUUCAGAUUGGACUAAACGUAUGUGCGUAUACAACCACAACCACAAUCCGAAAGAUCCAGCCAUUAAUCCCGUGGGUCCAUCCAAAACAAAAGGUGGAUAUCCAUCUAAUUGCCCCACGUCCAUGGAACAUACUUAUUAGAGUCCACAAACAGUAGCCGCUGGUCUCUUUUACGUGAUCCUCCUUGCACUGUUAGGACUUUGCCGUCGGACAUCCUUAAGUUCUUGUGAAGUUCACAUCUAAAAAUACUAUCAUAGUAAAAAAAUCCAUUUCAUACUCCAAGAAAGAUAUCACCAUCCCAAAGUUUCAAUUGCAAUCUAAGUUUUGCCACAACUGGGUAUUUAAAACUUAUUUUACCACAGCUCGGCAAUUUCAGCCACUAAGGUUUUUGUGGCAGAUGAAGCAUCUUCCCAUUGGAAACUCCCAACUGUAAAAAGACUAGCAAAUUAGCAAUCAUUGGCAAAUCAGCAAUCUUAUAGCGGCAGCAGCUCCCAUCAAUCAGGUAACUCAUCUUCCAAAAAUCAGAGACAAUAAGCAACCAUACACAUCAUGCACAUAUGAUAUUAACAUAAUUACAUAUGUGAUUUCUGUGUUGAAUUUCGUACAACAUUACCAUGAAGAGAAGCGCAUCCACAUGGCAAGUAAUUUCCAAAAGCCGCCAAAAAGGUGAAAAGCAAUCAAAUAUGCAAUCCAACAAGUUAAUUAUUAAGCUAUAGACCAUGCAUGUUUCAGUGGUGCAUACAAGAUCAGUAGAACAAAUUCCUAGCCGUUACGACAUUCAUCAGGGAGGCGAGGACUAUGAAGCGACGGGUUGCGAGCUGGAGGGAAUGGCGGCGCACCCCGUGUCUCAGCCGAGAGAGGAGAGGCCGGGGAUAGAAUUAAGAGAGACACGAGUGAUGUCAGAUGAUAGGCUAGGGAUCGUUGGGCGUUCUCACAUAUUGCGUGGAGGAGGUUAGCUAAAUGGGCCAGCACAAAGGCCCAGUCAACCGCAGGUGGCAGAGUUUUCUCCCAGUGCAGCAGCCCUUUAGGACAGUUGAGCCAAGAAAUAUAGUUACAAAAUUAGGAAUUCAUCCAACAGUCAGAAAUGAUCUAUACAAGUGAUCUGAUAGUUACAAAUGUUGAAUGCUUGAGAGAGCUGGGAUAAGGCUAAGUUUUACUGUCCUAAAUGUAUUAGAUAUGUAGAAUCUGACAGUUAUUAAAGUUUAAUUGUCCUUCAGAAAAAACUAUGGCUAAUCACCACUACGCUAAUUACUUUUUACAAUUGUUGUACAUGAAUGGGGGUUAGGCAAGCGUAACACUGCUGAUGAGGGUCCCAAACCCGAUAAAGGUGGAGGGUGCAUAAUCAAAUUAACAUCUAACACUAACAUGCAAUACCUUUUAAGUUCAUAUAUUGAUUCAAUCGCAAAAGGGAAAAAUGAAACAAAAGUAGGCAGCGGGACCUGGAAGUCAACAGAGGAAACAGAAGGGUAUGCUCAUCGUGUGGAAUCGUUUGUGGGGGGCGAGCUGAGUAAACAGAGGAAGGUGAUCGAACGACGUCUCAGGUUUAUUUGUUUACUGAACAGACAGACAUGUGUAAGUUUUUUUUCCCUUUGAGGGGAAAGACGUGUGUAACUAGGGAGGGAUGAUUUUGCACGUUCUGUAUUUUUUUCCACCAGAAAACAGAUACUACUUUAACAAAUAAAUCCUACACUAAAUAUUUUAUAUGCUGCAAAUUAUAGGCCACAUACGCAUGAGCCUAAAUUAUAGGCGACUAUUUCAUAGGGUGAAAGUAAACAAAAUAGAAAAUCUUAUAGGCGACAUGAGCAUGAACCUAAAUUAUAUAUUUUAUAUGCUGCAAAUUAUUUUAAAAACAUGUGAAAAUAUAGUGCAUGAUCAUCAGACCAAAAACUCUAGCCUGUACAAAACACUCAUAUUUAGACGUAUAUUUCAUAUGGAGCUGCCAAUUCAUAUCAAUCCGGCACUACAACAGUAACACUAUCGUGCAGCCGCUUAAGUCAAAUCUAAAGUUAAAGCUAAUCAACACAAAAUAUCCAAUGUAAAAGGAAUUACUUAUACUAAAAAUAUAAAAUAUACCUAAGAGUGCGAAAGAUGACGAAUAUUUACUAUAAGAGUGCUAGCCCUCGCAUUUGCGAGGGCCACCUUGCUAGUUGAUAAAAAACAAAUAAUUAUGAUGGAUUCAUGGCAAUGAUCAUGUAUAUAGGCAUCACGUUCGAGACAAGUAGACCGACUCCCGUCUGCAUCUACUACUAUUACUCCACCCAUCGACCGCUAUCCAGCAUGCAUCCAGAGUAUUAGGUAUAAAACAGAGUGACGCCUUAAGUACGAUGACAUGAUAUAGAUAAAGUAAAUUCAAGAAAUAUGAUUAAACCCCAUCUUUUUAUCCUUAAUUGUCAGCCCAUUGGCUGUUAUUUUCCCCGAUCUGACCAUCCGUGACGCUCCUGUUGUUCGCAACGCUACCGCUACGACUGCGGGAGCAUGUCAUUUUCGUUAUACAUGUAACCCAAAAAUAUCUCUAACAUUAAUGACAACAAUACAAAUACGUGUUAUGUCCCUUUUUGUCACUGGGAUUGAGCAAUGCAAGAUUGAAUCCAUCACAAAGCACCUCUCCCCAUUGCAAGAUAAACCAAUCUAGUUGGCCAAACCAAAUCGAUAGAUCAGGGAGAAAUAUAAAGCUAAAAUAAUCACGCAUAAAAGAGCUCAGAGAAGACUCAAAUAUUUCUCAUGAAUCAUAUGAUCAUAAACUCACGAUUCAUUGGAUCCCAACAAACACACCGGAAAAGAAGAUUACAUCGGAUAGAAAUCCAAGAACAUCGGGGAUAACUUUGUAUUGAAUAUCAAAGAGAGAGAAGAAGCCAUUUAGCUACUGGCUAUGGACCCAUAGGUGUGUGGUAAAAUACUCACACAUCAUCGGAAGGGCAGCAUGGUUUAUGUGGAAGCCCUUCGUGAUCGAUUCCCCCUCCGGCAGAGUACUGGAAAAGGCCUCCCGACGGGAUCGCGGAAAAACAGAGGCUUGCGGCGGAGAAAAAGUUUUCUCAUCUAUCUCUCUGGUGGUUAUGGAAUAUUUGUGAUUUAUAGUGGAAGAAUUAGGUCAGGAGGUGCCACGAGGGGGCCAUAAGCCUAGGGGCGCGGUGAUACGUCCAUUUUGCAUCAUGUUUUAUUACAGUUAUUUAUUAAGUUUUGAGCUAAUAUAACACUUCAUGGAGUAUUUCUAAUGCAUUUUCUCUCUUAAUAUGCAAGGUUUACACAAAGAGGGAGAAUACCGGCAGCUGGAUUUCAGGGCCUGAAAAAGCUACAUCAGAGAUCCCUAUUCUGCACAUCUCCAAAUGGGCUGAAAAUUCACGAAGAUUUAUUUUAGAAUAUAAAAAAAUACUGGGCCAAAGAUCCACGGGAGGAGGCCACCCAGGUGCCCACACAGCAAUAGGGCGCGCCCCACCCCUAGGGCGCGCCCUGAUGCUGUAUGAGGCCCCUGGCCCAAUUCAGGCCCCCUCCUUCUGGUAUAUAAGUCAUUUUACCAUAAAAUAUUUAUGGGGAGACUUUCAGGACGAGGCGCCGCUGCCACGAGGCGGAACUAGAGCAGGAGAAAUUUGGCUCUCCGGCGUGCAGAUUCCGCCGGGGAUACUUCCCUCCGGGUGGUGGAAAUCGAAGCUUACGUCAUCACUAACAACCCUCUCAUCGUGGGAGGACCAAUCUUCAUCAUCAUAAACCACAACACCAUCUCAUCUCUAUCCCUAGUUCAUAUCUUGUAUUCGAUCUCUGUGUCAAAACAUUAGAUUGGUACUUGUGUUUGACUAGUAGUGUUGAUUACUUAUCGUAGUUGAUGCUAGUGGAUUUGUUUGGUGAAUUACCAAAUGUUCUGAUCGUGCAUCCAAAUUAUAUUCUCUCUGAUCAUGAACAUGAUGAUGAUGUGUGAGUAGUUACUUUUAUUCUUGAGGACAUGGGAGAAGUCUUGUCAUUAGUAAUCAUGUGAUUCCGGUAUUCGUUCAAUAUUUUGAUGAUAUGUAUGUUGUGAUUCUCUUAGUGGUGUCAUAUGAACGUCGACUACAUGACACUUCACCAUUGAUGGGCCUAAGGGAACUCAUUGUGGAGUAGUAAUUAGAUGAUGGGUUGCUAGAGUGACAGAAGCUUAAACCCCAGUUUAUGCACUAUUCCGUAAGGGGCUGAUUUGGAUCCACUAGUUUAAUGCUAUGGUUAGACUUUGUCUUAAUUCUUUUUUCUUAGUUGCGGAUGUCGGUGUCAAAACCGACAGAUCUCGGGUAGGGGGUCCCAAGCUGUGGGUCUAGGAUCAAUAGGUAACAGUGACGAUGAACACGGUGUUUUACCCAGGUUCGGGCCCUCUGGAUGGAGGUAAAACCCUAUGUCCUGCUCUUGUUUGUAUUGAUGAAGUAUCAAGGUACAGAGUUGAUCUACCUCGAGAUCAUAUGUUCUGGUCUAAACCCUAGGGGUAUGAUCAGUAAUGUCAUAAUGAUGAUAAUAAUCUAUCGACUAGCCUGGCCUCGGCUUAUAUAAUGUACCAGAGGCCUAGGAUAACAAGACACCUAGUUAGCUAUGUUGGUGGAGAGGAGUCCUUGUCUUGGUCACCAAGUCUUGUGGAAUCUUUCCUGUAUAUGUCAUCGGUUGUCCGAACUGGCCCAUUAGUGAGGUCCUCGGUCCGACCCACUGGUCGGGAGACAACGUGGUGAGUACCCCCUAGUCCAGGACACCGUCAGCGGAUGCUUGCGAGAGGGGGUAAUCAUAAGUGGGAGGCUUGUUCAAGUAAGAACAGCACCCAAGCACCGGUCCACCCACAUAUCAAAUCAUCAAAGUAGCGAAAGCGAAUCGAAUGAACAUGAUGAAAGUGACUAGAUGAAAUUCCCGUGUGUCCUCAAGAACGCUUUUCUCAUUAUAAGUACUAGUUCUGGCCUGUCCUUUGCACUAAAAAGGAUUGGGAUAUCUUGCUGCACUUUAUUUACAUUUGUCACUUGCUACUCGUUACCAAUUAUCUUGCUAUCAGACUACUCGCUACCGCUUGUUUCAGUGUUUGCAAAAAUAUCGUUAUUGAAAACCGCAAGUCAUUUCCUUUUUCUUCUCGUUGGGUUCGACACUCUUACUUAUCGAAAGGACUAUGAUUGAUCCCCUAUACUUGUGGGUCAUCACGCGGCCACCCACCUGGGGCGCUCCGUCCCUAGCUUAUCACUCCCUCGAGACUCCUCGGGUCUUCCCCGAAGCUUCCAGGGUCUCUUUUGGUCCAGAAAACUUAAUCCAAUGUUUUUCUGUGUUUGUACCUUUUUUAUAAUGAUAUUAUAAAAUGAUAAAAACAAGCAAAAAAUAACAACUGGCACUAGGCACUACGUUAAUAGGUUAGUCCCAAAAAAUGAUACAAAAAUAGCAAAAAGUUGCAUAUAAAACAUCCAAGAAUGAUAAUAUAAUGGCACGAAACAAUAAAACAUUACAGAUAGGAGGCGUAUCAAGCAUCCCCAAGCUUAUUUCUUGCUCGUCCUCGAGUAGGUAAAUGAUAAAAACAAAAUUUUUGAUGUGGAAUGCUACCUAACAUGUUUCAUCAUGUAAUCUCUCUUACGGUAUGAAUAAUAAGAUCCGAAUGAUUCAAAGCAAUAGUCUAUAAUUUGAUAUAAAGACAUCAAUACUCAGGCAUACUAACAAACAAUCAUGCCUUUCAAAAUAACGAUGCUAACCCAAGUUAUCCCUACAAAAUCAUAUAAUCCUAUCAUGCUCCAUCUUCUUAACACAAAGUAUUUAUGAUGCACUACCCCAAUGACAAUCCAGGCAAUUGGUUCAUACUUCUUAACGUGCUUCAGCUUCAACCCCCGCGCAAUACAUGAUGGCAAGCCAAGGACAUAACACUAUGGAUGGAAUAGAACAUGAUGAUAGAGAUCAAUAAGGGGAAAUCCAAAAUAAGAAGAUAGUCUCACAUCAAUGCGGCUAACAAACGGGCUAUAGAGAUGCCCAAAAAUUGAUGUCAAUGCAAGGAGUAGGGAUUCCCAUGCAACGGAUGCACUAAGAAGGCACCCAAGGUAAUAUCCAAGGAGACUCCAGCGUCGAAGCUUGGGGAUGCCCCGGAAGGCAUCCCCUCUUAAUUCUAAUGACUAUCAGUAACGCACUUGAGGCAACAUUUUUACUCAUCACAUGAUAUGAGUUUUUCUUGGAGCGUCUUGUAUGAUAUGAGUCUUUGCUUUGUUUAUUUUUAGUUUAUCACAAUCAUCACCUCUGAACGCAUUUGCUUGAGAUAGCUUCACGUCAUCAUGAUUUACUUGAAUUGCCCUUUGUGCUUCACUUAAAUUUGUUGAGCUAGGUGGUUGCUCUAGUGCUUCAUUUAUAUCUUUUUUAACACGGUGGUGCUUUUGUUUUGAAGAAACUUGUUCUCAUGCUUCACUUAUAUCUUUUUGAGAAUGCUAGAAAUUUUAUAAAAAUAUUAGUCUCAUGCUUCACUUAUAUCUUUUUGAGAGUUCGAAAUUAGUUAUGGUAAAAUGUACAAGCUAUAAGCUUGGUCUCCAUAUGAUGAAUAUUCAAGAAGGAUAAUGAUAACUAGUAUAAAAAAUUUAUGGGACAUGAAUAACUUGAUUCUUUGCAACAAUUUUGAGAUAUGUAGAUGAUAAUACGUGAGUUAUGUUCAUGAAUAAUUAUACUCUAGUAUGAAUAUUGAUGUUAAGGUUUAUGAUUCCCUAUGCAAGCACGUAAAGUCAAUAGUUAUGCAAUGAAGUUACAUCCUACUUGUGGUGCAUUAUUCGGUGUUGGUUAUGUUUUAUGUAUGCAUGUGCAUCAUUACAGUUUCUUAGUUGGUCGCUUCUCAACCAUUUUGCUAGCCUCCAUUCGUACUAAGCGGGAAUACUGCUUGUGCAUCCAUUACCUUAAACUUGUUUUGCCAAUUGUGUCCAUCAUACCUACAUAUAUACGGUAUUUCAUUGCCGUCCCAAGUAAAUUUGCAUGUGCCAUCUCUAAUAAUUUUCAAAAUAAACUUCUCUUUUGUGUGCCUGUGUUGCUCAUGAAGUGAUAAGGGGUGGACGAUGAAUUUCGUGUUGUAUAUGUCAUUUUCAUGAUGAGUGUUUAUUCACUUGUCAUUGCACGAGAGUGUGGCGGUAAUAAAAGGGAUGCCCAGUCCCAAAAAUAAAUUGAAUUUCCUGGAAUGUGUUGUUAUGGAGGGCACCCGUGAAUACGGCUAGACAUGGAUUGUGAAAGGAAAGGUGGAAAAACUAACUCCUUCGGAUGUGAAUGGAAAAAAGGGACAAAAGUCUCAAAACCAUGGAACGAUGACAGGGAGCAAACAAUUUCUUUUCAGUUUGGGAGCCGCCUUUGAUGUAUAUAACUUGGAUGGUAUCGAAAGCCUUGAGUCGUUGUCGUUGACGAGAAAAGCAGGCCUCCCAAAAUAAUUUUUUAUCUCUUUUUAAAACUUGAGGUCUGGCACCACUGUAAAUCAAUGCUUCCCUCUGCGAAGGUCGUUCUAUUUAUUUUUAUGUUGAGUCUCAUCCUUCUCAUUAAAAAACCAACUAGGGGGUCAUGUGAUCAUGUGUGCGCAUGGAGUAUGAUUGACAUUCGACUGUGUUUCAUAAAUGGAUCAAUGGUUGAGCAUAAUGGGCUAGGGAUAAUUUUCUUUAGCAUUGUUAUUUUGAAAGGCAUGGUUGCGUGUUAGCAUUGGAGGGGGUAUAUAUAGCCACCUCAUCGGUCCCGGUUUGUGGCUGGAACCGGGACUAAAGGCCACCCUUCUGUCCUGGUUCUAGGCACGAACCGGGACCAAUGGCUGUGGGCUAGGAACGAGGACCAUUGGUCCCAUUCGUGCCUAGAACCGGGACAAAUGGGUACACACGAACCGGGACAAAUGCCUGCCGAGGACCGGCCGGCCCCCUGGGCGCACGAACCGGGACGUAUGACCCCCAUGGGUCCCGGUUCGUGACUGAACCGGGACUAAUGGGCUGGCCAGGCCCCAACCAAAGCCCUGUUUUCUACUAGUGAGGGGCGACGCUCUGCGGAGUUCUCCCUCUUGGGGGCGUUGUCGUGGAGCUUAGGUGUGCUAGGUCGUAGCGUGAGCAUGUUUUGUUCUUCUGGUACUUGUUGCUGGUAGCAUAGAAGCAUGCGUUUUGCAUGUGCCGGAUAUCUCAGGAUCGACUUUGUAAGGGCUACCAAACCAUAUUGUAUCGUUUGACCAUGUACAGCUUUGGAUGUUGCUUUGUUUAUAAAGCAGGGCAAAAUCCUAUUUCGAGAAUAAAGAAAACAACAGCAACAGCAAACAGGUCAACAACUUCAGAAUAGUUUUUCUUUUAAAAUUUCACUUGCUUAAUUAACUACAUGCAUAGGACUUUCUACAGUGUUUUAGAGAAGGACAACUAUGAUUUGCUAGCUAGUUAGGUAUUUCAACAGAACAUUAACAGCAAGGAGAAGGAGAAGAACUGUUAACAACCAGGCAGGCAGGUGGAGAGUGAGUGUGUGAGAGUGAGGUCUCUCUGGCUUUUUCCUGUAUGGCUACUCCUACUUCCUUCGCUGACAAAGACCUGUUCUGAAUCCGUAAUACUGAUUCAUAGUAAUGAUGGUGGAUCGACUAUACCUUGACUUAUCCAUGUACAACAAAAAUUACUACGUACAUGAUUAAAAAUCCAAGGGUCAAAUCCUGAUCAAUUGAUCCAGCAAAUUCUUCAUGAAUCUAGCAUGACAUCAAGUGUGAUUAAUAGGAGUUUCAAUUAUAAUUAGCCUCCGAGAAGCUACAUGGAGGAGGAUGUAGUCGUGUUUUGUGGCCUUGUCAGAAACUUCGCUUUCCAUCAAUCUGAAAACAAGUGGUAGAGGGCAAAAGAAUGAAAAAAAACAUGUGUAGAGGAUACGCAACACAUAAAGGCCACACACACAAAAACAGCGGUAUGGUAGCUGGUCCAUGACAUUGACAAGUCAAUUGAUUUGCUGCAACCAUAUAUAUGUACGAAUAAUAUCGCCAAGGAUAAGAGAAGGAAAAAAUAUAAAUAUACCGAUAGGCUCUUAUUUAGUUCCUGGAUGCAUGUUGCAUGAGCCAAGUGUAUCGGCAGUAUGGCUUGUGUUUGCUGCAUGAUGGCGGCAGGUUCCCAUUCAGUUAGGCAUGCUAAGUCCUAAAUUCAUUUAUUCACGUAUCGGGUAGAAGGAGAACAAAUUUCAUUUCUUUUCUGUAGGUUCCUUGCUUAAAAGAAAAUAGAAAAUAUACACUUAUAUAAUUACGAGAAAAAAUCAACUGUAUGUCGCUCAGUCUUCCCUUUUUGUUCCGUAUCAGUAUCAACAAUCAUAGUACUAAUAGCUUUCUAUACUGGCGCUAGUAAAUUCAAUAAAAGAAACAUGGAGACUAUCUGAACAAUUUGAAACAAUAUAGACAAACUGAGAUCAACUAACAACAGAAAUCCAAAAGAAAUGUUCAUGUCUACGUGGAGUGAAUCGAUCAAGCCGUGCAAAGCCCUAACAAUUUGUUUUGUAUUAAUAACUCAUAUGAUAAUACAACUCCUCCAUAUGAAAAGGUAAUAUGAUGAUUCAUGAAUGCUUAUCCAUCUUAUAAAUAUAUUGUGCACAAAAUAUCGAGUUAGUUCAGAGAAAACGGUGUCUAGAACAAUCUUCACAUUAAUAGUGUGAUCUAUCUCAAUGACUCACACAAGAUUACAAAGUUUGUUCCCUUAAGUAUGCCAAUCUGGAUACGCCUAACAAUAUGUAGAACAUGACAAACUAAAUCAGAACAAGGGACAAAAUCUAGAUCAAUGUUUGAAGUGUAAAGUGAAUACGAUGAGUCAUUUGUCGUUAUCAAGCAUUCCAUACACCUAGAUGAUAUGUGCAAGAACAAUCAACUAUGACGAACAAUCCAAAAUCACGAUAGUAAGUAGUACCAUAAUACACAACAUACCAAAUUAUUGUAAAUGAUAAGCUUAAGAGCACUUUUUCAAGAAGCAAGUGUGAAGAUUACAAACUUAGUUCCCUUAAGUUAUGCCAAUCUGGAUACACCUAACAACAUGUAGAACAUCACAAACUAAAUCGAAAGACGGACAAAAUCUAGAUCAAUGUUUGAAGUGUAAAGUGAAUACGAUGAGUCAUUAGUCGUGAUCAAGCAUUCGAUACAGCCAGAUGAUAUUUGCAAGAACACAACAUACCAAAUUAUUAGGUCGAUAAUCUUAAGUGCACUUUUUCAAGAAAAGAGUGGGAAGAUGAAAACAAAAUAUGUCAUGCCUGCUAUAAAUACGACUACACCAUGUGGGUCUCUUCCAUCAUCUAACCUUCAAGCACCUAGAGUAAAAACACCAAAGCCAAGUGAGCAAUAGUAAACACAAAUCAAACAUGAAGACCUUCAUCAUAUUUGUCCUCCUUGCUAUGGUGAUGAGCAUCGCCAGUGCCACUAGGCAACUAAGCCCUAGAGGCAAGGAGUUGCAAACACCACAAGAACAAUUCCCCCAACAGCAAUUCCCUCAACCACAACAAAUCCUCCAACAACAAUUCCCCCAACGACAACAAAUCCCCCAGCAACCGCAACAAUUCCCCCAACAGCAAUUCCCGCAACAGCAAAUCCCACAACAGCAAAUCCCGCAACAACAAUUCCCCCAACCACANNN